rnacentral:lncRNA from 1 species
GAUAAAUGAUCCUAACAAAUUUAUAUUUGUAUUAACAGUCCUUUUCUUACCAUGCGAGCGUUUAAGUGAUAUUUUUAAGUUAAAUACAGUGAUUCAAUCACCGUGUUUAAGUACGGUAAUUGGAUCACAGUGUUUCUUUUCGUAUUUUUUCGUCCCUAAAUUAAAAAGGAGGGACUAAUGUGCAUAUAUGAAUACGAUAAUUUAAUUAUCGUAUUUAAACACGAUAAUUCAUUUACUGUGUUCAACUUAAAAAUAUGAAUGUGAUACUUAUGUGGUAAGAAGAGGGCCAAUUCAUUCACUAUGUUUAAUUUAAAAAUAUACAAGUGGCAAAGGACUUGGUGGUUGGUACCCGAGGUCCCAAGUUCGAAUCCUAGUUGAUUCACAUUUUCAGUUAAGUUUAUUUCUAAAUAAAAUAAACGAAGCGGAUAGCGUGCUAUCUAUCUCUCAAAAAAAAAAAAAAAUAAAUAAAUAAACGUGAUGCUUAUGUGGUAAGAAAAGGAUCAUAUGUGUAAAUAUGAAUUUGUUAGAAUUUUUUUUUUUUUUUUUUUUUUUGGUUUUUUCCUAGGGAGCUAAAUUCCAAAAAUACCUAUCAAUUUUCAUUCCUAAGAGUCAAAUCUGUAUAAAUCCAGUGUGAACGCCCACCCAAUUUUUACACUCCACAACACUCCAAUUUCCUCUCUUUAAGUCGAGGAAUUCUACAUUAUCACACUUGCACCACGUUAUAAAUAACAAGUCAAUCACAUUUCUUCUUUUUAAACAAAAAUAUAAUAAAAAUAAUUUUUUUCAAUCGAAAUAAAACAUAUACUCCUAAAAAAAAUAUUUAAUUAAUUUGUUACGCCAUGUCAUCGAUCUACCCAUUGCAUUCUAGAAUUUUUCCUUUGUCUCCGUCUCCCUGAGCGCGCGCUCCCCCUUUCUCUCUCUCUCUCUCUCUCUCUCUCUCUCUCGUACUAACAAACUACUUAAAAAACAGAAGCUACAAACCCCUCCUCUUUCUCCUACCUCCGCACCCUCCCUCCCCCUCCCACGCCGAGACCUCGAUCCGCCCCAUCCAUGGCGGAAUCCGAGGAGAUAGAGGAAGGGAAGAGGCGGAGGAGGAGAGUGAGUGCGGCGGAGGCGGAGGCGGGGGCGGAGGCGGAGGCGAGGGACCCGGCGACGGCGCUGGGGCCGGACGUGGUGGAGAGGGUGCUGGGGGCGUCGGACGCACGCAGCGUGGCACGAUCCGCGGCGGUGUCUCGUGCGUGGCACGGGAUCGCCACGAGCGACCGCCUCUGGGCUCCCAAGGUGAUGAAUUCAUCGUGCUCGUCUCGUUCCCCUCCUCCCCCUCUUUUCGAUCGCCUUCGUAAUCGGAAAUUAGCUUCUUGUUUCCGUUGCUCAUCGUUUGCUCGUUUGGGAUUGGAUUGUUACUUAGCCCUAAUGCGUAAUUUUUUGGCUUGUUAAAGGCGAAAAAUGUGGUAGAAGUUACCUGUUACAAACCCUAAUGUUUUUUUUUUUUGAAAAAAAAAAAACCUUCAAAUACCACCCCCAUGGUAUCGCACUUUUUUGCUUUACUGCCCUAUGGUUUAAAGUGUAUCAAUUUGGUACCCUGUAGUUUCUUUUUUUUUCUUUUUAUUAUCAAUUUUAUUGUUUUUUUUUGUUAAAUUAGAGACAAAGUUAAAACUAAAGGUAUUAAAAUGAAUAUUCGAUAAACUUAGGUGAGUAGCUGAAGUUUUUCAUAUAUAAUUUAACAAAAUAUUAACGAAGAAACUGCUGAAAAGAUAAAAAAUAAAACCGCAGAGUACUAACUACUUUAAACCACAAGAUACUAAAGCGAGAAAGUGCGAAAUCAUAGAGGUGGUAUUUGAAGCUUUUUUUUUCCUCUUUGGCUUGUUAGAGGCUAAAACCGUGGUAAAGUUACCUGAAUUAUAGGUGCAUUUUUGAAAUUGGUACGAAAGGAGAUGCUUUUUUGUACUUCUAAAGGCAAAUACUGCGUGAUUGGGUGUUCAGUAGCUGUGCUUCUCUAUUAUUUUGGUUGGUUAACUUGUAAUAUCAUGAAUUUCUAUAUUUUGUCAGCAAAUGGAUGCCGCAGAUAAAAUGACAGUGAUAUCAAAUGAAACCUGAACUUCUACCCUGAUGUACUUGACGGCAUGAGACUCAUCUUACACUUUUGGUUGGCAAACUAGCGCUAAUAUCAAAUAUAACGAUUCAAUUUACUAGCAUUAAUAACUCGUUGCACCCAAACCGUCAACCUAAAGUGUUUAAGCCUGGUUAUUAGUAUUAGAGUCUCUGAUGCUUAUAUUUCUAGUCAUAAUCUCUUUCUUAUCCGAUGGAGGGUUAUUUGGGCUCACAAUAUAAGUGGUUAGUAUAUUUCUACUGAGUGAAAGUAAAUUAGAUAUGCUCAUGAUUUUGAGUAUAUGUGAUGUUGUCUUCUAAAAGCAGUACUUGGUUAUUCAUUGAAAUGUAGAUUUGUUCUGUUUCAUCUGUAAUAUUUGUGCAGUUGACUAUUUUAAUGAAUAAUUAUUAUUCUCUGCUAGCAGUGUGAGGAACUGUGGAAGGGGAAGGCACAUAUCCCCCGCUUGUCAAUGUUACGUGGAGCCUCGAGAUUGACGGUUUAUUCUAUGUCCAUCAUGGAUGGACAACGGGUGAGAAAAAGAUAUUUAGUACUUUUCUUAGAGUGUAUAAGCUAAGUUUUUUCCUGAGAUAAUUAAAUUACAACAUUUCCUUUGCAAGUUCUGCUUUAGAAAGCUCUCAGUAAUUGUUUCAGUAAAGUGAUUCCCUCUAAUUUCUCUUUCUGCUCCCUAUGUUCAUCUCUCAGUCUUAGGUGAGGUUCUAACAUGUUGGGUUCCAUUUGUUUUCAGGCCCGCGUAGCGAAGGAUGAUCUCUGUGAUCAUGUUUGGGAAUAUCGUUUCAAAAAGGUGCGUGUAGCUUGAUUUUAUACUCAUUUUAUAGUCUAAUGCUUACAAUAUGAAUGCUUUCCUGAAUAGAAGUCAGAGAAGCCAAUGUGCUUCUCAAUUCAACUGCAUGUUUUCUUUGUGUCUAGUCUAUUUCCUAUCCACCAUCCACUGCGUAGAUUGAAAACGUGACGUGAUUUAGAAUUACUACGUAUUCGCAAUCAUGGACUCAUCAUCGCCCACUAUUUGGGGUGUGACAUUAGUAAUCCCUCAUCUGUUACCUGCAGACAGCUCCAGAAUACUGGCGCAACCUCGACCCUUCCUGGAAGGGCACAGGCCCGCCAAUGCGCCGCUACUUCCACCUCAAUGGGUCUCACACUGCGGACCCUGACGACAAAGUUUGGGGCGGGCAUGAGUGCACCUUCUCAAUCGUUACGAGCUAUGUGGGCGACGGGCAAAUAAGGGAGCACUACGUGAGGAUCAACCGGUGGCCCCCAAUGCGAGUCUCGAGGAAGGAGGAUUGGAGCUGGGAGAUGUCGAACAACCUUUAUGUCUACAACAGUGUUCCUGAUGCAGAGAAAGGCAUUACAGGUCCUCUCUUUCCUGUCUGGUGACUCUAUUGCUUGUUUACCCUACUAAGAACUAAACUUGUAUGUAUCAUGUAAUAUAUGGUAUGUCGAAGGUAAAAUUAGUUUGUUGAACUUUCCUCUGUAUAUACAACCAGUUUGUUGAACUUUCCUCUGUAUAUACAACCAGUUUGUUGAACUUUCCUCUGUAUAUACAACCGAGAAAUAAUACUAUGUACUUUGUACAGUAGUACCUACAUCUCUUAUGUUUCAAAUAAACCUUUUAUGGCCAGCCAACUUUUACACAUAUCCUUUCUGCAGUCUUAGCAGUCCUUCGGUGGAAACCAUAUUAUCACAGUAAAAAGAUUACAACCACAAAAGACCUAGUGUGAGGAAAGGACUUGAUCAUACAAGGAACCAUGAAACUUUUAUUAUUGACAUUGGUAAGGAUGAUUGUUACACUCUUGGACUCUGAGUAGUGGUUUUAAGAUGUGCGCUCUUAUGUUCAUGCUAAUGUUGCCAUCUGUACAAAGAUGGAACUACAAUCUUUCAUUGUAGCUAAAUGAAAUGUCUGUGCGGAAUUUUGGAAAUUUGUUAGGUCAUUGAGAUCUUCAGCUUUUCUUUUUUUUUCUUUGUCUUUUUCUUUUUCUUGUUCCUUUUUUGGUUGAAAAGAGAAAGAGAAAUGAAACACUCCACAAUCAUGGAUGAUUGAUUCUAAAUCUACACAGUUACUUGUGCUUGUGUACAGUAACCAAUCCUUGCAGUAUCGCUUCAUAUAUUUCAAGAUGAUUUUGCUGACAUUCUCAGAACAGUAUGGUCGAAAUUCUGUUAAUCUCGAAUUUACAGUCUGAGCAGCCAGCUGUUUGAGUCAACUGAUGCUGACAUAACUAAUUUCUUUUCUAUAUACAUAUUGUCCUGCAUAUCUCUCCUACAUGCAUUUUCUCUUGCAUUUCUCUUAUGUUUACUUGAGGGUCUUAUGGUAACUGGUUUAUGGGUGUACAAAGAGAUGUCUAGGGCCGCACAGCUUAUGCGGCCUUUAAUGUCAUUUUUGUUGGAAUAAGAUAAAUCAUUUUGCAGGUACAAGAUAUAGUAAUCCUGAUGAAUCAUGAUCUCGAGGGUCUUAAAAUGGACUAAAAUCAAACUCCUAGGUUACAAUGAGGAAAGAAAAUCACUUAUGAAGACCUACUGUGAUAGGUGAACAUAUUGUUCGACACAUCUCUUGUUUACUGAAGGAUUGUUUAGAAAUCGGUUGGUGAGAAGUAUAUUGUAUAUAUGUUGUAUAAUUCAUUUUUUGGGAUACGAUAAAUCAUCUUGAUUAGUAGAAACUGCACAAAUAAAACAUGCUACUAAAUAUGAAUAGAUGAUUGUGUUCAUAGCAUUGCAAUAACUAAAAAUUGACAAGUUUAGCACAUACAAGGGGUUGUACAAAAUACAUGCAUUACACAAGAUUGAGGCUGAUAUGCUUCAGAAAAUGAGCUCAUUUUACUUCUUUGAUUUCAUCCAAAGCAUAGUUGUUUGUCGAAACACCGGCAUAAUUCACCUUGUUGAAUCGAACCACGACUGGAUAACGAGUCUUAGGGUCCUGUAAAGUUUUUAAGUUUCAAUUAUUAUUAGGAUAUUAAAGAAGAUCAAACAGAAAUUAAAAAUGAAGGACACACAAAAAACUCUUAAUAUAACUUACAAUGUUAAGAUGAACAUAUGUAAUAGGAUAAAUUACACUUUUGGUCCCACAAUUAUGAAGCAAGUGAUAUUUUGGUUCUCAAAUUUUAAUUGGUUGCAAUAUUUGGCUUGAACUUUUGUUAACAUUCAUAGUCUAAUUUUAAUUACUAGCUGAUGAUGCGUCACUAAUACGACGAUGAUGUGAUAUUUUAGUUAUUACCACGUCAUUAAUCACAACACUACAACACUGUCGCAUUAAUGCCACAUAGCGGCACGUUAUCAUUCAGUUAACUAAAUUAUAGUGUGGGACUUAAUUGCAACAAUUUAAAAAUUUUGAACCAUAGAUUAUGAUAAAUUAAAAUUUAAGUACCAAGGUGUCGCAGUCGAACAUCUUAUAGUUUGAGAACCGAAAGUGUCAUUCAGCCGGAAAAGAUAUGUGAUUAUCUUAUGAUAUUCAAAUACUUUCUUAUACUUAGAUCCAUACAAAAGUUGGAUUUGAAAUCUUGAAUCUAGUGUUUUAGCAACAUUAGAACUUACUAAAGCAACCAGGAUGCUUUCCUACACUAUAUCAAGAAGAGUAGUUAGUGAGUUAACCAUCAAGUAAUUCCUCAUCUAAACUCUAUACUACAUGGUCAUCACUAAAAGAAGAACAUAGAGACAUUCUUUAUUGAAAAACAAAACAAAACAAUAAAAAAAAAAAAAGAAUAAAAUAAGAACAUAUAGGCAUAGAGUACCUGAUCCACAGUGACAACUGAUCCAAUGCCAUUGUACCAAUAAGAUUCCCUCCUCAGAAUCUUUACCUGAAGAAGCAACAAGUAGACACUUGAUGAAAGUAUGAAACUAACCUUAUCAAAUAAAAUGCUUUUAAGUCUUAUUAUGCAUAUGCUAAUAAACCAAAGUUUAAGUUGUUGCUAAAUAAAAAUAGAAAUUUUAUGAUGUGUUAAAGCAACUACAUACAAGAAUUAUUUAGAGAAAAACAGACAUCCAAGCCUUCAAAGAAACUACCUAAUUUUGUGCCAGAACAUUAUAAUAGAAUAAAGAUCAUGCCAUUAAAACUCAUAUAAGUUAGCAUAAUAUAUAUACAGAUGUAUAUAUAGAUAUAGAGUCCAGCUCGAAUACUAUCGAUAGCACCAAGUAUUUGGUACUAUAGAGUUUUUCACUGUUAGAUUUAAUCCUUUGACUAGUUUCACUCAUUAUUAUACGAUUCAACCAACAACUUACUCAAUCCUGGAAAGCUCACAUCAUUUUAACCGUAUAUUCCUUCAUCCAAAGGCCGAAAACCUAAUAGCACCGAUAACUUGGUGCUGUUGGUAGUAUUCCGCCUAGUUCUAUAGAUAUAUAUAUAUACUUACUAUAGAUGUAAUGCUUUAUGUAUUAUAUUGUAUUCCAUCAAUUGAUGGUUUGAGAGAGUUAUGAACCAAGCUUGAAUACAAAGUUAACAAGCUCAAACCAAUUCAAAAGCUUAUAUUUACAGGCCAUGGUAUAUAUAUUUGUGUACCUGAUUUAAAAAAGCAAGAAUAAUAAAUUAUUUAUGUGAAAUGCACAAAAAGAUAUUAAAUCCUAUUUAGAUGUCGGAAUAAUUUAUUUCAUAAUAACUUAUUCGGUAUGAAAAUUUUAUUGGGUAAUUGGAAGGUAAGAGCAUUAAAAAAUCUCGGCACCUAUAGUUGUAAUAAAAUAAUAUGUUUUAUUUACGACAUAAUUUAAUUUUUAAAAAAAUUAUUUAAAAGUCGAAUAUGCUAUUUUAUUCUAAACAUUUUGAGUAUUCUCCUAAAUUUCAAUCAUCAUUGAAAAUUAUCAUAUGGAAUAGAAUACUGCUGGACAAUUUAUUUUGAUAUUUAAAUAAAUUGACUCAUAAAUUUUUGCUGCGCAACUUAUUCCGACAUUCAAACAGACACCGCAUGCAUGCGAACCUUUGCUCCCCUCUUGGGGCCGAUGGGGGGCGGCGGCGGGGGUUUGACGGCGGCGGCGGGGGAGGCUUUGGCACCACCUUCCGGGGCUGGGGUGGGCGGCGGUGCCGCCGCCGCCUCCUCCUCGGCUCGUACCACCACCAUCCUCCUCCCGGGCUUGUGGAACGAGAGGGAGUUGGCACGUGCGGACGUGUUUGUGGUGGGGAUGGCCGAGGUGAGCACGAAGCUUGAUGCGGCCGAGGCCAUGUUGGUGGUCGCCAUGAACAGUUACUACUACGUACGUACUCUCUCUCUCUCUCUCUCUCUCUCUCUCUCUCUCUCUCUCUUUCUCUCUCUAUGACACUACUCUCUUUAGAUGAUGAUCGAUGGAUACGUUAAUGGUUUUUUUUUCCUUUGUUUUUUUGGAUGAGAGAGAGAGAGAGAGAGAUAGAGGAGAGAUUCUAAUGGCCUCAGAUGAAGUACCAGAUUGUCUGGAGCUUUGGUGUGGGUGAUUUCCACUUAUGGGGUGUUGCCACGUGGCGUCCUAUCUACUCCGUGUGGAUAGCCUCAUCCUCCUCCGCUACUCAUUUAGAGGGGGAACAUCUAAAGCUCUGAUAUUUACAUAGUUACGCUCGCAUUAGUACACACAAGUGCGAUAAAUUUGAUAAUUUUAACAUAGUUACGCUCCAAAAAAAAAAAGAAAAAAGAAAAAUAGAACAACAUAAGUUGAUCUCAGUAGAUUAAUAAUAAUAAUAAUAAUAAUAAUAAUAAUAAUAUUAGAACUUAAAAUUUAAAUUUUUGAUCGCAAUGUGGUAACUGAAGAAUUUUCAAAAUAAGAAUACCAACCAACUAAUACUACUACGAAAAAAAUCAAGAGGUCCAAUUCAUACGUUGAUAGGACCAACAUUAUUAAGACCAGAUUUGCCUGGAAGAACAACCGCAGCAUUCAAGUUGAGCUCUUUCCAGUAGCUCUUUUUUUUUUUUUUUUUAAACUUUGUUUUUGCUCAAGACAUUUUACUCGUCAAAUACCCAAUUUCCCACCUAAAAAAGACACCUUCACUUUAAUCUGGUUUUAAGAGCCAACUCUCACAUAUAAGCCAAGACAUUUUUCUAUCAGACAUUUCGAUCUCCAAAUUAUAAGAAAAAGGAACUGCUAUACACAGACCAUAGUUUAAGAUUAAUUAAAGCAAACAAAAGAAAAAAGAGAAUAGUUUUUUUUUUUGAAAAAAAAAAAAAAAACUUGAUAUAACUAUCUUACAGAAACCUGACUAGUUCCUCAGCAAGGAGAGAACUAGUUUAUACAGUUAUAGUGAAAAUCAUCCUUCCAGGGGCAGAAGUGAAUUUCCUAACACUAGUCUCUCUUCCAGUGCUACCGACUAAAUCUGGGCCUCGGAAACCCUUAUCUGCAAUGUAGGGGCAUGCAUUCUAAUAAUCCAUUCCUCCCAUGCCGCCACCCAUCGGAGGCACGUCCUUCUCUUCUUUCGGCAGUUCCACGACCACCGCCUCAGUCGUCGUCAUCAAUGAUGAAACACUGAAUUGCACCAAAUAGGAAAAUUGGAUUCAGCUCACUGAAUUAUAUGUCACAAAUGCCUAGAAGUUUCUCUUAACACACAAUUCAUUUUCUCUAGAUACUACAAUAAAUUAUACCCUUCGCUUUCCGUAAGCAUCCGUAGGGUAGAAUCUAAUCACUUCAGUUGUACCCAAAUCUUAAUUUCUUACCUCGCAGCGUCCACCAGUGCAGUUCUAAUAACUUUCAACGGGUCGAUGAUGCCUGCUUUUACCAUGUCCACAUAUUCACCUUCACAAUUAAAUACAUCAUAAAAUAAAGAAAUAAUUUGAUUAGUAGUAACCCCAAAUAAAUAAUAGUGAAGAUAGAAGAUGUUAGAAAGAGGAAAACCUUUGGCCGCAUCAUAACCAAGAUCGGGGUUAUCCUGCUCCAGAAGUUUGCCCACAACCACUGCGCCUUCUACUCCCGCAUUGGAAGCAAUGGUGUGCACUGGGGUCUAGAAAGUAGUUUAACAAGCUUAAUUUAAUGCCACGAAUAGGAAAGUUAUCCAGUAAAGAAUGUGUACAUCCCAAGCUAUAGAUUCACCAAAGCCAAAUUAUAUUUUAAUAUGCAAUACAUUAGGGGUGUUUUCACUUUCAACAUCUUUUUUUUUAAUAAUAUUUGUGUUUGUGCCCAAACUCUCCUCUGGAAUUCAGGUUCUAUAGCAAUCUCCAUACAGCAUCAGCAGAUGACCAAGAUCUAAACAUGAAGAGCAUCUCUGGUGGUUACAUUCUUCCGAUGCUCAUGUUCUGACUUAAUAAAAGCCUAUGUAACCGGCUGUAGGCUUCUAGGGUUUACUAUAUGAAUAACAUUCACUUAACAAUAUUUCCCGUCAACACUGAUUAUAGAGUUCAAAAUCCCAAAUCUUUUUGACUCAAUUCGAUUAGUUCACCAUUUUCUCCACCUAAUACCGAGUAAGAAAGGAUGAUUCUGGCUUAUUUAGGAGGGAGACUGAUGGAUCAAUUAGACAGAAGUCAAACGAUUGUUAGCCAUUACCGGUCAUCGACUGUUGUUUACUCGCGAAAUGCAGGGAUUGCUAUGCUACCUGAAGUCCAAUAGAGUUUAGCUUUUAAAAAAAAAAAAACUAAAAUAAAAUAAAGUGGAAAGCAAAGACAGCCCCAAAGUUCAAUGUAGAAUGUCCUUAAACCAUUCAACAAAAUUCGCAUAUGAAAUACUCAAACCUUAAGUGCAUUUUGAAUUAUUUGGACCCCAAUCUUCUGAUCAAAAUUAGCUGUUUCCAAUUUCUCCAACUCCUUUGAAGCAUAGAGAAGUGCAACACCACCACCUUCAAUAAAUGCACUUACUGUCACCAUAAGAAUAACAAGACCAUUACUUGGCAAAAUGCACAAUUUAUAAUAUACCUGGCACGAUACCCUCUUCUACUGCAGCUUUGGUAGCAUUAAGAGCAUCAUUCACUCUAUCCUUCUUCUCACUAACUUCGGCUUCACUUGCUCCUCCAAUCUGUAUAAUAGAUAAGAAUAAACGAAUCACGGGUGAAACUGUCCUACUAGAUUUCCUUUCAGCUUAAGAGGUUAUCAACAAAUUUAGCAAUCACCAUUUCAAUCAUCCUACACAAUCUAUUUCCUUAACAUGCUAACUAAUCCCCUCCUCUCGACCAAUGGAUUGAAUGAAUACCAAAGAGAACCACAUGUGCUAUAAAAAGUGGAAAAAUCUUCCAGAGAUUUAUCAUAAUCAAUAUCGUGGCAAAAGGAUCAAAAAUAUUAACAAGGAAAUGGAGUACCUUUAGGACGGCAACACCUCCCGAAAGCUUCGCUAAUCUUUCCUGGAGUUUCUCUUUAUCGUAGUCAGAGGUGCUUGCUUCGAUAGCAGCUCUCAGCUGUCAUAACAUAGAUCAAGCAUUCAAACGUAGAAUUUCAUCAACCAGAAGAAUCAGAUAAUAAUUUUUUUAGAAAAAAAUCAUGUAAUCAAGGAAUUUAACAAUAAAGAAGGGCACAAACUUGCUCGCAUCUUUCUUCAAUAGCCUUCUUAUCACCAGCCCCAUCCAGAAUAACAGUGUCAUCUUUCGAUACUGUCACCUGUAAUAAUUGCAAAGUAUGUGGUUGCGAUAUGCAAAAUUUCAUUUAAUCAUGUUUGUAGUAAAUUAUCAAAGUUAAUCUAGAAUUCAAAAGAGAUUAUUACAUACUGUAGUAGAAUAAUCUAUUUUACAUAUAUAUUCCCUUACAUACUCCGAACAUUAAUACAUAUGCCCUUCAAAAUAAUAUUUUCCUACAUACAUACUCUCUGCAUACAAAAUGUCCUUCUUCAGAAGCUUUUUCUACUACGAGAUCACCUUCCAUCCAUGAAUUGGAUGUUUCCCCAACUUAUCAUAAGGGAUUUUCUUUACGAGAAGCAAACUUUUGAAGGGCAUAUAUAUGAAAAUUCAAAAUUUUAUGUGUAAAUUAUAUAUUUCACAAAGAUAUCUGUAAAAGCCCCAUUUUGCACAUUGGGAAAAAAAAAAACAAAUAACAGUCAUCAUACUCACACUAAUAAAAUAAAGUAGAACUGAGUUUACAAAUAAGGAAAAAGUAUAAAGAAUUUUCACGUUAAAAACAAUGGCAUAGAACGCAAAACCGAACCAGAUAAGGCUCACAAAUGCUAGGAUACAUCACCUUUUUACAUGUACCAAACAUGUGAGGCUCAACCUUUUCAAGAUUCAUUCCAAGCUCUUCUGUUAUGAGCUAAACAAGACAAAUUUAAAACAAGAAAUCUGUCAGUAACUACAUCCAGUAAAUGAGCAACAUAUAUCAAACAAGCAGCUUAAACUCACUUCACCCCCACUAAGUAUAGCAAGGUCCUGUAGAAUGGCUUUCCUAUUCUCCCCAAAACCAGGAGCUUUAAUGGCGCAGACCUAUAAAUAACUUAUUAUUUAGCAAAAAGAUUGUCUAAUCUAAGAUUAUCUAUAACAAAAGUGAUUUUUUGGAAGUUGAAACCUUAAUGCCUGCACGAAGCUUAUUAAGAAUGACAGUCGCCAGUGCAUCACUUUCGACGUCUUCAGCAACAAUAAGCAGCGGCUUUUGUCUCUGAAUAACAUAAGAAGAUCCAGUGUGAGAUACUGUGUGUUAAAGUCCAAUUAACUUUUUCACCAAAAAAUCUCAAGCAGCCCAUACUCCUAUGAGUGCAUAUUGAUAGGGUUAAAAGGAAAAAAACAAAUGCAUACCUUUAAGGCUAAUUCCAAUAGUUUAACCACCGCAUUAAUGCUUGAUAUUUUCUUUUCAUAUAUCAAAAUAAGGGGGUCUUCUAAUUCCUACAAGAAUUUGCAACAGAAGUUGUUAAGCAGGAAGAACUUCAGAUUUGAACAAUGGCGACCAAAAAUAUAACUAAGAAACAGUCUCUUACACAUUUCUGAGUUUUUGCGUUAGAGACAAAGUAAGGCGAUAUAUAACCUCUAUCAAGCUUCAUUCCUUCCACAACAUCCAAUUCAUUAUACAGUGUAUUACCAUCCUGAAGGAAGAUAAACAAGUCAGCAAUCAUAUUGAAAGGGAAACUUAGCAUAUGAUGGAGAUGACGAAGAAAAACUAACAGAUGACAGUAAGGGUGCGUUUGGUUCGCGCUAUCUUUUAAAGAUUCCUAAUAAUCCAAUGGGAAUAAAAAAAUAUGACAGUGUUUGGCUAAACGCGCUAAGUAAUCUAGUUGGUAAUAUUGGAUUCACUUGGGAAUAAGAUUCACCCCAAAGUACUAAUCUCAUUCCCUUGAGGGAGGGUGGGUAUCCCCAUAUUAAUGGAUUGGGGUAAUCAUAAUAUGUCUAAUCUCUUUCUUUCUUCCUACCCGCCGGCUAAUUGAUAUUAUUUUUCUUUACACUCUAACCUUAUAUCUCUCUCUAAACUUAUUUUUCUCUCUAAAAUUCAACUUUUUUUCUCUCUCUAAACUAAGCUUUCUCUCUCUCUCUCUCUUUCUAAAAUUUCAACUCUCUCACUCCCUCUAAUUUCGACUAUAUUUUUCUUUCUAUUUUUUUAAUUAUGCUCUCUCUCUCUAACUUAUACUCUCUCUCCCUUUUUUCUAAAAAGAUGUUGAAACUUUUGGUAACAUUAUCUAAAAUUAAUUAAAUUAAUUAAUUAAUUAAUUGUAUAUUUUUUGUAAUAUUAAAUAACAUGGCUAAUUAAUAUUACCGUGCGAACCAAACACAGGAAUUCCACAUUCUUAGUAAUAGGAUUAAUAGAAAUAAGAUUCUCGGAUAUCUUUUAUUCCUAGUAAUCUUUCAUAAUGCGAACCAAACGCACCCUAAAUAAAAAGCAAGAAAGACAUCUACUAAUUAUGUUUAUCUCAUUACAAAACAUGAAACUAAGUCAUGCAUCCCUUCUAGCAAUACACAAUUCAACAAUGUGGAGAAACAAGGAAACAUUUAAUUGAUAACUGUGCCUCCAGCCUCCAGGGAUGAAAAACCUCAAGAGAUUCCCAUGUAAAAAAGUACACCAAGUCUAGUUGGUUCAACAUAGUCAGAGCCACAAUAUGUUUCACUCAUAGUUAGGCGUACAUACAGCAACAAAUAUCGUGAAAUGUGGCAUGAGAUAAAACCACAGAUCCAUUAAUGCAAUACAUCUAAUCAUCAAUUCUACAAGAAAAACCAACCUAAAUAUCAUGACUUACUGCAAUGGUUAUAACACCCUCUUUGCCAACUUUUUCCAUAGCUUUUGCUAUUAGCUCACCAAUUUCUCUUUCUCCAUUGGCCGAUAUGGUACCGACCUUUCAAAGGAAAGAUAAAAUUAGUAAGAGAACUAGAUUACCUUAAGCAACUCUGAGUAACCUAACCAGUGUUUACAAGUCUAAAUUAUUCUAAACACGAAACUAAAGUACCUGUGCUAUCUCCUCCGAUGUGCUUAUCAUCCUUGCCCUGCUUUUUAAGUUGCUUACCACAGUGUCAACAGCCAUUGUGAUGCCACGCCUCAGAUCCAUUGCAUUCAUUCCAGCGGCCACUGACUUGCAUCCUUCAGCAAAUAUUGCUCGUGUAAGGACAGUGGCACAUGUUGUACCUGGAAAUAGUGCAUGAAAGAGUUAGCCCAAGUAAACAGAUGAUAUAAAAUAUGACAAUCUGGAAAUUUAAGAACAUAUUAAAUGCUUCCAUGUAUGGAAGAAUAACUUAAUGGGCACAAAUGUGAGUUAAUAACUUUAUUUUCUAUAUCAAAGAAAAUGUUAUACAAGAAAAAGGAGGAAUCAUAAAUGGAAUGAAUAUGUGAAUUUAAACGUACCAUCACCAGCAGCAUCAUUUGUUGCAUUAGCAACCUGCUUAACAAGGCUUGCACCAACAUUUUUGGCCCUAUCUUUGAACUCAAUGCUCUUAGCAACAGUCACCCCAUCCUUUGUAACUUUUGGGGCACCAAAACUUUGCUCCAGCACAACAUUGCGGCCCUAUAUCACACAAUUGAAUCGAACUAGUCAUGCAGAAGGACAAAACGAGGAUUGAAAAAAAUUAAGUGAGAUAGCACCAUGAUAAAAUAAUUCAAAUAUAAGAGGGGAUAAAUAUUCCAAUAUUGUAUUAGAAAGUUUAAACUUGUUAACAAAUAGGCUAUUACGGACUACCUAUGUAACUUGAUUGCCUAGGGAGACAGUGUUACGGUAUUCAACAUUAUUACAAUUGCAUAGAUAGCACAAGUUCAUGUAUAUUAACAUUGUCCAAUUAUCAUCAAUCCAAUCAACAACCACCACUCUUGAACCAAGCCCGUAGCCAUACCUUGGGUCCCAUUGUCACUUUCACCGCAUCAGCUAACUCCUCAACUCCCUUAAGCAUCAAUGCACGAGCCUCUACUCCGAACUUGAUGUCCUUGGCCGCAUAGUUUCUGCUCCAAGCUAUCCUACUUCCAAUCUGCAGCAAUCAUUAAACGCAAAUGACUCAUAUAACAGCCGAGAUCAAACCAAAGUACAAAGGCCUAAUCUGCAGUAACGGUUAUAAGUAGAUAACUCAGAAAUAGUACAAAACAAACCAAACCAAAAAAAGAGCCACAAUUGAUCUGUAAAACUAUACCCAAGGAUUUAAGUACCUAUCGGCACGGGCCGUAUUCACCGUGCCGUAUCGUGGCAAUAAAAUAUCGGCAUGAUACAGCCCCCUGUGCCGAUGGUAUAACUUAAAACUCUAUAUUCUUUAAAUUAGUCAGUAAUUUUCUCAAUAAAAUUCAAAAGAUUUAAUAAAGAUACAUAAUAAGCAAUUAGAGUAUGUUGUUGCUUAAACAAAUAAAUAUUUCAUACCAUUAUGUGUCAGCAUAUAUGUAUUUUUUGUGAUCGGCAUGCAUCGGCACUAUCCGACAUGCAGGGUGCUAUACCGUGCCAGUAAGUUUACAGCACGACCCCAUGCCACGGCACUUAAAUCCUUGACUAUACCCAUUACACUAUCAUCAAAAUUCAACUAGUGCAAGACAAGAUAGAAUGUUGAGUAGCAACUAGGAUAGGAUUCAACAUGAUAAGACACGAAGAAUGCAGGGGAAGGAGGGUUUUGUUAAUAAAAAUUCAAAAUCUUUUAAUGUUUAUUAAUUAUUUAUUUGUUUUAUUUAUUACGGUUUAUUUAUUUUCUUAUUGUUUCGCUCGCUACGCGCGCUCGCGAUCGCGCGCGAGGGGCGGAGAUUGUUACGCACCCCGCGCUACGUGCAAGUGCGGAAGGUGUGCACGUAGCUAAUUAAUACGGAGAGGUGGCUAAUUAAAAGGAAGUUAACGUUGGAGUCCAACGUUCCUACUUGGGUCCUCUCUCUAUAUAUAUAUAUUUGGAUUUACUAUUGAUGUUUACAGGGGUGACAGAUUUUGAGAAAUUUGUUUUAUGAUUUUCACUUUCUCUCAUUUAAUUAAUUUCUUUCGUCGCCGGGCGUUGAAAGAAGCUUCGUCUACCUCUUCCGCGUUCGUGUCCGUAGGAGGAGUACCGGUCGUAUCUUGGGGCGGUGUUUCCGGUUAAUCCCGCACAAAGGACGGGAAUACGCUUUAGGACAGUGCCUCGCACGCUUCCGGAUCAAUUUGUUGAUAUUCUUCUUCCACAAUUUCUUUUUGGAAUUUAGCGAUUAUCGGUAAGUAGAUUUUAUUUAUUUAAUCACAAAAUUAGUUAGAUUUUAUCACAAUCGGAUUAUUCGUUGCGGUUUUUCCCCAACAGGUUUAGCGACUCAAAGGUGUCAAGGUGAGUUCAGUGGGCUACAACAGGAUACUUCGAUCCAACAAUCAUUCAAUCCCCACCUCCCAGACAGGAUGCGAUAAUCUGGUGCCUGUAGAAUUAGUUUACUUCUGAAGCAUCAAAAUUUGCUAAACCCUUCCUCACCUCCAAAAUCACUCUCUCGUAUUACCCUCUCCAAUCCAAUCUUUAAUAUCCAAAUUGAAGUAAACAACAAGAAACAUCCCACUAACGUUAUUAAAACUAACAAAUUCAAGCAAACAACUAAUUUUUUUUUAAAAAAAACAAAUUAGCAAAAUUUCCAAGCGAUGAACCAAUUACUAAACAUAAAAGAAAUUAAUUCCCACAAACAGAUUACAAUUCUCACCUGUCGACUGCUGUUCCCGGCGAUCCUACAACAGAAACAAGCAGAGAUCAUUAAGACCCCAGAAGCUCACAUGAUCAAAAAGCGAUAAAACCCUAAACUCUAAAUCCAUUGUGAGCAAGUAAAUGGAAAUGAUGAUACCGGGCUUUGGAGGCGAGGGUUGUGGCGACGCGAUACAUGAAGCGGAGCUCUCCACGAACGCGAUUCCGAGCGAAGGGAUUGAAGAAGAAACGAGAAUUUGGUGUAUGAAGAAGAGGGAGGGAGAGGAGUCUAGAAGUGUCUUAAAGGAACCAGGGUUUAGGGUUUUAGUGCACUGUUAUUAUUAUUAUAAUUACAAGCAACGGCACGUGACACUGAAAAUGAAUUCAAAAAAUUUCAGUUUCAAAUUUUUUUUUAAAGACCAAUUUAAGUUUAAUUAGAUUUUUAUUUUAUUAUAUUAUUGUUCAGUAAAGAUAAAAAAAAUCAUUUCAAGGUACAUUUGAUUUCAUUUUGCUGUCAAUAACAAUUUUAACAAAUAAAAAAGUCCAACAAAAUAAUUUUUGAGCUUUAAAAUCGAAAGUUCGGAGAUAUGAUUGCGAAUUUUAUACACUGUAUUUUUAAUGAAGAAUUAAGAAUUCAUUGGUACAGAUCGUAUUCAUUGUAUCGUAUCGUGCCAAUAAAAUAUUAGCAUGAUACAGCUUCCGUAUCGAUUACAUAGCUUAAAACCUUAUAUUUUUUAAAUUAAUAAAUAUUUUUUUUAAUAAAAUUCAAAAAAUUUGAUGCCAAUAUACAUAAUAAAUAAUUAGAAUAUUUUAUUCUUAAAAAAAUAAAUAUUUCAUACCACUAUGUAUCGUUUGCGAUUGAAACGCAACCGCAGAGAUGGACACACAUAGUGGCAUACUGGCAUAAGUACUGACACGUUUUUUGUACGAUUUUAUGCCAUAACAUUUAAAUUUUUAUUUUCAAUAAUACUUUUUAAAUAUUAUUUUAUUAAACAAUCAGUUUAGCUUUUCAUUGUAAAAAAAAAAAAAACCGAAUCGAGUGAAAGCGAAAAAAAUAGAAACUGAGCCAAGUGGGCGGAAAAUUAGUCCAGUUAAGUUACUUUGUUUAGGUUUAGAUUUAUUUUUAAGUUCACUUAUUUUCUUUAAAAAAAAAUAACUAAAUUUAAAAAGAAAAUUAUAAAAAUUGAUUUGGCCUUAAAAUUCCAGAGAGUUUGAGUGGUCCAGGCCCAAAGCAGGCCCAACUGAUGAAUGGCUCUCUUUGGUACAACACCACAAACCCAAUCACCUCACUCUUUCUUUCACUCUGUAGAUCAUUCUAUUUCCACCACCUUCCCCAAUUUGAGCAUUUUCCCCUCUCUCUCUCUCUCUCUCUCAACCACACCCAAACACACACUCACUCUUCCCAUUCUCUCUCUCUCUCUAGAAAUUUCUUGUUCCUAAUACUCUUGACUCUACCCACCAUGGCUACACUGCACUCUCUCCCUAUCUCCUCACCCCUCUCCCCAUGCCCCCAACCUCACCACCACCUCACAGGUUUUGUUUCUCAUUAAUGGAAACUUUUAAGCCCAUUUCCUCUCUCUCUCUCUCUCUAACUACAUGAAAUCUUGGUGUUCCUUGAAAUGGGUUUAACUUGGUUCUUUGUUUCUCAAUUUUGUGUUCUCAUCUUCAUUAGUCUUAUAAUGUCUUGGUAUUUGAACAAUUGCAUGCAUAGUUAAUUGAUUAGUGCUUGUUUGACUCUGCUUCUGUGCCUGCUUUCUGUUGUAAUGCUUUAUUUAUUUUAUUUAGAAAUAAAUGCAGCUAGAAAUAUGAAUUAACUAGGAUUCGAACUUGGGACCUCGGGUACCAACCAUCGAGCCUUUUGCCACUUGCGCUAGGACAAUCGGUUGCUUUCAGUUAUGGUUAACUAUACUAUUACGGUGGUUUCGUAAUAAAAAAAAAAAAAAAUCUGAGGCUUCUGCUGUAGUGGGAAGCGAAAAAAGUGAUUUUGGGGUCCAAAAGUAGAAACUUCGUGUUGGAACUUCUGAUUUUGUUGCAGGGAGAAGCAGUUUGGAGGGAACUUAAUAUAGUGCUUCUCUUAAUAGCACUUCUAAUACACCAUUUUGUCAAAUAGCACUACACCCUUAAGACUAAAGAUGUCCGUGGACCGGGUCGGGUCUGGGUAAUUAAUAUACUGUACCCAUACCCUAAAAAGAAAUGGUUACAAAAAAAUAUAUAUACCCUACCCAUUUAACUUCGGGUCGGGUCCGGGUCUGGGUACUAAAGUUUCUAAUAUGCCCAUCGGGUCUAUUUGAGCAGGUCUGGAUAGUGACUACCCGUAUACUACCCGUUCAAAAUCGGAUAUGGAUCGGGUCUAAAUCGGGUACGGAUAUCCGCAUAAAUAUAUUUUUUUAUAAACUUUAUUAAAUAGUCAAUAAACAAACUAUAUUGUUGAUAAUGAAAUAUUGUUGACGGAAAUGAAAUAAAAAAAAAGAGUAGAAAACAAAGAGUAAAAAAAUUAGAAAAAAGUAAUGAGUAAAAGAGACGGCUAGGGUUUCAUUAGGAUGAAAAUACAUAGUGACUCAUCAUCUAUAAGUCAUAUUAAAAUUGAUCCUUCAACUUCAAAAGUUUAUUUUUUUUUAUUUACUAUCGGAUAUUUCAUCGGGUCCGGGUCAGGGUCCGAAUUUGAAAACUAUUCCGGACCCUACCCAUUUAAAAGUUAGGUUCGGGUCGGGUCCAAAUCGGGUAUGGGUAUAAAAUAUCCGGACCUAUACUCGAAAUUUUAAUGGGUAAUUUUUUUUAUCCGUAUACUAUUCAUUUUUUAUCGGGUCCGGUUCGGGUCCGGGUAGGGUCCGGAUCGGGUAUGGGAUAUCGGAUAUUUUGGACACCUUUACUUAAGACGUGAAUCAUUAGUUGAGAAAAGUAGAGUUUACACUAGAUUGAUAAAUGUGGGAGUCUAGAAUUGGUAUUAUGCACUAAUGUUUACACAUUUAUGCAUGUUUAUUGUGUGCCCUGGUAUGAAUGCUUCUCUUGGUGUCGCUACCGAGACAACAUUUCAUCAAACAGUGCUAUGCCCUUAAGACAGGCAUCAUCAGUUAGGAAAUUGGAUUUCUCUCAAAUAAUAGAUUAGUUGAGAUAUUAAACCUGCCGUUAAGUUAAGCACCAAAGAGUCGAAUUGAGGGAUGAAGUUGUAAUCAGUUCUUGUCCUGUAUCAAACCUUGCUUUUUCUUUGAAUUGGCUAUAACUGUCAUAGCAAGUCCACAUCUCUUAUUAUCUUACGUGUUAUGUGCUUUCAUCAUACAAAUGGUAUAUCCCAUAGAUUAAGAGAUAGUUUUAGGUAAACAGAUGGAUUGUGGUGAAUUUGGAUCGAAUUGCCAAAUGUUAGCCGGAUUCGAGCUUCUACAAAAGAACUGUUAAAAUUGGCUGCUCGAGAAAGCAUUAACAGCUCCUCCAUUAAAAUUUCCUCAAAAGUCUUCCUACUGUAGUGGAAGCAGACAAGCAGUUGGUUCAAUUCAAUUGGAACUUUUGCUUUUGGGGUUUGAAAGCUCAUUUCAGCUUUGUGCCAUAGCAAAAGCUUUGGAAUUUUUGUUUACCAAAUUCCCGUCUACUUUUCUUUGGAGUCGUGGAAACUUCUUGAGAAGCCAGCUGAAACCUAUUAUAGCUGUCCUAUAUACAUUUUUUGUCUCAAUAUUGGAACUUCUGAAGAAUGUUGGCCUGCUUAUUUUCAUACCAAAUCUGCACUUUGUCAUCAGGUAAACAAUUGAUAAUUAUGAAUAUAUGGUAGUGUGUUAAUUCUGAUCUGAAGAAAAGGAGAAGAGGCAUUACAAAGAGAUCUAGUAGGAGUGAAAAAUAACAACAAAAAGAGAUAAAUUAAGCACAUUGACGAUAUAGUCUACACGGAUACUAUGGUUUGAUCCUUUGAGAUGUAUAGAAAACAUGCUGGAGAUAUGCCCUCUACGGAACUCCCACAGAAUUAUCCACAUUAUAUAACAGUAGAUUCUUGUUUUUUUUAAAAUUAUUCUGACACAGACUUGUAUUUCAGCAACCCACUUUACGCGAUCUUGAUCUUAUAGACUACUUUCACCAUUAUGCAGGCUUAAUAUCUGUCUCCGCAAUCCCAUGCCAGAGCAUUCGUUCCUCCUUCAACGGCACAUCAUUGCAGCUUCCUCCAUCCCAAAAGCCUGCCCGUAAAACCCGAUCAUCUCGAUCACCUGCACAAAUCACGAUGAUGGUCAAGCCAAGAAUCCAGUUCAUCCAAGGAAUCGAUGAGCAGACGAUCCCUGAUGUCAAGCUGACCAAAUCGCGUGACGGCACAAGCGGUGUCGCGACUUUCACCUUCGAGCAGCCUUCCGUGUUCGACUCGUCAAGCGAGUUAGGGGACAUCACGGGCUUCUACAUGAUCGACGAGGAAGGCGUGCUCCAGUCGGUCGACGUGAGCGCCCAGUUUGUGAAUGGCAAGCCGGCAAGAAUAGAGGCAAAGUAUGUGAUGAGGACCCUGCAAGAGUGGGACAGGUUCAUGAGGUUCAUGGAGAGGUACUCUCAGGCAAAUGGGCUACAAUUCAUCAAAAAGUAAAAAAAACAUUCUAUGUCUUUUUUCCCCCCCUUAGAUGUACUCUCUCUAUCUUAUGUUCUCAUUAAAGAAUUUUGUUAACUAUUUCUAGUUUCAGUUGUAAUGUGUUCAUGGUAUGGUAUUCCAAGUGGUUUAACCACUUUGAUAUACCACUCAAAUUAGUUUUUGUAAACUUGGUAUUCUGAGUAAAUGAGAUGUGUAUCAUUCACUAGUAUUCAAGAAGAUGCAUAGUCCCUUUUCUUUUCUUUUUCUUUUUCUUUUUGUUUCUUGGAAAUGAGUUGUGUAAGCAUAAUCUUAAAGACAAAACUGUUUUCGACACGCUUAUUUCAAUAAAUUUAUUUUUAUAAAUUGCAUGAAGUAUACCAAUAAUAUCUGUAAAAAUAGACAAUAUAUUUAAAUAAAUUUUGAAGUAAGAGAGUCAUUAGGUAACAAAAUCAAAAGUUUUAACGACUCUAUAGCAUAGUUAAUUAAUUUAGAUUCGGCAAAAAUUCGGUGCGGAUAUAAUACGCAUAAAAUUUAUUUUUAAAUUUUUAAAUUCGUUGAAAAAUUCGGCUUAAAAUACGUAUUCAUUAUAAAAUAUAAGAUAUAAAAUAUAAAAUAAUCUAUAUUUAAACAUAAAAAUUAUAAGUUUUUUAUUUAGAUUUUCAAUAAUUUGGAAAUAAUUANAUUCGCGAAUUAUUCGGCUAGCCCAAAAAUUCCCGAAUAAUUUUUUUUUUUUUGAAAAAAAUUCGUAAACGGACCGUUUAAUUCGGAUUUUCAAUUAUUCGCGAAUAAUUUGCGAAUAAUUUGCGAAUUAACUAACAAAGCUCUAUAGUUAUAUCAAAAUGUGAGAUAUUUAAUAUAAGUGUUUUAAUUUUUACCAAAUAAAAAUAUAAAAAUAAUGCAAAGAAACUGGUUCGAAUCAAAGCGGGUUCAAGUGGCCGGUCCGGUCCUGUCCGACCCGACCCGGUCUAGCGCACGGACAUGCUAAACGGUCAAACCCGCGCUCUCCGAUCGUCCCCAAAACCGCGCCAUUCAAACCGAAUUUCCGUUUCACCUUCUCCUCUCUCUCUCCUCCACACCACAUCGCCAUUGUUCUCUCUCUCUUCAUCAACCCAAUUACAAAUAAAAUAUAUAAUUAAAAGUAAGCUUAAAUACACACUUAAUGGGACCUGUGCCAUUCACAUUACACUACUCUCUCUUCUUCUUCUUCUUCUUCGCCGGCGUGAUCCCCUCCGUCCGCUCGGAGAUCAAGACCACCCGCAUCGCCGCCGACGCGCGCCCGCUCAUCCUCUUCGAGCAGUUCGGCUUCGACCGCGGCGGCUGCGCCCUCGUCUCAAUCAGCGGCGUCUCGUGGCGGCCCCCGCCGCAGCUGCAGCUCGCCGACGUCGACCCCAUGUCGAUGGGAUUCUUCCUCGUCCCCGACUCCCUCCUCCCCUUCCUCUCCAACGAGUCCGAACACAGCAGCGACGGCGCUCACGGCCGCCGCUUCUGCCCUCUCGCCAGCCGGUUCGUUGUCCCCGUCCUCCUCCUCCAGGAUCUUGAGCUCAAUUCGAGCUGCAGCAGGGCGGUUGAGAUUGCCCACCCCGACGAGUACAGCCUCCUCUUCGGCAGUUGUCAGCCCGGCGUUGAGGUUUAUGCCAAACUCAGCUCGCUCUGAAACUAUGUUGAGACCAUAAAAAAAAGUCAUAAAAGUUUAAGCAGCUAAAGAACGGUAUUUUAAUAUUUUGUGCUGAUCAUCCACCCAGGUCACGAUGGACGUCCGCACGGAGAUGUACAACGUGGGGCCCAGCGGCGGCGAGAAAGACUACCUCCCCGCGGGGAAGACGCGGCUCCCGAAGCUGUACUCGGCCUUCUCCGUGGUGUACUUUGCGUUCUUCGUUGCGUGGGCGGCCGUGUGCGCGAGGCAGCGGGCGGCGGUGGAGAAGAUACAUCUGGUGAUGGCGGCGCUGCUGCUGUUCAAGGCGCUGAAGAUGGCGUGCGCGGCGGAGGACACGUGGUACGUGCGGCGGACAGGGACGCCGCACGGCUGGGACGUCGCGUUCUACGUCUUCGGGUUCUUCAAGGGGGUGCUCCUCUUCACCGUCAUCGUCCUCAUCGGCACCGGCUGGUCCUUCAUCAAACCCUACCUCCAGGUCCCCUGCUACACCCUUCAUCUGAGCCAGACUCUGCUUACUACUAUUCACGUGUAUGAUAGAGUUCAAAUGAAUCAUAGCACAUAGCACAUGCAUCGACACGAAAGAUCAGAUGUUACGUAAUGUCAAUCUUAGAAACAAUGACUUCGCAUGUCAUGUUAGAUUUUCUCACGUGCAACAAAUGCAGGAGCGAGAAAAGAACGUGCUGAUGAUCGUGAUCCCGAUGCAAGUGAUCGAGAACAUCGCGUCGGCGGUGAUCGGCGAGACCGGCCCGGCGGAGAGGGACUGGCUGGCCUGGAACCAGAUCUUCCUGCUCGUCGACAUCGUCUGCUGCGCGGCCGUCUUCUUCCCCAUCAUCUGGUCCAUCCGGAACCUCCGGGAGGCCUCCAAGACCGACGGCAAGGCCGCGCGCAACCUCGAGAAGCUCACCCUCUUCAAGCAGUUCUACGUCGUCGUCGUCGGGUAUCUCUACUUCACGAGAAUUGUGGCUGCAGCCCUGAGUGCAGUGCUUAGCUACAGGUAUAUAUGAUCUCAACAUUUUCUGAUUUUUCGGAAAUUGGUGAUGAAAGAUCACUAGAUGAUUGUAUAAGAAUUUUUGUGGUUUUAUACAAAGUUUGGUACUAUAUAUUUAUAUAUUCUGUUAAUCGAAUUUCUAGUGAGUAUUUUUCCGAAUUUUUAAAAUUUCUGUAGAACUCUGAACUUUUCGAAUUUUACCAAAAUUUAAUCCGAAUGAGAAACUUGUGAGUUGUGACUGUGGCUGCAGAUUCCAAUGGGUGGUGGCGGCGGCGGUCGAGGGCGUGAGCCUCGCCUUCUACGUGUUUACAUUUUACAAUUUUCAGCCGGUGGAGAAGAACCCUUACCUCUACAUCGGCGACGAGGAGGAGGCGGCGGCGGCGGGGAUGCUGGAAAUGGAAGAAAGAUUUGAACUCUGAGUUUCUUUAUUUAUUUUUUUUUUAAAAAAAAUAUGAUUGUAAUAGGAGGUUACUAUAUUUUCAUUGCAAUGAUUCUAUUCAUACACAAAAUAUUUGUUCUCCUUUUUCUUUUCCUAUUUUUUAUGAUUAUCUCGAUUUUUAUUGAUUAAGAAAAUGAACUUUCAAGAACUUUUAAGCUUAUUUAGGCCAAUACAUCAUACACAUCAUAAGUAGACAAUUAAAGGAACCCUAAGGUGGUAUUAUUACAAUUUAUUAUUUAUCUCAAUUAAAGAAAUAUUAGCUGAACAAGUGAACAAGUGGAUCCAAAAUUGAUUCCAAUAUUUUUCUUAGACAAACAAACUUCUCUUUCACAGCAUCAAUGAAUUGUCCAAUGCAAAUGUCUACCCUUUCACAGCAUCAAUUAGAAGGGAUUUAAAUUAUAAAUUCCAUUCAACUCGAAUUAAGUACCCGAAUUAUGAACAAAUGACACUGCAAAAGUGAUUGUUUAGGAGCCUCUUAAGAGGAUGGUGGCCUCAUCUUGCAACACCUUCCACGCCGCCACGACAUGCCGCUCUUCAGUCAGGGGUGCUCCGAUCGCAAACCGCAGAACAAACUUGCCAGAAAGAACCUACUCGAAAACAGAAAAAGAAAAAAGUUGAGGCUUCAUAUCACCUGCGAAGUAAAAAACACACCGACACUCGUCCAAUUAUAGCUCAUUUUCAAAAGCGGUUUCCGAACUUCAAUUUUUUAGGGAAAAUGUCAAAAAGCUCCUUUCCAAUAUAGCACGAUCGCACUUUACUACCUUGUGAUUUGAAGAGUAGGAAUUCGCGCUCUUGUUGUUAAAACCACGCGAGCACAAAAUUCAAAUAGAAAACCAAAGGCUAAAUUGCAGAAAACAUCUCUACCAAUAUCACGAUUUCACUUCCUUCCCUUGAAAAACAAAAUGACUUUGUCUGUGUUUCAUUAGGCAACAGAUAUAUAUUGCUCAGAGUUAUAAAUGUGAAAAUCGCAAUGUUUAUAGAAGUGUGUCCUGCAUUUUAGCCAUAACAAACUGAAUUAUUAGGAGCUCGUUUUCAAAUGACCUACAGUUGGAGGGGAGUCCACAUAUUUUUAAAAAAAUUAAAACAGUAUAUGAGUUCAGAAAUUUUAAGGAACUAAUGUAAAACCCACAGUAUGAGACAUGAAGAUCUUCCCGCUUCUGUUUACUGCGUCGAGGAGAUUGUAGUUCAGUUUAUAGCCAUCAUCUUGGUCAUACAGAGGAGGGAGAAGGCGGAAACAAACAAGUGAAAAGGUCCUUGGAGCAACAAUCUGUGUUGAUUGCAAAAAGGAAAAAAAAAAGGUUUUAAAAAUGCCGUUAAGCAGACACGUAUUUUUCACCGAUAAACACUGAACCGAAUGAAAAUUCACUACGAAGUCACAAAAUUGUAAUUUCCUGCAAUUAAUGAACGGAGCUUCAUUUAAUGUUACAAUUGGGUUCUACGGUCACACUCGGUGGUUGAGUCACUGCCACAGGUAGCAAUUUCGGCAAAAAUGGGUCUGUACUAUGACAUUACUACUGGAAUUGUGGCAAACUGAUUAGCUGCUAUGUCGAUUAUUUCUCAUUUAGGAACACCUUAAAGGCAUUUGACGACCGGACCCAAGUGUAGCAAAUAUCGGAUCGAGUAUAAUUUCAACAAUUUACAGCGGUGCUUCGAACAACUUUACUAGAACAACACUUUAAGAAGCUUCAGCUGGGCUUAAAAACACAAGUAUUCUUGGAUAAAGUAUAAGAUAAUACUAAUAACUCAUGCUAGGCACUUCCAACAAGUUUUUUACUUGGGUUUGGACUUCUCAAGCUGAUCCUACGCCAAAAGUUUGUCUCGGCAGUUUUUGCCAAUUUAUAAGAUGCUAAGUUCAACUUUCCUUUUUUUCUUUUUCUGUAUGUAUUGCAUCAAUUCUGCGUUGUAAUUGAUAUUUGAAUGAUCAAUUUAUCCUUCCAGCAAAAGAAACUUAAAAAAGAUCUUUACUGAAUUUAAAAUGUCAAAGGAGUGGAACCAAAAUAAUAGAACAAAACUGUUGUUUUCUCCUACCUCAAACCUAGAAUCAGAAGAGAUGAGCUGUUCGAACUGCUCAGCCAACUUUAUGUGCUCUCGGAUGUAGCUUUGCAGAUUCUCCAAACCAUAUAGUCUCAAAACCAUCCAAAGCUUCAGAGAUCUGCAACGAGAGAGAGAGAGAGAGAGAGAGAGAUUUCUCAUGACCAAGAACAAAGCUUCUUGUUGGUACUGGUGAUUUUCUUAAAAGAGGAACUUACAUAUAUAUCCCAGCAAAUUCAUCUAUUUAUUUAUUUACCCCUGCAGAAUCUGAAUUUCCAUACAUACCCCUUAGAAAGUAUCUUGCAAAAAAUACGCUAUCUCGAGUUUGAAGUCAUCCAACUCAAGUGGAGAAGUUAGUUUUGAAACAGAGUUUUUCAAGAAGCAGCGCUUUUAUAAGUACGAGGUAUAAAUGUAGCCUGGAUAAUUUUCUAAGGGCAUAGAGAAGAAUUUAGAUUUUGCAAGAAUAUGUAGAAAAGUUGAAAUUUACGAAAAUCUAUCAGCUUAUGUGCCUCAAAUAAGAACAGAAAAUUUGCUGUCUCAUUUGAGCAGUGUAUAGAUCUUUGACAUAUAAAUCCAGUAUCAGACCAAAAUCUUUUGAACAUUCCUCGGUAUCAGAGUCGGAGUUUGCACCUGAAACGGCGUCCAAGAGGAAUUUGCCAGUCUUUGAAAUCCACAACAGAGUUUUCUUGUGAAGCCUGCAAUAAUUAGAUUAAAGAAUCAAAUAACAGGAACUAAGAAUAACUGCAUCAAGAAAUUACAUCCUUCACAUAUUUGGGAAGCUAUCUAAAUUGAUGCGAUUAAGUCAGUAAAGGAGCUAACCUUGUUUUUCAGAAACUCGGGAUUUGUGGACAAAGAUUGUAUAAGAGCACUUCGGUCCUGUUAGCAAGGAACUUUUAUUAGAGAAGAAAUCAUAACCAUGAUUGAUUUAGAAGUAUGAAGACUCGGCAACACUCAUGUAUUCUUCAGAUUUUUGAUAUAGACUAAGCCCAUCGAUAUUUAAAGCGUAAUUAGAAUAUCGUAUGCAAGGAGGAAUCGGAAAGUGAAUGUAUCCUUCAGAAAUUAAGAUUUGAUAUUAACAAGGCAUGUGCCAUACCUUUACCCAAAGCAACGAGCAAUCAAAAUUCGUAAGAAACCAUUUAUGAGCAUUCAUGCAAAAUGAAUCUGCUUCCUCCACGCCGUCAAUAUGAUGACGGUACUCUGGACAUAUACAAGCACUGCCCGCAUGUGCAGCAUCAACAUGGAACCACAUGUCAUGGACCUGGCAGAAAAAAAUUUAAACAAAUUUCAAAUUUCACAAUUACACGAGUCUCUGUGAAAUAGUAAAAAUGUAUGGAAACAGGCCAUUUUGAAAUAGACCCUCCAACUUUAUAUCUUCAACUGACAUCACUUUCACUUUUUUGUGCUUUGAUUUGAUUCAUUUCUGUCAAUUACAUAGGGAUUCAGUUCGGGGUCCUAUUUCCAAAUGGCUUAUAAAGGGAGUUCACCAUACUUUUUACAAUGUAACAAUUGAGACCAUCAAAGCAGAACCAAAGUACUCAACUGCAAAGAAUUUUCAUUGUUAAAGCAUAAAUUUCUCCACAUUUUUAUAGAUCAAUUAUAGCUUACAAUACCUUAGAAAUAUUUCCUAGUUUCAAUAAUGGAUCUACAGCUGCUGAAGAGGUAGUGCCCACCUGAAAGGAACAAAUUGCUAAUUCAAUACCUCAGAAUUUAGGGAAUUGACAAAAGAAAAAGCUAUAUAUGUAAACACUUACCGUGGUUUGCGACUCUAUCAUGUUUUUCUACAAACUUGAUAUUAAAAGUAUGCUACAGAAUUUUAUAAUUGUUGUUACUAUUUGCUUAUAAAAUGAGCAUUUUUUCAAAGCAAAAAAAAAGUUUCCAACAAAUUUUCAAUUUCCUAAGCAAAAGCAAUCAUUGAUGCCAAACAUCUCAUGAAGCAUUAUGCAACAAGAUGGCAAUCUCUUCGACAAAAAAGGAACAAAAAAAAGAAAAGAAAAGAAACCAAGCAGAUGCUACAUUCAGAGCCAAAGAUUGUAAACAGAGGUUUACGACAAGGCUAGAGGCAAAAAGUUAAAUUAAAAAGAAUGGAAAAUAGAAAGACAGCCAUGUAAUACCAUAUGAACACUAGCAUUAAUGUAAAGAAACAAUCAGGAGAAACUUAAUAUGAGGACAAACCAGAUUAAAUUCCAAGGAGAAAAUAUGUACUAACAGAAAUACCAAUAUCAACAAUGAAGAGGACAGUAAUGUCCAUUAAGGUUUCCCAUGACUCGCCAACUUAAUAUAACGAUAUUUCUGUAAGAAACUGCGUCUUUCCAGGGGUAUUUACGAAAAUUCUGAUUUUACAUUGGUAAAUAUGUAUAUAGAUGAUUUUGCAGGGAUAUAUCAGGUAAUUAUAUCAAAGUUUCUCAUUCUGAUUCAAAGAUAAGGAAAAAAAUACAGAGAAAGGAGACUUAACACUUGAUCCUUACUGUAGCACAGAGGAAAAAUGGUAUCAAGCCAAAUGACAAGUCCUUGGAAAUCGCUUCACUGAGUACUUCAGGAAGAAGAGCAUAGUUUGAACUGCUAUCAGUCUUGAGCACUCUAAAGUUUUCUGGAAAUAUCCCUGCAAUCUAACGUGAAAAGCAUAUCAGCUCAUAACUUCAUGAGUAAUUAAACGCAAAUGAUUAGAUUAUAACUAUUUGACAAUUUAUUAUUAGAUCUAUCAAAAGUAUCCAAGCAUUUCUCAUCAGGAGCUCAUUUGAAUGAUUCAAUUUGCUAAACUUAAGGGCUCAUUGGAAAAUGAUUCGUUCUCCCAAUUUGUAACCAUCGGUUCGAAAAAAUCAAGUAGUUCUAGUAAAGCUUGGUGAGAUACACGACAAACAAUGAGCAUGUCUUCUAGAGUUACCCAUUGUAAACAUCAUUUGUUCAUUUUGACGAGGAUUAUGCUGAAACUAAGAGUAAAUUGGAGGCACUUUGGUUUUAUCAAACAUUUAACCCCUAAUCUAACAAACUCCAAUAUAUCGUUUUCAAGAAAUGAGUAGGAAAGAGUACAUAAGAAUGCAUUCAAACACAUAAAAAAAAAAUGGAAUACCAUUGCACAAAAGGAUGCUGGUGGAAUAGGACAAAAUAGCGACACUCAGCACGGUACAUGCCAAGGACCAAGCAGUAGGCUGCUUAUACUGUUGAUUUCAAAGAAGAAUAGAACUGUCUCCUCUAAUUCUUAUUCAAUAAAUAAAUUCAAGGCAAAUAACAUGAUAUAGAGCAAAUCAUAAAAGUAGCUGUCUUUGGAAAUUCAGUCGAUUUAUACUACUAGUGUGAGAAUGAGACAAGAAGCCUUAUUUUCACAACCACACACUUGACAAAUAUGAUGUUUACAAUACCUGGCAUGCCUUUUGCAUAGCAGAAUGUGUCUGAUCGGAACAAUAAACCACCAGCUUUUCAAGGGACUUUCUUCCAGCCUUCAAUAAAAUUUUGUCUCUUGCAGCUAAUAGAACUACAAGGACAGCUUCGCUUGCUGUUCCUUGGAUUACCCCUCCACCUUGCCCUGCAAGAUGAUCAUCAAAUAUCAGCCAAAGCGAAGCAGAGAAGGCAGGGAAACUAAAGGGAUCUUUUUGCAUAUACACCCAUAGCGAAAGCCCCAGAGAUUUUGUUUUACCAAAUGCCUAGCCACUGCUUCCCAGAGUAAUGAAGCCGCUCCGAAAGCCAGCGAAAGCAGGCAUUAACAGCGUCGCAACUCUUACCUGUCGAAAGGAACUGCUCAGGCAGCUUAAGCAUUUUAGCGAACCAAUCCAAAACAAUCAUCUCCAGCUCCGUCGCGGCAGGAGACGCUAUCCAACUGAACCCAAUGAUAUUGAAGCCGGCGCUGAGCAUCUCUCCUAGGAACCCAGCAGUGCUGCUAUUAGACGGAUAAUAAGCAAAAUAAUCAGGGCUCUGCCAAUGAGUGAUGCCUGGGAUUAUCUUCUGACGUAUAUCUGCGCACGAAAACUUUUCUUAAUCCUCAUAUCCCUUUUCUUGCAAAUAUUAGAAGGCUUAAUCAAAACAGAGAAGAGAAUCCCGAGAUGUGAAGUACAGUGAAGUAGUAUCACCAUCGAAAACAUCUUCAAGAUUUUCAGGUUUGCAGGGAGCCGAAUCAGGUAGGAGCUCCUUAAGAUAUCCUGGCUGCGGGGAAAGGUACUAAGUUAUAGAUAAAAAAUAUAUGUAUGAUUAACACAAACAUGAAAUGGAAAACCAUCUUGUUGUGCUAAAAUGAAAACAACAAAGUAUCACAGGAGAUGCCAAUGAAACAAACAAAUUUACGCAGAUCAUCGAGAUUAAUUUCAAUAAACAAGAUUUUGAGACUGAAAAUGUAAGUUUUAAUUUGAAGCUUCUACUUCUAUCAUAAAUAAUAACUAGUGAAGGGACCCGCACUUUACAACGGAUACAAAUUGUAGCAGUAAUUAAUAAUAAAAAAAUAUUAAAUAUUUUCUUGUGUAUCUCACUUGGUACAUCCACCAAAGAUCUCUCACUGUUGGCGGAGGAUAUGGACUCGACGAUGCCUUCUCCAGCGAUGGUGAUAGUGACGGCAACGAUGAUCCCUCCGAUCACAGCAAAAGGGGAAAUCGGGCGCGCAUUCGUGAGAGAGAGAGGGAGCGAGGGAAAGAGGCGAUGGUGUAUAGCAAAAGAUGAAAGAUAGAGAAUUAAUGAAUAGAUUGAAGAUAAAGAAUUGAAAAUCCGGUGGAGGAAAGAAAAUGCCAUGAUGAAUAAUUGGAGAUAGAGAGGCUAUGAUUGUAGAUGGUAAUGAGACAAUUUAAAUAUACUAAUUGGAAGUUUGGUAGUGGGACCGUUUGCAUUAACUGAAAAUAUAGUAGAGCGAAGGGAAAUGGUCAUAAUAAAUAAUUGUAGAUAGAAACGAUACAAUUGUAAAUGAUAGUGGGACCAUUUAAAUACAUUAAUUAAAAGUUUGGUUAGUGGGAUAGUUAAAAUGUAUAUUGAAAAUUUGGUGAAGGGAAGAAGAAGAGUCACAUGCUAGUGAGAGUGAAGGAGAAUUUGCCACGUGGCAAUAAACAUUGGGAAUUCAUAUAGUUUAAUAGAUAGAUAAUGAGAAGAAUGUUAGAGCUUCCUCGAGAAGAUCAAUCCAAAUUACUCUAACUCUAGCUAAUCCAAUCUAGAAUCUCCUAGUUAUUAAUGGAAGUGUAGUCCCAUUUGCCAAAUUUGACAAAACUGCAGUUGAACUAGACAAAAUUCAUCAUUAAACAUUCUAAGACAACUCAAAUCAAAACAAUUACAAGCUGAGCUUUAAGAAAGGGGUUUUGGAUAAAGUUUGAGGAGCAAAACCUCUCACCGUGAAGGGAAAUAAAAAUUAAGUAAAAAUAACAAAAAAAAAAGAAGAUAAUCUUUUACCUUAACUUGGCUAAGAACGGGAAAGGAUUCGAUCAUUUUGUAGUAAUCGGCGAUGAAAUCGACCAUUUUGUGGGCGUACUCCCUCAGCUGCUCCGAAUCCAUCGGCUUCAACUCGCUCUCCCUUGAAGAAGCAUCAAAAUAAAGUUCAUAUUAAAAGAGAAAAAAAAAGAAAGGAAAGAUCAGAGAUUUAAGAAUGAAAAUAUUAGAGUUAAAAACUAACAUUGGAGAUGGAAAGAGAGAGAAAAAGAAGAAGAAGAAGGAGGAGAAGAAGAAGAAGAAGAGUGUUGGGAGAAAACGGAGGGAGUGGGAGAGAGAGUGUUCUGUUCUCUCGUGUGUUUGGUGGAGCGGAUGAUUUUGUAAUGGAGGGGGGAGGGGUUUCCUGGGACCGGAGGGAUCCCGCCCCUUAUUAUCAGAUUAAUUUAAAUUGGGCCUAAAAUGCAGAUUUUUUUUUUUUUAAACUUCGAAAAAUUUAUUUAUUUUUCUUAAAAUUUUAAAUUGAUGCACUUAAUUUUCUCCAUCAAAGAUUUCUUCUGUUAAUUUUUUAUAAUUUAUAUCAAAAAAACUUUUAAAAAUAAUAAAAAUAUAUUAAAAAUAAUUUUUUUUAUGUAUAACAAGUACGAAUAAUUUGAUCAUUUUCCUCUUUUUCAUCACGGUCCGUAAUUUUGAAAGUUUUAAAAAAUAAUAUAAAUUUUUAAAAGUUAAAAAAAGUAAAAAUAAUGAUAUUUACAAUAAUUUUUCUGUAGUUUAAUCAUUAAACUAUCUAUAUCGAAGAGUGUAGAUUAAUUUCAUGAAUAAUUAGCAGCGGAAUUAUUCUUUAAGCAAUAAUUUUCUAUGCAAUCAAUUGUAAGAAAAUCAUACAGAAAUCAAUAAUAGGGCUAUUCUCUGUACAAUUGGUUAGACAAAAGUUUUGUAUGGUGCUCCACAUAUAACUUUUGUAAAUCGGAGCUUNAUGCCAAUUAAAUUCUAAAAAAAUAAUUUGUAUUAUUUAAUUUUUUAAUUUAUUUAGUAUGAAUUAUUUAAUAAUAUUUAUAUUUUAAAAUUUAAUUGUAUAAUUUAUUUUUACAAGCUUAAUUAAUAUAUUUUACAUAAUUUAUCUGUCUAUCUUUCUAACACAUUAAGUAAUGAGUCUAAAUUUUAUAUCAAAAUUUUUUUCAAAUUACUUAUAUAGAAUAAAUUAAAAAAAUUCUUAAAACUAAAAUUUUUAAAGAUUAAAUAGUUGAACAAAAUGGCAUGUCAUAGGUUCUACCCAUUUUUAUCCAUCAAGCAUGAAGAAAUUACUUCCCUGCACCCAGUGCACCAUGUCACUCGGGCACCACAGCACCAUUCCCUUCAUUUUAGUUUUUUUUAAUAUAUAAAAAAUACUUUGGACACGAACAAAGUUUAUAAUAUUUUAAUAAUUAUACAAUUUGAUGAAUUGAAUUCAACUUUAAAAUUAUAAUUUACAAUUAUCUUCUCAUAAUUUAUAUUUUUUUAUUAAUUAAAUAUAUCAAUAUAUACUAAUUUAUAAGGUAUUAUAAAAUUUAUUUGUAAGUUUAGCCAAGAGAAAAAGGGUCAAAUAAUGCUGUUAUUAUAUUUCACACCAUGUUGCGAUUAAAAGAGUAGCAACGCUUUNGCUGUUAUUAUAUUUCACACCAUGUUGCGAUUAAAAGAGUAGCAACGCUUUUCUCUCAUCGAAAAUUGUCCAAUUUCUACAAAUUAUAUUUUUUUAUUAAUUAAAUAUAUCAAUAUAUACAGUUUUGAGGGCUAGAAUAAAAUUUAUUUGUAAGUUUAGCCAAGAGAAAAAGGGUCAAAUAAUGCUGUUAUUAUAUUUCACACCAUGUUGCGAUUAAAAGAGUAGCAACGCUUUUCUCUCAUCGAAAAUUGUCCAAUUUCUACAAAUUAUAUUUUUUUUGGUUUGGUUAAACUGUACAUCCGAUUAAAUUUUAUUCUAGCCCUCAAAACUUUUAAGCGUGACAUUUGAAAACUUGGAAAUUUUUAAUGAAAAGCAAUUGACAACCCUGCUGAAGCUUCAGCUUCAUCGUUCAAAGGAUCAGGCUCUGCUGCUUCUGCUGGUAGUUUCUCUCUCUCUCUCUCUCUCUCUCUUGAUGUGCUUGUUGCUCAACCCCAAUUUAGACCGAAUCUACAAAACUAAAAAAAUAAUUUGAUUUUUAAAAUUUUAAAAUUAGUAAAGUUUUUUAUACAAAUUGGCCAAAGUUUAAAGACUAAAAUUUUUUUUUUGAGAAAAGAUAGCACGCUAUCUGCUUCAUUUAUUGGAAGUAUGAACUAGGCUACAGGGGUGAGGCACCUAGGGCCUCGAGAAAACCACAUCAAUCAACAUGAAAAAAAAGAAAUCUAAUUUGGUCGAAGGAGGAGUUCUCAGGAUUUCAACAGCUGCUUAAACUUGUGGACGGCUAGCACUGGCUCAAGCUAGAUAUUUCUAAAAAUCAAGUCAUUUCUGACCUUCCAAAUGGUCUAUCAGCAAGCAACUAAUUUAGAUAGGCUGUUACUCGAAUUUUGUAAUCCUUUCUUGACCAUCCACCUAUCUUAGACGCAAUUUACAUCGUCGCCUAGCUCCCUAUCCUGAACACCUUUCACCCCCAUCACCAUGAUGAACUUGGUGAAGACGCACUAUGUGAACAGGUGAUCUACUGUCUCUUCAUGUGACCUGCACAACACGCAGGCUGUGUCUCCAGUCCAACCUCUCUUCACGAGGUUAUCAGCUGUAAGUGGCCUCUUUUUGAGGACUAGCUAACAUAACAUUUUUACUUUGAGAGGCAUUCGGAGACUUCAAAUCUUGUCAGCACGUGCGUCCCUUAUACCCCCAUCACUCAACAUGGUAUAAACCGAUCUGAUCGAAAAAUGUUCGUUGCUACACCAUCUCCUCAGUAUCGUAUCUGGUCUUUGCACUACUUUAUAUCGGCAAACCCUUUCCCUAAGUGCUGAAAGGUUGGAUCUCAGCCCAGGCGAAAUAGCAGUCUCAACUCCCAGGAUCCUAGUCCAAUUCUAGUUGUCACUUCUGAAGCAAUCCCUUACCUUUAGUAGUUUGCGAUUCGUCGUAGCAUAAAUCUCUGGGAAUACAGUUGUAGGGUGGUUUCCCCACACCAGUGAUCCAACCAAAAGUCAAUAGAGCUCUCAUUACCCAGUUUGUAGGAGAUUCCCCGUUUGAAAAUAUCAUUGGUGCUUAAUUAGGGCUCCCUUCCACCAGUAUGAGAGAGGCCUGAAAUAUUUUUCCUCCCUCAGUGGUUGUCUUUUUUGAUAGUAUAAAGCUCGAAUGAUCUUAUUCCAUUGUAGUUGUGGUGUUGUAUGGAAUCUCCACUACCAUUUGGCCAGAAGGGCACGAUUCAUAAUGGCUAAGUUUAGGAUGCCGAGCAUGUCUUCUAUUUUGCUUCUACAAACGUUCUUCCAUGCCACUAAACAGCCCUUGCCUGAGGAAUUACUUCCGCUAUUCCAGAAAAAAUCUCUGCGUGUGGCCUCUAUGCGCUUGAUCACCUAUUUGGGUGUCUUGAAGACUGACAUGAAGUAAAGGGGUAGGUUGGUUAGGACAACGCUGACCAAGACGAGUCUACUCCCCCUUGAUCUUGAAGACUAACAUGAAGUAAAGGGGUAGAUUGGUUAGGACAGCGUUGACCAAGACGAGUCUACUCCCCCUUGAGAGCAGUUUAGCCUGCCAUCCAUUGACUCUAUGUUGGAUUUUCUGGAUGAUCCGCCACCAUGCCUCCUUUAAGGGGGGGUCUAGAAGAGAAAGGAAAUCCUAAGCGGUAGGGAGAGUGCCAACUCUGCAGAGCAAGUUUGAUGUUUUUUUUUUAGCAAGUUUGCUGUUGGAUAGCAUAUUUAGGUUGUACCCUUUUUUUCCCAUCAAUCAUAAGAACUUAGUUCCUUGCACCCAGUGCACCAUGUCACUUGUGCAGCACAGCGCCAUUCCCUUCAUUUUAGCUUUUUUUUUAAUAAAAAAUAUUUUGUUUAUAAAAUAAUUUUAUAAUGUUUUACGAGGCAUACAACUCAAUGAAUGAUUUGCAAUUUUUCAUUCAUGAUUUGCAAUUUUUCAUUGAUAUCUCUUACCUUACAAUCAUCAAUUAAAUAUUUUUUAUGUAUAGUAAUUUAUAAAAUAUUAUAAAAUUGGCUUGUUUUGCGUUAAGCGCACCAAAAGAAAAAGGACAAAAAAAAAGAAGAAAGGGUCUCCACAUGGACGCCUAAAGAAAAGGGACAAAAAAAAGGGUCAAAUAAUGCUAUUACUAGUGACAGACCCGCGCGAUGCUGCGAAUAUAAAAAUAUUUUAAUAAUAAAUUUUGAUUUAUAUUUAUAUAUAUUUUAUAUAGUUUUAUAAGUCUAAUUAUUGAUUAAGUAAAAGUUAUAUUUAAAAUAAUUUAAUAAUUAAAUAUGUUUAAAGAAAAAUAAUUAAAACUGGUAUAUGUGCAAUAUAAAUUUAUAUAACAGUUUAUUAAUAAUUAAAUUAUUUUGUAAAGAUUUAUGUGAAAAAGAUUUGAGAUAAAUCUAUUCAAAUAAUUUAAAUAAAUCAGUAAAUAAAAGAAAAAUAAAUAGUAGAAGAAAUUGUUUAUAAAACUAUAUUUAUAUAUAUACAGAGAGACACACACUAUAUUUAUAAAUUGUUAUUCCAGAAAUUUAAAUUUUGUAUUUUUUCAUAUGUCGCCAUUUUUCAUGAUUUUGAUUGUAUCUACCAGAAUAGAUUUUAUUACGCAAUUUAUUAUGCGUAUUAUUAAUACAAUUAAUUAAUUAUAUAGGGUUUAAGCGUUUAAAUUUUGAAGUUUGAAAUUUAGAAAUAAAUAUUAUAAAAUCUAAAAUCUGGAGCUUAAAAUUUGAAAUUAUAAACUUUAAAAUUGUUAUAUUUGGUUUAGAUUUGUAGUUAUCUAAAUUGGAGUUAAAUCCUAAUCUAAUUAGGAUUAUAUAUAAUUUAGAUUUAAUUUGGCAUAUAUGGAUUAUAAUUAGGAGUAUAAUUCUAAUUGAAUUAGAAUUAGACUCUAAUUAGGAGACAUGUAUUAUAUAUACAUGCUAUGGCCAAGUUAAUGACGCCGCGACCAAAAUUAAGGCCAUGCAACCCUCUAAUUAAUUAGCCAAACGUUGCCUUUCCUUUUGUUGGUGUUCGGUGCUUGGUCGUGGAGCGGUGCUAAAUUAAUUAAGCCAAGUCAUGCACCUUGUUCCGUACGGUCAAGAUCGCGCAAUUCUAAUUUAGCCAUGCACCAAGAUCCAAAGUUAAUUAAUUAAGUGGCAUGUUGGUUUUCCGUAUGGUGAAGGAGCCGAGCCGGUUUUCUGGAGUUGCUUGUCUGCGGCGUUUCGGAUCUAAUUAAGUUUUGGUCUUUUGAGAGAUUUUCUUGUACUCCCGCCUUUCGACAUUAAUAAAUUAUUUGCUCCGCUUCGCGCCGUGGACGUAGCCAGUUGCCGAACCACGUAAAUAUCGGUGUGUUCAAUUUCUUAUCUUUCUUUUCUUACAUUAAUAUUUUCUGGAUCUAUUUUUCACCGUUCCGAUUUUAACAAAAAUUUUAAAUCUAGAAUUUUAAAUUUUAAUUUAGAACUUAAAAUUUUAUAUAUAUAUAAUGUGUGUGUUGUGGUCGCGCGUCAGUGUGUGUGUAGGAAGAAGAGAAGGGAUGGGUUGGACACCGUGUCACUGUAAGGUCCCCCAAACCUCCUUUAAUGUAUUAGAAGAAGAUUUUACACCAUGUUGCAAUUAAAAAGGACAAAUAAUAGCAUUAUUAUUUAACACCAUGUUGCAAUUAAUUAAAAGGGUCAAGUAAUGCUAUUAUUUUACACCAUGUUGCAAUUAAUUAAAAGGGUCAAAUAAUGAUAUUUUCUAACACGUACCAUGUUGCAAUUAAAAGAAUAGCAAUGCUUUUGUCGAAACGAAUAGCGUCCAAUUUCUACAAAUUGUAUAUUUUUUUGGUUUGGCAUGUGCUAUCAUAUAAUUUUUGUACCUUUGAUUAAAUUUUAUUCUAGCCCUUAAACUAGGGGUGGCAUUUUAAAACUUGGAAAAGCUACUACUUUGUGAGUUGCUGAGAAAGUUCACAGCUGACACUCAACAUUAUUGGCUGUUCAAUACUGAUGGGUCAACCCUUUUGGUCAUUGAUUGUGUUCAUCUGAUCAUUUGAGGGGGAACUAGAGAGCUAGCUAUACGUGAAACAUGGCUUUGGCCUAUGUAGCUCAGUCUGCUGUGUCGAUCGUAAUCGAGAAGCUGAUCAGCACGGCCGUAUCCUACGUUUGGGAACGCUGUGCCGGGCCGAGCGCCAUGCAGGAGGAGAUCCAGAGGCUUCAGCAGGCUUUUCCACGGAUUCAAACGAUUUUGGAUAUGGUCGAGAGGGACCAGACUGUCAGUACGAAGCAAAACAAGGGGCUGGACGCCUGGCUGUGGCAACUCAGAGACGCUGUCGAUCAGGCGGAGGACGUGCUCGACGAGAUGGAGUACUACAAGCUGGAGAAGGCAGUGCAAGCCGGAGAUAACAAGGUACUGUUGGGGUUAAAGUCUGGAAUUUGAUUUAAUUUUACAGAUAUUUGAUUAAAUCAAUUAACAAAUAAAUAUUCAAUUAAAGACAAAAUUAAAUUAAAAGAUAAAGGGUUUCAAAAAAUAGCUAGGUGAGACGUGUAAUGUAAUGUUCGAGAGUAACUUUAGUCUCUCUGCGUGCUUGUCUUCGGCUAGUUGCUCUAGCGACACAACACUUCGGAUUAUUCCGAUCUGUUUGAUUGUACGGUCUCAAAUAAGUGCUCGAUUGAAUGUUAAUUCGGCUUUUAAAAUCUCAACUUUAGAAAAUAAGAUAUGAUAGAGUAAAAAAAAAUUUUAGUUAGGAUCUCAUAUAUUUCUCUCUUUUAUUGUCUUUUUUAUAAUAAUAUAUAAAGUUGACGGUCGAAAAGAAGUUGUAGGACGUUCCGCUAAAGAGGAGUACAUGAUCCUGCAUCUCGUGGAAAGCGGUGUACCCCGUUUUUCGGAUAGAGGAGAGAGAGAGAGAAUGCGUCGUGUAACUUCCUCAUAUUAAAUAUAUUGUAUUUAAAUUAAAUUUUAAAUUAAAUCUUUUAAUUAUCUAUUUGAUUUAAAUUAAAUUUUUUAACUUAAACUAAUUCCAACAGGUACAACAAGGUACUGCACUCAACUUAAAAAGGAAGUUUGCUGAUUUUGCUAACAAUAUCUUUGGAAAUGAUGACACCUUGACGAGGUUGAGGGAGGCCGUGAAGGCGUUAGAUAAUGUUGCUGCUACUACUGAAACUUUACUUCAGCUUGUUUCGCAGCUAUACAAUUCGGAUGUUAAGCGUCAACAGGAAGAUGAGAUACGAAAUGCCCGUGAGACUAGUUCCUUCUUAACUGAGGAUACGAUUUGUGGUCGAAACACGGAAAAGGAAAGGAUAGUUGAAUGGUUAACAAAACCGACAAGCGAUGAGCAGGAGAAUGCUUCUGCCACUGUCGGAAAGGUCUCGGCUUUUGCGAUCGUUGGCAUGGGUGGGUUGGGAAAAACCACUCUCACGCAGUUCAUCUACCACGAUGAAAAAGUGCGGCAGUGCUUUGACUUGGUUAUGUGGGUGUGUGUUUCCGAUCAAUUUGAUGUGACCAUGCUGACAAGACAGAUCUUGGAAGCGGCAAAGGUUUGGGAUAGCCUUGGAGACAAGAAACUUAAUACAAUUCAAGAGAUUCUCAAAGAGAAGCUGAUCUCGAAGAAGUUUCUUCUCGUGUUGGAUGAUGUUUGGAAUGAUGAUAAAAUACUUGAAUGGGAUAAAUUGGUGGCUCCUUUAAAAUUCGGCAAGAAAGGAAGCAAGAUUCUCUUGACAACACGGAUGGAUUCAGUGGCGAAUACAGUAGCCAGAGUUCUACAAGGUAAAAAAGAAUCUUUAAAAUUGAGUGGGUUAAAAGAAGAUGAUUUUAUACUGCUUUUCAAUAAGCAUGCCUUUGCCGGAGAGAACAUUGACGAUCACAAAAACUUACAAUUGAUCGGUCAGCAAAUAGCAAGGAAGCUUGGGGGAUGUCCGUUGGCAGCAAAAAUUUUGGGCGGAUACUUGAACUCUUGCAUGGAUGAAAAAUGCUGGAGAAGAAUUUUGAAUGAAAAUUUUCUAAAUUUGAAAGAAAGUGAGGACAACAUUAGGAUGAUUCUGAGAUUGAGCUAUCAUCAUCUGCCGACAAGCUUGCAAAUUUGCUUCAGAUACUGCAGUAUAUUUCCUGAGGAUCAUGAGUUUGAAAAGAAUGAGCUUAUCCGUAUGUGGAUAGGUUCUGGGUUAAUCAAGAAACCAAUACAUGAAAAGCGAAGCUUAGAGGAUAUCGGAGAGGAGUAUAUAAACCAUCUAGCAAGAAAAUCCCUUUUUGAUAUCAAAAUAAGCGAGUAUGGUUCUAACCGUAAACAACGUUAUGUCAUGCAUGAUCUGUUGCAUGAUCUAGCUCAGCUUGUCUCUUCAGGGGAAUGUUUGGGAAUUGAAGGUGAUGGUUCUGGAGAUAUUCCCAAAACAAUCCGCCACAUAUAUGUCAACAAGGUAAACCCUCAUAUGAUCUCCCAUCUCAAGAACUUACGCACCCUUAUUAUUCGUUUAAACAAUGAUUAUGAUGUAGUAGCUUUUAAUGAGGUUCUAAUAGAGUUAAAAAGCUUACGCUUUCUACGAGUGGUGCAUGCAGAUGACUAUGAGUUUCCAGAUGAAGUUGGUAAACUCAUUCACCUCCGCUACCUUUCCCUCUCUCCAUGGGCUGUCAGAGAAAAUAAGAUAUCUAUUCUACCUCAAUCUGUGUGUAGACUCUAUCACCUAGAAGUAAUGGAGCUUUGGGGAAUGAUUAAAAUAGAUGAUUCGACACUGGAUGGAAUGAGCAAUCUUGUUAAAUUGAGGCUGCUACGUACUCCUUAUCAAGAAAUAAUGGACAGGAUUCCUUGGAUUGGCAAACUAACAUCACUCCAGGAGUUACAUAAUUUCCAUGUCCGUGAGGAGUGCGGCUACAAGAUAGAUCAAUUAAAAAACCUGCAAAACCUCCGAAAACUACACAUUUGGGAUCUGGAAAAUGUAAGGAGUUCCGAAGAGGCUGCGGAUGCCAACUUGAUUGAGAAAAAAUAUCUUGAUAAAUUGUCACUCUUUUGGUCUCCGAAUCACUCUGUUGGUCUAGAGGUAGAUGAGCCACUUCUUGAUAACUUACGACCACAUACCAAUCUCAAGGAACUAGAAAUUGCCGGAUAUGCCGGAGUUAGUUCUCCACAUUGGAUGACGGCGAUAUCUUCUCUUUCUAAUGUAAGGUCUAUCAAACUAUCCAACUGUGAGAGAUGGGAGAACCUCCCACCUUUUGGGCAACUUCCUUUGCUCAAGUUUCUUAAUUUACGAAGCAUGCGGGCUGUAAAGAAAUUAUGGUGCUCAACGAGUGUUGGCGGUUGCGCCUUUCCAUCACUAGAAGAGCUAGAAUUGAGUAGGAUGCCAAACUUGGAGUUGUUCGAAGGUGAGCACAUGUUUCCUCUGCUUAAAAAUUUGGUUAUAACUUCUUGCCCUACCUUGAAGGGUUUGCCUGCUUUGCCUCUCACUCUAAAUAAAUUGAACAUUUGGACGGUCGGAUUGACUUCUCUUCCGAUGAUGCAACAAGAUUGCAGUAGUGGCGAAGGACGAGCAUCGUGCUCAUCAUCAUCGCGUCCGGCACUUUCUGAAUUAAUAAUUGAUGAGUGCCCAAACCUCACAUCUCUAGAUGGAUUCAUGUUACAGCAACAAUAUUUUCCUGCCUUGAAGAGUUUAUCCAUUAGAAAAUGUGAUCUAAGGCAUUUGUUGGAAAAAUUCUUCCAAAAACUUCCCUCCCUCGAGGGUUUGGUUAUACAAAUGUGCCCCAAUAUCACGACGCACAGGAUUCUAGACGAUCGAUUGCCUGAGACACUUGAAAGGCCCACUGUUGUCUCAAGCGGCGAUCUCGAUUUGUCGCUACUCCAGGAGUCAUUGCCAAUACCGACCUCUCUAGUCACCUUGUUCCUUUAUGAUUGUGCGAGCAUGACAUCCCUUCCUCCGGCGACAGUUUUUCCAAGGUUGUCAAGACUCCGCAUCUGGAACUGUAAAGAGCUGUCGUCAUUGGAUGGGCUACAAUCUUGCCCCUCGCUCGAAUCCUUGUCCAUUGACGGUUGUGCAAGCAUGACGUCCCUUCCUCCGGCGGAAGUUUAUCCACGGUUGUCGGAACUCCACAUCCGGAAUUGUAAAGAACUGUUGUCACUGGAUGGGCUACAAGCUCUCCCCUCGCUCCAAUCCUUGUCCAUUGAAGGAUGCGACAAGCUCAUCGAACUUUCACUCGGCGUCACUAGUACCAGCCCCACAGAUAUGGUGCUGCGCCCUCCAAUGGAUCUUCAAAUCCGGAAUUGUAAAGAGCUGUCGUCACUGGAUGGGCUACAAGCUCUCCCCUCGCUCAAAUUCUUGUCCAUCGAAGGAUGCGACAAGCUCAUCGAACUUUCACUGUUGCAACCACCAUUAGACCUCACUAGUACCAGCCACACAGGUGUGGAGCUGCUUUGUCUUAAAAUUGACCGGCAAGCUCUGUUGCGCGUCGAAGCAUUGAGAAACCUCAGCUCUGUUAGCUAUCUCAUAAUAAGAGAUGGUACCGAACUCACAUCCCUCGACGAGCAAUGGCUGUUGCAAAACCGAAACUCCCUUCAACGCUUAGAAAUUCAUGAGGCCUCGUCUCUUGAAUCCUUACCAACCAGUAUGAUACAUCUUCAAGCCCUGCGUCAUUUAUUUAUAUUUGAUGCUCCUUUGCUUCGGACGAUUCCGGAACUGCCCACCUCAAUGAAAUCUCUUGAAAUUAGCGGCUGUCGCCCCGAGUUGAAGGAGCACAUAGAAGGCUCUGGAAAAUUCGCCAAUAUUUCUUGUGUGGAGGUUACUCAAAAAUUCCCUUUAAGAAAAAUAUCGGGUAUGCCCCAUCUUUGUACUAUCUCUAACUCUCUUAAAUGCAACUUUUUCUUCUCAAUAUUAUUUGCAUCUUAGGCUUGUCUGACCCUGUCUUUUUUUUUUUUUGNAAAUGGAUGGCAGCGGAGCCUGUUUGCUACUGAUAGUAUUCCAGCUCAACUCUCUCUCUCUAUAUAUAUAUAUAUAAUUUGUUACAUACGUAUAUUUUUAUAUUAUUUAUUACCUUAAUUAUUAAUUAAAUAGAUUGAAAUAAAAAAUUUAAUAAUAAAAAUAAUUUAAAUUGGUUUAUGUACAACAUAAUUUUUUGUAAAAACUUAUUAAUAAUUAAAUUAUUUUAUAAAGACAUGUAUGGAAAAAAAAAGGAGAGAGGAAAUGAUUAAAAUAAUUUAAAAAAAUUUAUAUAAAGUUAAAAUUUAGAAAAUUUAAUAGAUAUAUUAACCGUUCGUUAUUAGUUAUUUAAUUUUAUUUCGUAAAAAAAUAAUUAAUUGAAUUUGGUCAAAUUUUGUAUAAAAUCUAGUAAACAUUUUGUCUAGUUAACAAAAAUUAAUCAUAAAAUCUUAAAAAUGAAUUAGUUAAAAAAAUAAAUUUGAGGGAUCUAUUUCAAAGCAUCAUAAUCGUAGAGGUGGUCUUCACAAAUUUUACCUUUUUUUUUUUGGUGAAAAUGUAUAGAGACUUCGUAAACUUUUAGUUUUUGGACUUAGAUAAUUUUUGUUGGCUUAAAGGGUCAACAUCCUACCGUGGUAGGAAGUCUAAUCACAUUCGAAAUAGCGUGAGGCUGGAUUGGACUGAGUUAUGUUUAAAAUAGCAUGAGGUUGGUUGGGCCGAAUCAUAAUCAAAACCUGUGAGCAUUGUAUCUUUAUGUUUUUAAGUGAAUUGGUUGUAUACCGAUUAACGGCGUGUUUGGAUAAAUGAGAAAGUGACACUUUGAUCAAUAUUUUUUUUUUUUUUUGAGAGAUAGAUAGCACGCUACCUGCUUCGUUUAUUUCAUUUAGAAAUAAACUUAGCUGAAAAUGUGAAUCAAUUAGAAUUCGAACUUGGGUCUCGGGUACCAACCACCAAGCCCUUUACUACUUGCUCUAGGGACGGUCGGUACUUUGAUCAAUAAUAUUAAAAGUUGGAUUGUUGGCUAGUUGAAUUUUCUCCUCAAAAAGAAAAAAAAAAGAAAGAGGAUUGGUUGAAUCAUUCAAUACUUCACAUUUUUUAUUUAAUAAUUUAGUACCAUUGCAUAAAUCAUAAAGUUAAUUUGUAUUAUAUAGUGUUCUCGUUUAAUUAUACAUCCGUGAUAGAUAUAUUCUCUUUUAGAGAUGAUACAAUUCUUUUUUUCCUUUUCUCUUUACUUAUUUUCUGCAUGUGUACUUGCAUUAAGUUGCUUUCUAGUUGCCUGAUCUUAUGCUGCCAUAUAAGUUGCAUCAGUAUUUUUUCCAAAGUAGGUAAUUGUGUAGGUCACUAUAUAGUGUAUUUGUUUGAAAUUCUAAAAAUAUUUUUUCCCAAAUUGAUAGACCUUUAAGCUACGAAAAUUUUGUACAACCCUUUAUAUUAUGGAAUGCAUGAUUGAUAUGUUUAUGUUUCAAUAACAGCUUGAGCUUAAUUUGCCUUCAAAUUAGGAGCUCGAUCAAAUUUAUAAUCAAAUGGAGCUGAUUGCAGAACAGAAAAUAUGAAAGCAUCGGCGGAUUUCUGCUUCGACAAAGUUCCCCUUUCAUGUUGUAAUUGCUUGAUGAAUGUUGGAAACAUGAUUUUCUCUGAUACCAAUUGUUGGAAUCAAUACCUAUGCUAAUACCAAUUAUAUAACCCAAGAUCUAAAAUAGAACAAAAUAAUAUAGAGAAGAGAUAUUGGAGGAGGGAGAAGAUACCUAAACUAAUACUUUAUUAAUAAAAAGCAAUUAAUUACAUUCUGAGCAACACCUAUACAACCAUGUCUACUAUGGCUUCUUCAUCUAAUUAACCCACGCCUAACUAUAUAUAGCCAUCAAAUCAUAACAGAUGAUAAAUCCAACUUUUACUUUGGAUAAUUACAAAUCCUAUUCAAUGUAUAAUUUGGAUAUACUCUAUCUCUCACUAAAUUUUAAAUUAAGUUUGGAUUAUUAUUUCCAACAUCAUCCCUUAAUCCAAACUUUAUCUUCAAGCUACAAACUCUAUGAAACGCACACUUUGAUUUGGCAAUUUCUGUUGCUGUUGUUGUCUUCGUGUUCGAGUUGUGCAGCAUAACGCCUGUCCAAUUAUGUUGCCAUGUACGGAAUCUUUGAUAUCUGUAAUACUGAUUAUCCACAUUAUCCUUAAAGAUCCGCGGAUUCCUGCAAAUAUCUUGAAAAACAUGUAAUUUGAAAAAAUUGGAUGGAUAUGAAUUUUGUAAUUUUGUGGUAACCGAGGAAAGUCUGAUCGACACGGAUGGUUGUUCGGUACAUUGAUCUCGAUUUGUGCAUUUUCAUGUGCUUUCUGUUUUCGUAAAUCUAAUUUGUGAUCUGUAUUUUCGAUCACAUCAAAAUAAUGGUAAACUUUCUCCUUACUUUGUUGCAUAAUUUCUUCAUCAACAUAAAUUUCUUCAAUCAUAUUAUCAUUGUGAACUUUCUCGUCAGCCUGAGUCGCACCGUUUUGAUCAUCAACAUAUUCUUCACGAAUCUGAUUUUCUUCAUAAUUUUGAUCAGAUUUUUCUUUCCAACUUUCUUUGCAAAUUGGGACUUCAAUAUCUUCGUUGUUGGAUUGAAUUUCUUCUUCUUCUUUAAUUUUAUUCUCUUCCUGCAAAUCUUCUUCUCCAAUUUUCGAUAACAUUCUCCACGCUUUUCGUGCCGUCUUUAUCGUUGAAAUUUUUCUAACCAAAGAUAGAUCCAUUACUUGAAAAAUAUAUGAUAGAGCUUCUCCAUCUCUUUUUUUAAAAUUCUUCUUUACCAAAUUCUUUUUCAUAAUUUCUAUUCUCCACUACAUCCCACAAAUCUUGGGAUUCUAAAAAAUAUCGAAUGAUGAUUUUCCAUUGUUUAAAGUUCGUUCCAUCAAACUUUGGUAAGUCAGGUUGAAUAAAUCAAUUAUCUAAAUCCAAAAAAAAACUUGAAAAUCCAAAAAAAUAAGUUUCGGAUUUGUACCUUUUGUUUGGAUGACGUUCUUAAUUCAUCGAGAUCUCGCCGAAUUUUCUGUACUUCGGCUUGGUUGCCUAGCCCUUCUGGCUAUCUAGUCAAUUAAGUCUUCUUUGAUCUCUUCACGGGCUCUUCUCGCUCUCUUUUCGUAAAGCGUCAGAACCACCUGCUGUUGUUUGUUGUGCGGGGGCCAACUUCUUCAAAGCGAUUCCUUGCUUCGGUUUCACCUGAACGUCACCUAAGUUGAUCUGCUACGAGUCACUUGACUUUGACGUAGCUAUCUGGUACAUUGGAUCUAUAUUCUUUUCGAAUAUGCUGUCAUCUGGUUAAUAAUUUGCAUGGUACUUUCUGACUCUUUUCGGCUCUGAUACCAAUUGUUGGAAAUCCGGUUAAUAAUUUGCAUGGUACUUUCUGACUCUUUUUGGCUCUGAUAACAACUGUGAUGCUCCAACUUAUUCCGGCUCAUAACUAGCUCUGAUACCAAUUGUGACGCUCCAACUUUCUAGAGAGGUCACCCAUUUUAGAACUACUCUAAUCCUAACACGCUUAACCUUCUUAAACUCUUGGAUCUAACUACCGCCUAAGAUGCUUUAGUCAGGUGUAAUAUUUUCUUAUUUAAUGAAUCUUAUUUUACCCGCAUAUUUUCUGUUUUAGUUUUUCUCUCAUUUAUGAUUGUAUCAGCUUUUGCUUGGCUUAAUCGAAAUUGAAUAAGCAAAGCUCGAGCUUGGCUUAAUUGUAAACAAGCCGAGCGACACCGAGCAAAAGUUUUUCAAUAAAGCCCUCAAAGUUACACGCAUACCAAGCAAAAAUUCUUUAUAUACAACACCAAAACCACAACACAAAAUGCUUAGCAAUAGAGAGAGGGGAAAAAAAAAGAAAAGAAAAAGCACCUGCACUUUUCCCAUUACAACACUAAACACCAUUUAACAACCCAUCCCUUCUCCACCUUCCCAGAUUUUAUUCUUUUGUAUAACCCCCACCGCCUUAAAACUAAUAAUAAGAAAGAAACAUACAGGUACUGACCAAGGAAGGAAAAAUGUUUACUAUAAAUUAAGUUUCACCCUUUUUGGUCCCUUUUAGGUCUUCUGAAGAAAACCAUGUGUUUACCUUCCCUGUGGCCGGACCGGACCUCGAGGCUAGGGCCGGCCCAGCAUCUGCGAUCGGUGCACCAUGUCGACCAUGGAUUGCGUCUGAUAGACACCAACAAGGUUAGCACUGUCGGUCGGUUCCCCCGCGCUGUUGCCCUUUGCAUAGAAUGCGAGCUCAGACCAGAAAGCAUGUACGCGCGGCCUGUGGUUCGGUACCUUUGAUGAUCCGCCGUCCUCUCCUGCAACUGCUUUAACUCUGCAUCCAGCGCCAAACAAAACUGAUCGCCCGAUAUUGCCGCCCUGGACUCCGAUAGUUUCUUUCUGAAUUCUUCCAGCACGGACACCGCCUCAGUAAGUGCGCCCCUUUCCACUGCCAGCCUGGCCGUUGACAUGGCCUCUGCGGCUCGCAGGCGGUUCCACUCUCGAUCGACCUCAAUCGAGACUUCUUGAUCUGCACAAAACUUUGGCCCUUGGAUUGUCACUUCAUCUUGCAAUUCUACACGCUCCUUCGUCCUCGAAUCUUUGUAGGCGCAAUUCACUUUCACUAACAUCGUAGUCUCUUGCUGCGAUCGUGGAAUGUUCACUAAAACAAGAAAAUCCCUCUCUUCGUCAGCAUAUAUGUCACCGACUUUGAUCGAUCCUCUUCGAGAAUCAGUAUCCACCUGAUUAUCGUACCCUCCCGACUUAAGAGAAUUGAGAAGCACGCCAGGAUCCGAGCACUCUAAUUUUACUUGCAUUUCUUGCACAACCGCGCUAAGGAGCCCGCCGAUGCACUGUGCGAACGCGUCCUGAAUCGCACUCUCAGUUUCAAUAAAAGAGAAGGUUCCACUAGAUGUCUCGGCGAUCGAAUGCAAGGCAGUUGAAUCGUGAUCGGUGCCAAAUCCAAAGGCGUGGAUCGGAAUUCUUUGGCCUGAGCCAAAGAAUGGAUAACGGGAUAAGCGGCCUAUAGUCUAUAGAGGCUCCGCUAUUGUUAGAGGAGAUGGUGUACGUAUCUUGUCCAUCGGAAAGAAGGAUUAUGCUACCAACUGGAUUCUUAAGACGCCGUUGAUCGAACACCUUGGCAGCUUUCUUCAAUCCCUCUGCUAUGUUGGUGCCGCCGUUAGCAACCAGCGAUCGAAUUGACAGCUUGCAGGGCUGCAUGCCUACCAAUCUCUGACAUACGACGGAGGUGGAAGAGCCGACGGGCCAUGGAUGAAAAUGCAAUGACGGAGAGCCGAUCAGACGGACCGAGAUUUUGGAUCACAAACCCUAAUGCGCGCUUCAAAAGUGCAAGUUUCGUUCCCGCCAUGCUGCCACUUACAUCAAUGACCGCGACGAGGUCUAUAGGAGCACGCGAAGAUUGCACGCUCGUCGAAGUAGGAUGAGGGGCUUUGACAUGUAUCAAUAUAGUAAAGUCUUCGUGCGAUGAUGAUUGUGGAAUCGCAGAGAAUUCCGGAUAUGUCCUUAACUCCACUCUUCUAUCAGAUUCAGUUUGGGGAAUUUGAACUGUUUCGGACUGCAAAACUAUAGGCUCAUCAUCAUUGAAAGCGGCCGGCUCUUCAUCACGGUAGAGAGGAAGGUACCGGUGCACCUGGCUCACAAAGUCUACGACUGGGUUCGCUUGAGCUUGUCCGAGAGUUACGUCAAAGGCGGGGGGGCUGAGGAGGGGAAUCUCACUCCAUUUGGCUCUACAAACCGGACACAGAGAAUUACCGUGCUUUAUGCUCGAUGAGAUGCAGUGGAAGUGGAACAUAUGAGAGCAUUCUGCAGUGAAGAGCGCAUGGCCGCAGCCGGCCGGUUUCAUGGCACAAAGGCAUAUGGCACAUAUUCUCUGAAAAUGUGCUUUUUUUUAAUGAGACUUGUUAGGGAACUUGUAUAAACAUGUGAAAUAGAAAAUAGAUUACAAAAAUAACAAGAUUGCAUCUGGUAUAAUAGGUUUCAUAUUUAGAGCUGAAGGGUGAACUAGAAAAAACAAAUGUACUCAAACUAGAUAACAAAUAUAUAAAAAAUUGAUCAUACAGGCUAAAUUUUGCUUACAUAGAACAGAACAAGGUACAAAAUUGAAGCGCUAAUUUUAAGCAAUAAUGCACCAAAAGAAAGUUAAUAUGGUUACUAGGAAUUUCAUUAUCAGCAAAGUCAAACACAAAUAUAUACUAAACAUUUUAGAAAAUGAUAGAUCCAAAAUCUUCUUCUGGUUUUUUUUUUUUUUUUUUUUUUUUUUUUUGUCUCAUAUUAAACAGAUUAUCAAAAGGAGUUCCAGGGCCUUUCACUCAACUGAAUACCAGUGAUUAGAACUUGCAUCCUAUAUGUAAUUGUACACUGCGUACGUACAUAUUAUACAUACAAAGAAAUGUGUCCGAUUACAUUUAAAUAUAGCCAGAUAAAUAGCAGGCGAUCAUAAAAAGAAGCACAAAAUAGGGCUUGGAUAACAGAGCAAAGUAUCUGCAAGAUAGAAGUAUGAGUUAUUUAACUACCCAAUACCAUAUAACAGACUCAGAGAUAGGGAUGCAAACGGAUCCGGGUUGGUGGAGCUCCGGCCCCGAUCCGCCCCGACGGGAGCAGUAAAUGAGAGAAAAUAAACGGAUUCGGGGCAGGAAACGGGAUAAGUUUUACGAUCCGAGACGGAUUCGGGGCAGAAAACGGGAAAAAUUUUGACCCGCCCCGAAUCCGCCCCGCCCCGAAUCCGCCCCGAAUAUCAUUUGUAUUUUUAAAAAAUAUUCCCCAAAAAUAAUUAUUUAUAAAAAAGUUUAAAAUACAAAUAAAUUAUUACUCUCAUUUCUAUGUAUUUGAAAUAUUUGAAUUUUGUUUUGAAUUGUGAUUGAUAUUUUUAAUUUUUACCAUUAAUAUUAUUAAAUUAUAUAUAUAAUAUUAUUAAAAAUUAUUAAUUUAUAUUUUACAAAAUAUUAAUAAUAUUAUAAUUUUAUAAAAAAUAUUAGUUGGCGGGCGAUUCGGGGCGCCGGCGGGAGGCGGUUACGAGGCGGGGCGGAUUAUGGGAUGUAUUUUUUAACCGCUCACGGAUUCGGGGCGGGAGGCGGGACGGAAUUUUGCUAGUCGGGGCGGAGCGGGGGUUGUCUUCCGCCGCCAGAUCCGCCCCGUUUGCAUCCCUACUCAGAGAUGAUCUAAAAGUAUACAACACCAGUUAAUCCUCUAAAACAUUAACAUCAACAAAGAAUAUAAUAUCCUACACAAUUUUUGUCUUCGAAUUUUUGUUUGUUAUAAUUUCUGACCGGAGUUAUGAGAUGCGCGACAUUUUAGCCGUCGAACUGUAGUUGCAAUUUUUUGUUCGAACUAUAAGGCGUAUGGCACUUUAGUUCUCAAACUUUUCGAAUUAUUACAAUUAAGAUUCACCGUCCAUUUUUUUUUUUUUAAAUAAGCGUUGAUGAAGUACUAAUAUUAAAAUAAUAUAAUAUUUUAAUUAUUAUUAUAUUAUUAAGUAUGAUAUUUUUAUGAUUUAGAAAGUUCGAGAACUAAAAUAUUACAUAUCUUAUAAUUCGUACAAAAAAUUAUAACUAAUUAAAGUUCGAAAUUAAAAUAUCACGCUCCUCGUUCGAGUCAAAAAUUACAACGAAUUAAAGUUCGAUGACUAAAUUAAGUAUUGCACUCCUAGUAGUUUUUAGACCAAAAGUGUAAUUUACUUUUAUUUUAUUUUAUUUUAUUUUUUCGUCAUCUUGGUGUGGGUACUGCCUAGACCACAAUGUAAUUCCCUCCCACAUUCCUGAAUUGAAUCUUGGACUUUUUUUAAGAUGAGCAUCAGAUGGGUAAUAUGAUUUUCAAGGGGCCCAACACGGUGGGAAAACUCCUUUGUGAGUGGCUGAGAAGGAAUUCGCAGAGAACUCCUACAUGAUUGGCUGUUCAAAACUGUUGGGUUUAUCCUUUCGGUCAUUGAUUGUGUUCAUCUGAUCAUUUGAGGAAGAAGUAGAGAGCUAGCUACACAGGAAACAUGGCUUUGGCCUUGGUAGCUGAGUCCGCGGCAUCGGUCGUAAUCGAGAAGCUGAUCAGCACAGCCGUAUCCUACGUCGGGACGUGCGGUGCCGGGCCGAGCACCAUGCAGGACGAGAUCCAGAGGCUUCAGCAGGCUUUUCUGCGGAUUCGAACGAUCUUGGCUUUCGUCGAGGGGGGGCAGACCGUCACUACGAAGCAAAACGACGUACUGGACGCCUGGCUGUGGCAGCUCAGAGACGCUGUCGAUCAGGCGGAGGACGUGCUCGAUGAGAUGGAGUACUACGAGCUGGAGAAGGCAGUGCAAGCUGGAGAUAACAAGGUACUGUCGGGGGUUAAAGUCUGGAAUUUGAUUUAAUUUUACAGAUUUUUGAUUAAAUCAACUAACAAAUAAAUAUUAAAUUAAAGACAAAAUUAAAUUAAUAGAUAAAAGGUUUCGAAAAAUAGCAAGGUGAGACGUGCAAUAAAGUAACUUUAGUCUCUCUGCGUGUUUGUCUUCGGCUAGUUGCUCUAGCAACACAAUACUUCGAAUUAUUCCGAUCUGCUUAAUUGUACGGUCUCAAAGAAGUGCCUAAUUUAAUAUCAAUUCGACUUUCAAAAUUUCAACUUUCGAAAAUAAGAUAUGAUAGAGUAAAAUUUUUUUUUUAAUUACAAUCUCGUAUAUAUCUCUUUUUUAUUAUUAUAUCUCGUAUAUAUCUCGUAUAAUAAUAUAUAAACUUGACGGUCGAAAGAACGAUGUAGGACCUUCUGCUAAAGAGGGAUACACUAUCCCGCAUCUCGUGGAAAGCUGUGUACCCCAUUUUUCCGAUAGAGGAGAGAGAAUACGUUGCGUAACUAAAGGUGUCCGUGGACCGCGUCAGGUUUGGGUAGUUGAUAUACUAUACCCGUACCCUAAAACGAGAUGGAUACGAAAACAAAAACUAUACCCUACCCAUUUGACUUCGGAUCGGAUUCGGGUCUGAAUACUUAAAUUAAUAAUAUACCAAUCAGGUCUAUUUGAGCGGGUCUGGAUAGUGAUUACCUAUAUACUAUCCGCUUAAAAUCGAAUGCUAGGGUCUAGAUCGGGUAUGGGUACCAUAUGUAUAUAUUUUUUAUAAAUUUUAUUAAACAAUUUAUAGACAAAUUAUAAACCUAUCAUGAUAAAAAACCCACGUUUAAUUAGUUGCACCUAGUCCAAUAAAAUUCGUUUAAAAAAAAAGAUUCAAAUAGUAAACAGCUACAAUUAAAAAAUGAGUUAAAAAAAAAAGAGUAAACAAAAAGACCAGGGUUUUCACUAGGAUGAAAAUAUACAGAGAUCCUUCAUUUCUAAGUCCUAUUGAAAUUGAUCGCUCAACUUUAGAUUUUUUAUUUGCUAUCGGGUAUUUUACCGGGUCCAGAUCCGAGUCCGGUUCCGAGUUCGGAUUUGAAACCUCUUCCAUACCCUACCCAUUAAAAGAUCGGGUUCAGGUCCAAGUCGGGUAUGGAUAUAAAGUAUUCGGACCCAUACCUGAAACUUUAAUGGAUAUUCUUUUUUACCCGUAUACUAUCUAUUUUUUAUCGGGUCCGGUUUGGAUCCGGAUAGGGUCCGGAUCGGGUAUGGUAUAUCGGAUAUUUUGGACAGCUUUACGCGUAACUUCCUCAUAUUAAAUAUAUUGCAUUUAAAUUAAAUUUUAAAUUGUCUUUUAAUAAUCUAUUUGAUUUUAAUUAAAUUUCUUAACUUAGACUAAUUCCAACAGGUACAACAAGGUACUGCACUCAACUUAAAAAGGAAGUUUGCUGAUUUUGCUAACAAUAUCUUCGGAAACGACGACACCGUGACGAGGUUGAGGGAGGCCGUGAAGGCGUUAGAUAAUGUUGCUGCUACUAGUGAAACUUUACUCCAGCUUGUUUCGCAGCUAUAUAAUUCGGAUGUUAAGCGUCAACAGGAAGAUGAGAUACGAAAUGCUCGUGAGACUAGCUCCUUUUUAACUGAGGAUACGAUUUGUGGCCGAGACACGGAGAAGGAAAGGAUAGUUGAAUGGUUAACAAAACCGACAAGCGAUGAGCCGGAGAAUGCUUCUGCAACUGUCGAAAAGGUCUCGGCUUUUACGAUCGUUGGCAUGGGUGGGUUGGGAAAAACUACUCUCGCGCAGCUCAUCUACCACGAUGAAAAAGUGCGGCAGUGCUUUGACUUGGUUUUGUGGGUGUGUGUUUCCGAUCAAUUUGAUGUGGCUAUGCUGACAAGAAAGACCUUAGAAGCGGCAGGGGUUUGGGAUAGCCUCGGAGACAAGAGACUUAAUACAAUUCAAGAGAUUCUUAAAGAGAAGCUGAUCUCCAAGAAGUUUCUUCUCGUGCUGGAUGAUGUUUGGAAUGAUGAUAAAAUACUUGAAUGGGAUAAAUUCAUGGCUCCUUUAAAAUUCGGAAAGAAAGGAAGCAAGAUUCUCUUGACAACGCGAAUGAAUUCAGUGGUGAAUACAGUAGCCAAAGUUCUACAAGGUAAAAAAGAAUCUUUAAAAUUGAGUGGGUUAAAAGAAGAUGAUUUUAUACUACUUUUCAAUAAGCAUGCCUUUGCCGGAGAGAACAUUGACAAUCAUAGAAACUUACAGUUGAUUGGUCAACAAAUAGCAAAGAAGCUUGGGGGAUGCCCGUUGGCAGCAAAAAUUUUGGGCGGAUGUCUGAACUCUUGGAUGGAUGAAAAAUAUUGGAGAAGAAUUUUGAAUGAAAAUUUUCUAAAUUUGCGAGAAAGUGAGGACAACAUUAGGAUGAUUCUGAGAUUGACCUAUCAUCAUCUGCCGACAAGCUUGCAAAUUUGCUUUAGAUACUGCAGUAUAUUUCCUAAGGAUUCUUUGUUUGAAAAGAAUGAGCUUAUCCAUGUGUGGAUAGGUUCUGGGUUAAUCAAGAAACAAGUAUAUGAAAAGCGAAGCUUAGAGGAUAUCGGAGAGGAGUAUUUAAACCAUCUAGCAAGAAAAUCCCUUUUUGAUAUCAAAAUAAGCGACUAUGGUUCUGACCGUAAACAACAUUAUGUCAUGCAUGAUCUGUUGCAUGAUCUAGCUCAAUUUGUCUCUUCAGGGGAAUGUAUGGGAGUUGAAGGUGACGGUUCCAGACAAAUUCCAAAAACAAUACGCCACUUAUUUCUCAACAGGGUAAACAGUCGUAUGAUCUCCAAUCUCAAGAACUUACGCACCCUUAUUAUUAUUCAUUCAGACAAGGACUAUGAUGCAGUAGCUUUUAAUGAGGUUCUAAAAGAGUUAAAAAGCUUACGCUUACUACAAGUGAGUAUAGUUGACUAUAAGUUUCCCGAUGAAGUUGGUAAACUCAUUCACCUCCGCUACCUCUCCCUCUGGACUUUCACACAAAAGGAGGUAUCUAUUGUACCUCAAUCUGUGUGUAGACUCUAUCACCGACUUUCGGGGAACUGAAAUAGAUGAUUCGACACUGGAUGGAAUGAGCAAUCUAGUUCAAUUGAGGCUGCUAAAUAUUCCUGCUUUUGUAACAGCCAAGAUUCCUUGGAUCGGCAAAGUAACAUUACUUCAGAACUUAAAUUAUUUCCAUGUCCGUGAGGAGCGCGGCUAUAAUAUAGAUCAAUUAAAAGACCUGCAAAACCUCCGAAAAUUAUGCAUUAGGGGCCUGGAAAAUGUAAGGAGUUCCGAAGAGGCUGCGGAUGCCAACUUGAUUGAGAAAAAAAAUCUUGAUGAAUUGUCACUCGAUUGGUCUAGGAAUCGCUCUGGUGGUCUCGAGGUAGAUCAGCCGCUUCUUGAUAAUUUAAAACCACAUACCAAUCUCAAGACACUUGCAAUCGCAGGAUACGCCGGAGUUAGAUCUCCACAUUGGAUGACGGCGACAUCUCUUUCCAAUGUAACAGAUAUCAAUCUAUACGACUGUAGCAGAUGGGAGAACCUCCCACCUUUUGGGCAACUUCCUUUGCUCAGGCUUCUUAAUUUACAAAGCAUGCGGGCUGUGAAGAAACUAUGGUGCUCAAGAAGUGGUGGUGGUUGCGCCUUUCCAUCACUACAGGAGCUACAAUUGUUUGACAUGCCAGACUUGGAGUUGUUCGAAGGUGAGCACAUGUUUCCUCUGCUUAAUAAAUUGCUUAUACAUUCUUGUCCUAGCUUGAAGGGUUUACCUGCUUUGCCUCUUACUCUAAAUCAACUGGAGAUUAAGGAGGCCGGAUUGACUUCUCUUCCGAUGAUGCAACAAGAUUGCAGUAGCGGCCAAGGACGAGCAUCAUGCUCAUCAUCGCAUCCGGCACUUUCUGAACUAAGAAUUUGUGAGUGCCCCAACCUCACAUCUCUAGAUGGAUUCAUGUUGCAGCAACAAUAUUUUCCAGCCUUGAAGAGUUUAUCCAUUGAAAGAUGUGAAAAUCUAAGGCAUUUGCCGGAAAAAUUCUUCCAAAAACUUCCCUCCCUCGAGCGUUUGACUAUAGAAAUGUGUCCCAAUCGCACGACGCACGGGAUUCUAGACGAUCGAUUGCCCGAGACGCUUGAAAAGCCCACUCUUGUAUCAAACGGCGAUCUCUAUCUGUCGCUACUCGAGUCAUUGCCAAUACUGGCCGCUAUACGCUACUUGUCCAUUGUUGGUUGUGCAAGCAUGACGUCCUUUCCUCUGGCGGAAGUUUUUCCAAGGUUGUCGCAACUCUGCAUCCGGAAUUGUAAGGAACUGUCGUCAGUGGAUGGGCUACAAGCUCUCCCCUCGCUUGAAUCCUUGCAGAUUGGAGGGUGCGACGCGCUCGUCGAGCUUUCACUGUUGCAACCACCAUUAGGCGUCGCUAGUACCAGCCACACAGAUAUGGUGCUGCGCCCUUCAAUGGAUCUUUAUAUCGACCGGCCAGCUCUGUUGCGUCUCGAACCACUGAGAAGCCUCAGCUUUGUUAGCUCACUCAGCAUACAUGAUGGCACCGAACUCACAUCCCUCGACGAGCAAUGGCUGUUGCAAAACCGAAACUCCCUUAAAAGCUUGGAAAUUUUUGAGGCCUCGUCUCUUGUAUCCUUACCAACCAGUAUGAUUGAUCUUCAAGCCCUGCGUCAUUUGACUAUAGAUGAUGCUCCUUUGCUUGAGACGAUUCCAGAGCUGCCCGCCUCAAUGAAUUCUCUAACAAUUACCGGCUGUCGCCCCGAGUUGAAGGAGUACAUAGAAGGCUCCCAAAAAUUCGCCAAUAUUCGUUGGGUGCAGGUUACUGAAAAAUCUCCUUACUAAGAAAAAGAUCGGGUAUGCCCCAUCUCUGUACUAUCUCUAACCCUCUUAAAUGCAACUUUUUCUUCUCAAUAUUAUUUGUAUCUUAGUCUUGUUUUACUACCCUGCUUUUUUUUUUUUUUUUUAAUUUUUGUUCCUCUACUUUCAGCAGCAACAGACUCUUAACAGAGCAUGUGACAUAUAAAAUAUUAUAUUUGUUAGAGAAGUAUAUUUUUAUAUUGUUUAUUAACUUAAUUACUAAUUGAAUAAGUGGUAAAGGGUUGGGUGGUUGGUAUCCGAGACCCAAGUUCGAAUCCUAGUUGAUUGACAUUUCCAACUAAGUUUAUUUUUAAAUGAAAUAAACGAAGCGGGUAGCAUGCUACCUAUCUCUCAAAAAAAAAUUAUUAAUUGAAUAAAUUUAAAUAAAAAAUUUAAUAAUAAAAAAAAUUUAAAUUGGUUUGUGUGCAACAUAAAUUUUUGUAAAAACUUAUUAAUAAUUAAAUUAUUUUAUAAAANGUGUGCAACAUAAAUUUUUGUAAAAACUUAUUAAUAAUUAAAUUAUUUUAUAAAAACAUGUGUGAAAAAAAAGAGAGAAAACUAUUACAAUAAUUUUAAAAAAAAAUAUAUAAAUUUAAAAUUUAGAAAAUUUUAUAGAUAUAUUAACUGUUUGUUAUUAGUUAUUUAAUUUUAUUCAUAGAAAAAUAAUUAUAAUUAUUGAAUUUGGCCAUCUUUUGUAUGAAAUUUAAUAAACAUUUUGUCUAGUUAACAAAAAUUAAUCAUAAAAUAUUUUUUAAAAAAUCAGUUAAAAAAAAAUUUGAGGGGCCUAUUUCAAAGAAUCCUAAUAGUUGAGGGGUCUAUUGUCAUAUAAGUUGCAUGAGUGUUUUUUCCAAAGUAGGUAGAUGUGUAGGUCACUAUACAGUAUAUUUGUUUGAAAUUCUAAAAUAGUUUUUCUUUUUUCCCAGAUUGAUAGACCUUUAAGCUAAGAAAAUUUUAUGCAACCCUUUAUAUUAUGGAAUGCAUGGUUGAUUUGUUUAUGUUUCAAUAAAGGCUUGCGCUUAUCUUGCCUUCAAAUUAGGAGCUCUAUCAAAUUUAUAAUCAAGCAGAGCUGAUUGCAGAACAGAAAAUAUGAAAGCAUCGGUGAAUUUCUGUUUCGGCAAGUUCACCUUUUAGGUAGUAAUUGCUUGAUGAAGUUCAAAGUAGUUCAUUGUUACGUUUUAUAUAUUUAUUUUCUCUUCAGUUUCUUUACUAUGAUAUUCUGAUACUAUGUUUGAUAACAGAUUUAUCAGCUUGCUUUCUUCUGCAGUUGGCUUCAGUGGACAAAGUAUGAGGGAGCUCUUUCUGUACCAAUUCGAUCUAUUUCUACCUUUUUUUUGUUCGCACCUGUUGUUGCUAGUAUAAUAGCUGUACUACUAAAAUAUUAAAAAAAUAAUGUAGUGGAAGUGAUUUGCAAGUUGUAAUACUAAACAGAAAAACCGAAAGAUCUCCAAACGAAGUUGUGCUGUAUUGUUAAUUUAGACAUUUUGAUUUACAAUAAAUGCAAAAUUGAGAUGGUUCUUUGUUCUCUUUCUCAAUUGAGCUCAUUGUUUGCAAACAUCUCAUGUCCUGCUCGAAACUUAGCAAGGGCUCCAGUUCUAAAAGCUAAAGUGAGUUUACAAUAAAUAUGUGAUGUUGUGUUUGAAGAGGAUAGUGCUAAUAACCUUAGCAAUCUUUUACCUAAGGUAAGGUAUUCAUUCACAAGUAGGUCUGAGUUUGAUUCGAAAUUGAAUAAGCAAGCUCGAGCUUGGCUCAAUCAUAAACAAGCCGAAAAUGACCAAGCAAAAGUUUUUCAAUAAAUGCCCACAAUGUUAACAAGCAUAUAUACGAAGCAGAAUUUCCUUCUUUACAACACCAAAAUCAUAAAACCAAAAUGCUUAGUAAUAGAGAGAGAGGGGGAAAAAAAAAAAAAAACAAAACAAAGCACCUAUAACGCCGCAUCAGGAUUUGUCGACAAAGAUUGUAUAAGAGCACUCCUAUCCUGCUAGCUAGCAAGGAAUAUUUAUAGGAGCCAAAAAAAAAAAUCAUAAGUAUGAUUGAUUUAAAAGUAUGAAGACUCAGCAACACUUAUGUAUUCUGCAGAUUAUUGAUAUAAACUAAGCCAUCAACAUUUUAAGCGUAGUCGUAUGUAAGAUCCAUUGUAAGGAGGAAACUUAAAAAGUGAAUGUAUCCUUCAGAAAUUAAUGUUUGAUAUAUAUUAAUUAACAAGCUAUGUGCCAAUAUUUACACCAUGUUGCACUCAAGAAUUGCAACGCGUUUGUCCCAUCGUAGAGCGUCCAAUUUCUACAAAUUAUAUUUUUAUGGUUUGGUUAAACUGUGCUGUCAUGUAAGCGUUUGUACAAUAUGAUUAAAUUUUAUUCUAGCCCUCAAACAUUUAAGCGUGAUAUUUUAAAACUUGGAAGGUUUAAAAAGCAAUUUACAACCCUGCUGCAGCUUCAGCUUCUGGAACUCCUCUUCGAGCUCGUCGUUCAAAGGCUUGGGCUCUGCUGCUUCUGCUGGUAAUUUCUUUCUUUCUCUCUCUCUCUCUCUCUCUCUCGUGAUGUGCUUGUUGGUCAACUCUGACGGAGACGAUAAUUGGGGCGUAGGACCUCGAAAACCCUAGAGAUCGGGGCGACGAAGGAUUGAGCGAAGUGGUUCUCCUUCGCUUUCGAUAUGGGAUUAGUGGAGGGAGUCGAUUGUAACAUUUCCAUCGAAAACAUCAUUCUCAAGAGUAUUAGUUUUCACCGACCGUCCAUAGUUAAAGUGGCACAGGAUUUGACUGUGGCAUCCGAGAUCUCAAAUUUGAAUCCUAGUUGAGUUAUAUUUCCAGUUCAGUUUAUUUAUAAAUAAAAUAAACGAAGUGGAUAGCAUGCUAUUUAUCUCUCAAAAAAUAAAAAGAGUAUUUGUUUUUCGGAAAAAAAAUUCGAAAAACAGAAACGAAAGUUAAAUUUUUCAGGAAAUCUGAUUUUAUUUUUUUAAACAAAAUUUUCUUUUUUUCUGGGAAACAGAAAAAAAAACUAUUUUUUUUAAAAUAUUGGAAAACUAAGCACUGAUAAGUAGCGUAAGUAGAUAUAGGUAAAUUACACGUUUAGUCCUAAAACUAUAUGUGGCUUGAUAUUUUUGUUCUCGAACUUAAUUUGUCUAAAUUUUUGACUUGCGUUAUGAAAUGCAUCCCACUUUAGCCCUCAAACUAUAGUUGUAAUUUUUUGAUCAAACUAUAAGGAAUGUGAUACCUUAGCUCUCGAGCUUUUUGAAUUAUUACAAUUGAGUCUUACAAUCUAAUACUUUUAAAUAAGUAUUGAUGAAUUACUAAUAUUGAAAUAAUAGUAUUUUAAUUAUCAUAGCAUCAUUAAGUACUAAAUAGGAUAUUACUAUAAUUUAGAAAGUUCAAAGGCUAAAAUCAUAUAUAAUUCGAACCAUAAAUUACAACUAAUUAAAGUUUAAGAAGUAAAGUGUCACGCAUCUCAUAUUCAAGUCAAAAAUUACAACAAAUUAAAGUUCGAGGCCCAAAGUAUCACACUGGUAGUAGUCUUAUGACCAAAAGUAUAAUUUACCUUCUUCUUCUUUUUUUUCGGUCAGCUUGGUGUAGGUACUGCCUAGAUCACAACGUAAGCCCCACGCACACUCCUGAAUCUGAAUAUUCUUGGACAUUUAUUAAGAUAAUAAUUAUUCAGAUAGGUAACAUGAUCUUCAACGUUGAUUUUGGCUGUUCAAAACUGUUGAUUUUUUUUUUUGAGAUUUAGUCCUACAUGAUUUUGGCUGUUCAAAACUGUUGGGUUAUCCUUUCGGUCAUUGAUUGUGUUCAUUUGAUCAUCUGAGGAAGAAGUAGAGAGCUAGCUACACGCGAAACAUGGCUUUGGCCUUGGUAGCUGAGUUUGCGGCGUCGGUCGUAAUCGAGAAGCUGAUCAGCACGGCCGUAUCCGACGUUUGGGAACGCUGCGCCGGGCCGAGCGCCAUGCAGGAGGAGGUCCAGAGGCUUCAGCAGGCUUUUCCGCGGAUUCAAACCAUUUUGGAUAUGGUCGAGAGGGGCCAGACUGUCGGCACGAAGCAAAACGACGUGCUGGACGCCUGGCUGUGGCAACUCAGAGACGCUGUCGAUCAGGCGGAGGACGUGCUCGAUGAGAUGGAGUACUACGAGCUGGAGAAGGCAGUGCAAGCUGGACAUAACAAGGUACUGUUGGGGUUAAAGUCUGGAAUUUGAUUUAAUUUUACAGAUUUUUUAUUAAAUCAACGAACAAAUAAAUAUUAAAUUAAAGACGAACUUAAAUUAAAAGAUAAAGUGUUUCGAAAAAUAGCUAGGUGAGACAUGUAAGAGUAACUUUAGUUCCUCUGCGUAUUUGUCUUCGGCUAGUUUCUCUAGUGACACAAUACCUUGGAUUAUUCCAAUCUUCUUAAUUGUCCGGUCUAAAGAAGUGCUUGAUUGAAUGUCAAUCCGGCUUUCAAAAUCUCAACUUUAGAAAAUAAGAUAUGAUAGAGUAAAAAAAAUAUUUUUAGUUAGAAUCUCCUAUAUAUCUCUCUUUUAUUGCUUUUAUUAUAAUAUAUAAAGUUAACAGUCAAAAGGACGUUGUAGGACGUUCCGCUACAGAGGAAUACACGAUCCCGCAUAUCGUGGAAAGCAUUGUAACCCGUUUUCCAAAUAGAGGAGACAGAGAGAAUACGUCGCGCAACUUCCUCAUAUUAAAUAUAUUGUAUUUAAAUUAAAUCUUUUAAUUAUCUAUUUGAUUGAAAUUAAAAUUUUAACUUAAACUAAUUCCAACAGGUACAACAAGGUACUGCACUCAACUUAAAAAGGAAGUUCGCUGAUUUUGCUAACAAUAUCUUUGGAAAUGACGACACCUUGAUGAGGUUGAGGGAGGCCGUGAAGGCGUUAGAUAAUGUUGCUGCUGCUAGUGAAACUUUACUUCAGCUUGUUUCGCAGCUAUACAAUUCGGAUGUUAAGCAUCAACAAGAAGAUGAGAUACGAAAUGCUCGUGAGACUAGCUCCUUUUUAACUGAGGAUACGAUUUGCGGUCGAGACACGGAGAAGGAAAGGAUAGUUGAAUGGUUAACGAAACCAACAAGCGAUGAGCCUGAGAAUACUUCUACCACUGUCGGAAAGGUCUCGGCUUUUGCGAUCGUUGGCAUGGGUGGGUUGGGAAAAACUACUCUUGCGCAGUUCAUCUACCACGAUGAAAAGGUGGGGGAGUUCUUCGACUUGGUUAUGUGGGUGUGUGUUUCCGAUCAAUUUGAUGUGACCAUGCUGACAAGAAAGAUCUUGGAAGCGGCAAAGGUAUGGGAUAGCCUUGGAGACAAGAGACUUAAUACAAUUCAAGAGAUUCUUAAAGAGAAGCUGAUCUCAAAGAAGUUUCUUCUUGUGCUAGACGAUGUUUGGAAUGAUGAUAAAAUACUUGAAUGGGAUAAAUUGAUGGCUCCUUUAAAAUUCGGAAGGAAAGGAAGCAAGAUUCUCUUGACAACGCGAAUGAAUUCAGUGGCGAAUAUAGUAGCCAGAGUUCUACGAGGUAAAAAAGAAUCUUUAAAAUUGAGUGGGUUAAAAGAAGAUGAUUUUAUACUGCUUUUCAAUAAGCAUGCAUUUUCCGGAGAGAACAUUGACAAUCACAAAAACUUACAAUUGAUCGGGCAGCAAAUAGCAAAGAAGCUUGGGGGAUGUCCGUUGGCAGCAAAAAUUUUGGGCGGAUGUCUGAACUCUUGGAUGGAUGAAAAAUAUUGGAGAAGAAUUUUGAAUGAAAAUUUUCUAAAUUUGCAAGAAAGUGAGGACAACAUUAGGGUGAUUCUAAGAUUGAGCUAUCAUCAUCUGCCAACAAGCUCGCAAAUCUGCUUUAGAUACUGCAGUAUAUUUCCCAAGGGUUAUGAGUUUGAAAAGAAUGAGCUUAUCCGUAUGUGGAUAGGUUCUGGGUUAAUCAAGCAACCAAUACAUGAAAAGCGAAGCUUAGAGGAUAUCGGAGAGGAGUAUUUAAAUCAUCUAGCAAGAAAAUCCCUUUUUGAUAUCACAAUAAUCAAGUAUGGUUCUGACCGUAAACGUCAUUAUGUCAUGCAUGAUCUGUUGCAUGAUCUAGCUCAGCUUGUCUCUUCAGGGGAAUGUUUGGGAAUUGAAGAUGAUGGUUCCAGAGAUAUCCCCGAAACAAUCCGCCACUUAUAUGUCAACAGGGUACCAGUCAACAAGGUAAAAGUAAACCGUGUCAACAGGGUAAACCCUCUUAUGAUCUCCCAUCUCAAGAACUUACGCACUCUUAUUAUUCAUUUAAACGAGAAUUUCACUGUAGUAGAUUUUAAUAAGGUUCUAAAAGAGUUAAAAAGCUUACGCUUUCUACGAGUGACUGCAGAUGACUAUAAGUUUCCAGAUGAAGUUGGUAAACUCAUUCACCUCCGCUACCUCUCCCUCGCUUCUUCUGUUGUCAGAGGAAAUGAGGUAUCUAUUCUACCUCAAUCUGUCUGUAGACUCUAUCACCUAGAAGUAAUGAAGCUUCCGGCAAUGACAAUAGAUGAUUCGACACUGGAUGGAAUGAGCAAUCUGGCUAAAUUGAGGCUGCUACAUACUCCUUAUCGUAUAAUGGACAAGAUUCCUUGGAUUGGCAAACUAACAUCACUCCAGGAGUUACAUAAUUUCCAUGUCCGUAAGGAGUGCGGCUACAAGAUAGAUCAAUUAAAAGACCUGCAAAACCUCCGAAAACUACGCAUUAGGGGUCUGGAAAAUGUAAGGAGUUCCGAAGAGGCUGGGGAUGCCAACUUGAUUGAGAAAAAAAAUCUUGAUAAAUUGUCACUCUUUUGGUCUAAGAACCGUCGUGCUGAUCUAGAGGUAGAUGAGCCACUUCUUGAUAACUUAAGACCACAUACCAAUCUCAAGGAAUUAGAAAUUGAAGGAUACGCCGGAGUUAGAUCUCCAUAUUGGAUGACGGCGACAUCUCUUUCUAAUGUAACGAAUAUCAAUCUAUACAAUUGUAGCAGAUGGGAGAACCUCACACCUUUUGGGCAACUUCCUUUGCUCAAGCUUCUUAAUUUACAAAGCAUGCGGGCUGUAAAGAAAUUAUGGCGCUCAAUAAGUGUUGGCGGUUGCGCCUUUCCAUCGCUGGAGGAGCUACGAUUGAUUGACAUGCCGGACUUGGAGUUGUUCGAAGGCGAGCACAUGUUUCCUCGGCUUAACAAAUUGCUUAUAUCUUCUUGUCCUAACUUGAAGGGUUUGCCUGCUUUGCCUCUUACUCUAAAUCAACUGGAAAUUCUGGCGGUCGGAUUGACUUCUCUUCCGACGAUGCAACAAGACUGCAGUAGCGGCGAAGGACGAGCAUCGUGCUCAUCAUCAUCGCAUCCGACACUUUCUAAACUAAGCAUUUGUGAGUGCCCAAACCUCACAUCUCUAGAUGGAUUCAUGUUGCAGCAACAAUAUUUUCCAGCCUUGAAGAGUUUAUCCAUUGAAGAAUGUGAAAAUCUAAGGCAUUUGCCGGGAAAAUUCUUCCGAAAACUUCCCUCCCUCGAGGGUUUGGUUAUACAAAUGUGCCCCAAUCUCACGACGCACGGGACGAUUCUAGACGAUCGACGAUUGCCCGAGACACUUGAAAGGCCCACUGUUGUAUCAAGCGGCGAUCUCGAUCUGUCGCUACUCGAGGAGUCAUUGCCAAUACUGACCUCUCUAGUCACCUUGUCCCUUAAUGGUUGCGCGAGCGUGACAUCCCUUCCUCCGGCGGAAGUUUUUCCAAGGUUGUCGAAAGUCUACAUCUGGAACUGUGAAGAACUGUCGUCAUUGGACGGGCUACAAUCUUGCCCCUCGCUUGAAUCCUUGUCCAUUGGUGGCUGCGCAAGCAUGGCGUCCCUUCCUCCGGCGGAAGUUUAUCCAAGGUUGUCGGAACUCCACAUCUGGAACUGUAAGGAGCUGUCGUCACUGGAUGGGCUACGAGCGCUCCCCUCGCUCAAAUCCUUGUGGAUUGGAGGAUGCGACGCGCUCGUCGAGCUUUCACUGUUGCAACCACCGUUAGGCCUCACCAGUACCAGUCCCACAGAUAUGGAGCUUCCUCAUCUUCAAAUCGACCGGCAAGCUCUGUUGCGUCUCGAACCACUGAGAAACCUCAGCUCUGUUAGCUCACUCACCAUAACUGAUGAUACCGAACUCACAUCCCUCGACGAGCAAUGGCUGUUGCAAAACCGAUACUCCCUCCGAAGCUUUGCAAUUCUCAAGGCCUUGUCUCUUGAAUCCUUACCAACCAGUAUGAUGGAUCUUCAAGCCCUGUGUGAAUUGUCUAUUUAUGACGCUCCUUUGCUUCGGACGAUUCCGGAGCUGCCCACCUCAGUGACAUUUCUAAGAAUUACCGGCUGUCUCCCCGAAUUGAAGGACUACAUUGAAGGCUCUGGAAAAUUCGCCAGUAUUCGUUGUUUGCAGGUUGGUCAAAAAUUUCCUUAAGAAAAAGCUUGGGUAAAUGCACUUUUUCUUUCCAAUAUUAUUUGCAUCUUAGGCUUCUCUGGCCCUGCUUUUUUUCUUUUUUUUUUUUUUAAUCCACUACUUCCAGCAACAAACAGACGCUAAUAGAGCAUUCGACAUAUAAUUAACCCUAUAAUAUAUAUAGUGUUGAGCUACUAUACUAUCGAAAGAAUAAAAUAAUUGGUGCUUUCGAUUUUUUAGCAUUCGACAUAUAAUGUAUAGAGUAGAGCUACUAUGCUAUCGGAAGUAUAGAGGAUUUGGUGACUCCGAUUUUUAGCCCUUAGAUCAACCUUUUAAUUAUUUCUAAUGUUUGGAUUAAUACUAUUAAUCUGUGGGGACCACUCAACUCUAAGGAUACUACUCAACUCUGGGGGGAUCGCAAUCAUCCCAACCGUAUACUUUUUUAAAACAAUGGUCAAAAAGUUGAAAACAUCAUAUCCUCUAUACUUCCGAUAAUAUAGUAUCUCUACACUAAUAUAUAUAUAUAUAGAGUGCGUCUGGUAUGCUUAUAGAAGCACCGAGCGCUCCGUGCUUCCACUUUGUUUUCGAUGUUCAGACUUUCGAAUCGAAGAUCGGCUCCGUUAGACUCAAUCUAGAGUAUUUGAAGUAUCUAGAAAAUAAAUUUUGCGAUUUUUCGAUAUCAUUUGCCUAGUGAUCGAAGUGGCUCAAAAUCAACGGCUGAAAAUAAAAAUCUUACAAAAUAUGAUGAUAUGACAUUAAAAUUUUAGAUCAAUGUUAUUGAUCUUGUUUUAUAUGGUAUAAAGAAUUUUCUAUCAAAAUUUCAUGCGAUUUGGAUAUUUCUACACCGUUAAACUUGCAACCGGCUCACCACGGCCAUUAAAAUUAUUGAUUUUGAGCCCCUUCGAUCACUAGGCAAAUGAUAUUGAAAAAUCACAAAAUUUAUUUUUUAGGUACUUCAAAUACUCUAGAUCAACUCUAACAGAGCCGAUCGUUGAUUCGAAAGUCCGAACAUCGAAAACAAAGUGGGAGCACAGAGGGCUCCGUGCUUCCAUAAGCAUACCAGCCUACUCUCUAUAUAUAUAUAUAUAUGUGUGUGUGUGUGUGUGUGUGUUAGAAAAGUAUAUUUUUUAUACUAUUUAUUACCUUAAUUAUCAAUUAAAUAGAUAAUAAUAAAAAUAAUUUAAUCAGUUUAUGUGCAACAUAAAAUUUUGUGAAAACUAAUUAAUAAUUAAAUUAUUUUAUAAAGACGUGUGAAAAAAAAAGAGAGAAAACUAUUAAAUAAUUUUUAAAAAUUAUAUGAAUUUAAAAUUUAGAAAAUUUAAUAGAUAUAUUAAUUGUUUGUUAUUAGUUAUUUAAUUUAUUUCAUAUAAAAUUAUAUUAAAAAAUCAGUUAAAAGCCUAUUUCAAAGCAUCCUAUUAGUUGAGGGGUCUCCACACAAAAUUUUUUUGGUGCAAAUGUAUAGAGACUUUCUAAAUUUUUAGUUUUAGGCUUAAGUAAUUUUAUCAAAACUUUAUGAAUCUUUAUAAAAUUUAUUAGUAAUUUUACCAUAUUUAAUAAUUUUAAUUAUCUUUGGUUAUUUUAAUUAACUCAUUAGUAAAUUCAUCAGAUUUAAUAAUUUUAAUUAUCUUUUAUCAUUUUAAUUUAACGAAGUAUAAAAAUUAAGAUUAAAAAAGAAAUUAAAAUUUUUUUUUUUUUUUGAGAGAUAGGUAGCAUGCUACCCGCUUCGUUUAUUUCAUUUAGAAAUAAACUUAGCUGGAAAUGUAAAUCAACGAGGAUUCGAACUUGGGUCUCGGGUACCAACCACCAAGCCCUUUGCCACUUGCUCUAGGGAUGGUCGGUAAAACCCUGAUAAUUUUAAUACAGAGGCUUUCUAUAUAGUAUAGAUCGCCUUUAUAAAAUUAGUUUUAAUUUUAUAAUAUUAAUUAUUAAAAAUUAGAGUCUACGUAUGUAAUAUUUAUGGCAAUUUUUUUAUAGUUGAGGAGGGGGUUGGGAGGAGAAAUCAUUCUGUGCACCGGGUGUAUACUUAUAUCUUAUACACCGUGUUAAUAUCUCUAUUGUUUAUAAUAUUUUGUACAUAAAUUUUUUUAUAUGGUGUAUCUAUUAAAGAGUAUUUUGGUUUUAAAAUAUUAAUAAUUAAAAAAAUAGGUUUGAUGCAUGUGAUAGUUAAUAGGUAGCUUACUUGUCCCCUCAUGUUAAUUUAGUCAUUUUGAUUUAUAUAUAUAUUUUUUGAUUAAAUAGGGAUAUACCCUAUUUUAGAAAGCAAAGUAGACCUCGGACUGCGGUCUUAGAUGCAUACAUAGACUCGAGGGAGCGAGAAAGAAGAAAGAAGAAGCGCUACGGGAUUAGAUCAAAAUCAACUCUGGAACACAGAUUUCCAUAGUUCCGCUGAGUACAGAAACACUUCUUCUCAGGGUGUUGCUUUGGUAAGGACGAUCGUUGAAAAUUCUCUUGCUCCUCUCAUUCUACAGUUCCCAGCAGGCUGCUGCAAAACAAAAGUCAAAGUUAGUUUUAGAUAUUCCAGACAUCUUGCUUCUCAUUUGGCUCCACCGGUCUGCUAAAUUUCCAAAGAGGGAGGUCGCGAACUGUUGUGUAGUUGUGAAAUUGUGAAGCAGCCAAUUCCACAAAGAUCUUGCAUAAGUGCAGUGGAAUAAAAUAUGAUCCAGAGUUUCCGCGUAACGCAGAUAGAUGGCCCGUUCCAACCCCUUUUCUAGAGAAUUUCUACGGUAAGAACUUUAUUUCUUGCGGCUAGCCACAUGAAGAUUUUGAUUCUGAGGGGAAUCCUUAUUUUCCAAAGGAAAGAAAAUUUUGAGUCGUUUAUUCCGUCAUAUGUUAGGAAGUUGUAGGCGCUCUGAGCCGAAAGUAGUCCUGAAUUAGUCCAUCGCCAUGAUAAAUGUAAGAUUGAGAUUUAUGAUAAAUGUAAGAUUGAGAUUUUUUUUCUUUCUUUCUCAAUUGAGCUCAUUGCUCGCAUGCAUCUCUUGUCCUGCUCGCAACUUAGCAAGGUGUCAUGUUCUUAUGCUUUUUACCGGCAAACGGCCGUGCAGCGCUCGUCUUAUUCCUCAAAGAUGGCAAGCUUGCCUCAAUCUUGCUAGCUUUGGAUCUACUUAUUUUAAACCUAAGGUGCAUGAAAAAGAGAUAUACUUUCGAAAACAUUAAACUUACCAGGUGGUGCUUUCGAUUUGUAGAAAUUAUAUUACUUAGGGAUCGUUUGAUUAGAUGUAAUUAUAAAUACAGUGUAGUUAGAGAUGCAUGCAGUUGAAAAUAUAGCAGUUAUAAUUACAUGCAUUAUAUUUUGUUGGAUGUAGUAAAAAACGCUACAAUUACAAAUAAUUAUUUGGUUGCAUGCAAUUGAGAAAUAAUUUUUAAAAUUUUAUCAUUAUAUAUAUAUAUAUGAUGAUGAGAUUACUUCUAAUGCAAAAAAAAAUUUAAGAGGUAAGAUUACCUUUUGUUUAAAUUUACUUUCUUCAACUGCUGCAGUUGGAACUGCGGCCAAUUUGGGCGUAGUUUCAACUGCUACAGUUGGACCUCCUCCUGCAAUUCCUACUGCAGUAGUUGGAGUUAAAUAUAUAAACUUAACACCAAAUUUGUAUUUGCAUGCAGUUACAAUUGCCGACAUGCAACCAAACGGCCUCUUAGAGAAAUAUAGAGUACAAUAUUCUCAAAGUCCUGAGCUUGUGAAAAAUCUAAAACUCCUUAUUCAUAGAUUUAUUGUCAUUAUUACAAAUAAAAAUUUACUAUUCAUUGCUUCUAUAGAAUCGCCCCGUUUUGUUCGGAGGAUAAGCGGGGAUAACGAAAGUUAUCCCCGCUAUUCCGCCAAACGGAAAAAUUUAUUGCCGGGAUAUUUUAUUCCGGUCAAAUCUUGCUAUUCUCGGUUAUCUCAGAAUAGCAAAAGAUUUGCUAUUCCAACAUUUUGAUGGAAUAGUGCUAUUUCAAUACAUAGUUUCAAACUUAAUUAAAAUUAUAAAUUGAAUUAAAAUUAAAUUAUAUAAAUAUAAUAUAUUAUAUAUUAUAAUACAUUAUUUUUAUUAUAAAAUUAUUAAUUGUACUAUGUUAAUAAAUAUUAUUUAUAUUUAAAUAUUAUAAUAAAUUUUACAAUAAAUUAUAUUUAAAUAUUAUAAUAAAUUCUUUUUAUUAAAUUUAAGUUUAAGUAUAAUUUUAAAAAAAAUUAUAAAUUUAUUAUAAUAAAUUAUUUUUAUUAAUUGUUCCCACCCCUAUUCUUAUUUUAAAAUUUUAAAAAUUAAAAAUUUAAAAUUUUAAAAUUUAUAAUUUAUAAUCUCAAAAUUAAAGUUUAUAAUUUUAAAUUUUAAACUUUAAAUUUUGAUAUUUUAAAUUUUUAAAAUUUUAAAUUUUAUAUUUUAUAUUUUUCAAAUUUAAAUUUGAUUUUAAAUUUAAAGUUUGAAUUUUAAAAUUUAAAAUUUUGAAUUUAAAAUUUGAGAUUUUAAAUUUCAAAUUUUAAAAUUUCAAAAUUUAAAUUUUAAAUUUAAAAAUAUAAAUUUAAAAUUUUAAAAUUUUAAAUUCAAAUAUAAUAAAAGAGUAAUAUCAUUAUUUUUUAUUUAUAAAAGCUCACUAUCCUUCGUAUUCCAUCUUACUUAACCAAACGCUAUUUUUUUUAUUCUCAGAAAUAACCCAAUUUUCAUCCAAAUGCAAAAUUGAUCUAAUCCCCGCUUAUACCUCAAUUUAUACCUAUCCCUGAAAUAGCCACUUUUUGCUUAUCCCCGAACCAAACGAUACUAAGUGGCUUCUAGGCUUUCGUCUGUAGCUCCUAGGUUUACUGUCUAUAUUUAUUCUUAGAAAAUCUUUGAGUUGCCCAUGAUGCUUCAGCUCCCUUUCCGCAUGUUGUAACUUUGGCUCCCAAAAUAGCUGCUGAAAGAUUUUUUUUUUUUGAGAAUAAGGUACUGCUUCAUUCAAUUAGAAGAUAAAUUCGGCUAUAAAUUGAGGCAGUCAAAAACGAUCCCAAGAAUCCUUGAGAGUUCGGCUCUUUGUAAGCACACAACCUAGUGCAUGUUUAGAUUUUUCAAAAAUUCUUCUGUUAUGCUCUAACCAGAUAACCCAUCAUGUGGCAGUGAUGGUCGCCAACUCUCUAUUCACCCGUGCACUUCUUUUGAGGCUACUCGCUUCCCAAAUCUCCAUUGAGGAUGAGCAAUUACUAAGAAAGAGUUGUUUGGAAGUAAUCCUUUUAGCAUAGCUGUAGCCUGAGGGUAGCUGGAGAAGAGAUGAUCCACCAUCUCUUUCUCUUCCAGACAUGAAACACCAUUCUCGUCCCCACUCUAACCCCUUUUUAGAAGGUUGUCCACAAUGAGCACCCUUUUUCAACGCUAACCACAUGAGAGUCUUGACUUCGAGGGGAGAUCUAAUCUUCCACAAGUGUGCAAAGCUCUUAGCUCUAACUCCACCAUCCUGAUGAAAAUUGUAUACUAAUUUGACCGAGAACUUUUCGAAGCAGGUCCAUCUCUAUCUUAUGACAUCCUGUGUAGUAUAUAGACAGAUCUCAUAAAUUUACUCCAUUAGAGUCAAAAGUUAGUCACUUUCUAGCUAAGGGUGAAUUCUGACAAAAUCUUACGCCAACUCCAACCGUUCCCGUCCCAACAAUCCUUCACUCUGUAAUUUCUACAUGUGAUUUUCUCGAAGAUACAUGGGUAUAAAGUUCGCAAUGAGGCUCGUUCAUACCAGAUGUCAGUUCAGAAAUUUAUGAUCUGUCCAUCCGCAAUUGACUAAGACACUCCACAUUGAAAAAUCUCCUUGGUCGCUAGAACGCUCCUCUACCAGAACGAGCGGGGUUUGAACGAUACACCUUCCGCAAGCGGUUUCCUCCGUAUAUAAUAUACUCCGUCAAUCAGUGCACUCCACAGAUGAUUUCUUUCAGAGAAAAACUUCCAUCACCAUUUGGGCAAUGAACUUACCCUUGCUACUGAACGAAUUUUAAAUUAUACUCUUUUGAAUUUGUGUCACUAUCAAAGACAGACGAACAAUAGAUCUUACGAUGUGCGUGGCAAGAGACUCCAGAUCUAAAAGCUAAAGUGAGUUUAUAAUAAAUAUGGAAUGUUGCAUUUGAAGAAGAUAAUGUGUUAAUUAUAAGUGAUAGUCUGUUAAUAAACAAGCCGAGCAUGACCAAGCAAAAAUUUUUUAAGAAAUGCCCACAAAGUUACAAGCAUACCACAACAAAAACACAUAACAAAAAGCUUAGAGAGAGAGAGAGAGAGAGAGAGAGAGAGAGAGAGAGCUACACCUUUUCCCAAUACAACACUUAACACAAUUUAGGCCAUGUUUGGUUCUAUACAAAAAUAAGCUGAAAACAAAUUUUCAGUUGAAAAAUAGUUUUCAAGUGUUUGGUUGGGUGUCAAAUAAUUUUUCAGGGAAAUCUAGUUUUACAUAUUUGGAGAAAACCCUCCAUUUGUUUUCCGCAGGCGAGCGACGAAAAACGAAAAGCGCGAAAGAAAAAGCACGGCUCAUGACCACGCUUUUGCGCGGUCCACGAGGUCCGCAUCACCUCGUGGACCGCGUGAGGCAAGGAGAUAUAUAUAUAUAUAUAUAUAUAUAUAUAUAUAUAUAUAUAUAUAUAUAUAUAUUCACCCCGUCUGGAGAGGAGUGCGCCAGGUGCUCCACCUCGCCUGGAGCACCUGGCGCGGAAAAAAAGAGAGGCGCAGCACGAGUUGCGGCACGUUCCAGGUAGAGGGGCGCAACACGCGUUACGACACACUCCAGGUAGCUAGUACGUNNNNNNNNNNNNNNNNNNNNNNNNNNNNNNNNNNNNNNNNNNNNNNNNNNNNNNNNNNNNNNNNNNNNNNNNNNNNNNNNNNNNNNNNNNNNNNNNNNNNNNNNNNNNNNNNNNNNNNNNNNNNNNNNNNNNNNNNNNNNNNNNNNNNNNNNNNNNNNNNNNNNNNNNNNNNNNNNNNNNNNNNNNNNNNNNNNNNNNNNNNNNNNNNNNNNNNNNNNNNNNNNNNNNNNNNNNNNNNNNNNNNNNNNNNNNNNNNNNNNNNNNNNNNNNNNNNNNNNNNNNNNNNNNNNNNNNNNNNNNNNNNNNNNNNNNNNNNNNNNNNNNNNNNNNNNNNNNNNNNNNNNNNNNNNNNNNNNNNNNNNNNNNNNNNNNNNNNNNNNNNNNNNNNNNNNNNNNNNNNNNNNNNNNNNNNNNNNNNNNNNNNNNNNNNNNNNNNNNNNNNNNNNNNNNNNNNNNNNNNNNNNNNNNNNNNNNNNNNNNNNNNNNNNNNNNNNNNNNNNNNNNNNNNNNNNNNNNNNNNNNNNNNNNNNNNNNNNNNNNNNNNNNNNNNNNNNNNNNNNNNNNNNNNNNNNNNNNNNNNNNNNNNNNNNNNNNNNNNNNNNNNNNNNNNNNNNNNNNNNNNNNNNNNNNNNNNNNNNNNNNNNNNNNNNNNNNNNNNNNNNNNNNNNNNNNNNNNNNNNNNNNNNNNNNNNNNNNNNNNNNNNNNNNNNNNNNNNNNNNNNNNNNNNNNNNNNNNNNNNNNNNNNNNNNNNNNNNNNNNNNNNNNNNNNNNNNNNNAAUAUAAAAUUAAGCUUUUAAAAAAUUUAAGAAAAAAUAGAGAUAGAUAUUAUAUUAUAGAUGUGAUAGAUAUGAUAUAUAUUUUAGUACAUAAAAUUUAAAGAUAUGAUAUUAUAUUAUUCACAAUAGAUAUUCUCCUGUUGGCAAAUUUUUUUUCUGUUGUAGAAAUAAAGAGGGAUUAAAAGUUGUUUAAUUCUGUUAUUUUUUUACGUACGGAAAGAGGAAUCAAGUUGUUUUUCAAAUCCCGCUAAAAAAUGGGUCUAUCGACAGACCGAAAUUUGAAAUACGUGCUUUUAUAUAUAGUAUAGAUAUAUAUAGAGUCCGGCUACUAUGCUAUUAAUAGUACGAAACAUUUGGUGCUACUAAGUUUUCCGCCGUUAGAUCUACCCUUUUGAUCAUUUUCACCCGUUAGAUCAUACUAUUCAACCAACCACUCACUCAGCCGUAGGGGGCCACAUCAUUCUAACCGCACAUCUCUUAAUCCAAUGGCCAAAAACUUGGUAGCACCAAUGACUUGGUGCUAUUAAUAGUAUAUUAGCCUAGUUCUCUCUCUCUCUCUCUCUCUCUCUCUCUCUCUCUCUCUCUCUCUCUCUAUAUAUAUAUAUAGAGCAGGGCUGUUGUGCUCCCAGGAGCACGAAGGCCUCCGUGCUCCUGAGCCAUUUUCGAUGAUAAAAUUUUCGAAUCGACGAUCGACUCCGUUAGACUUGAUCUAGCGUAUUUAAAGUUUCUGAAAAAUAAUUUUUGCGAUUUUUCGAUAUCAUUUACCUAGCAAUCGAAAGGAUUCAAAAUCAAUAAUUUUAACGGCUGAAAAUAAAAAUCCUAUAAAAAGUGGUGAUAUAGCACUAAAAUUUUCGAUCAGAAAUAUUGAUCUUGUUAUAGAUAGUAUAAAAAAUUUUGUAUUAAAAUUUCAUAUGAUUUGAAUACUUCUACACUGUUAAACUUGAAAACAGCAGAUAUCAACCAUUAAAAAUUAUGGAUUUUGAAUCCUUUCGAUCACUAGGUAAAUGAUAUAAAAAAAUCACAAAAAUUAUUUUCUAGAAAUUUCAAAUGCGCUAGAUCAAGUCUAAUNAGUCCGGCUACUAUACUCUUAUGAGUACGAUUGCCCUCGUACUUAUAAAUCAUUUUCGAUGGUAGAGCUUCCAAAUCGACGAUUCAUAUCGUUAAACGUUAUUUACAACAUUAAAAACUUAUAGAAAUCAAAUUUUAUAAUUUUUUAACAUCAUUUACCUUACGAUCAAAAGGUCACAAAAUUGAUAAUUUUAACGGCCGGUAUGGAAUACUUUCUAGUUUAACGGUGUAAAAGAAUUGGAAUUUGUUGAAUUUUUGAUAAAAAAUUCUAUUCACUACCAAGAUAAUGAUCAAUAAUUUCGAUCUUAAAUUGAAGGAUACGAUCAUCUAUUUUUAGGACGUCGUUCAAUUUUGACCGUUUAUUUUAUGCUUGCUUGAUGAAUUUUAUUAUGAUUUUGAAAAUUUACGAAAUUUAUUUUUUAGAAGUUUCAAAUACUCUAGAUCAUAUUUAACGGAGUGGAUUGUCGAUUCGGAAGCUCCAUUAUCAAAAACAACUUAUGAGUACGGGGGCUCCAAUACUCAUAAUAGAAUAAUAGCCACGGCCUAUAUAUAUAAUAAUUUUUUAUUUAUAACUUUUUUUUUUCUUUUCUUUUCAACCAAACAAUCGUAACGAAAAAUUACUUUUCUUUUCCUAUAAACCAAACGCUAAAACGUAAAAUUUAUUUUCCUCCAAAAAUUUUGUUUCCACCGAAAUUUUUUUUUUCUGUAGUUUUACGAGGAACCAGACAGCCCCUUAUACUGGCCAAGGAAGGAAGAAUGUUCGCUGUAAAUAAAGUUUUGCCCUUUUCGUUGCCCUUUGUUGGUCAUCUGAAGAUAACCAUGUUGUUACCUUCCCUCCGGCACCGGACCUCGAGUCGAGGGUGCGCCCAGCACCCGCGUAUCCGCGCACCACGUCGACCAUGGAUUGCGUCUGUCAGGCACCAACAUCAAGGUUAAUUUUGAUUUUUAAAUUUUAAAUUUAAAUUUUAAAUUUUAAAUAUUCAAAUAUUAGAUUUUAAAUUUGAAAUUAAAAAUUGAGAUUUCGAUUUUAAAUUUUAAAUUUUUUAAUUUAUAUUUUAAAUUGAAGUAUCAAAUUUUAAUUUUAAAUUCAAAUUUAAAUUUAAAUUUAAAUUUAAAUUUGAAUUUAAAAUUUAAAUUUAAACUCAAAUUUAAAUUUAAAUUUAAAUUUUAAAUUUUAAAAAAUUUUAAAAUAAAAUUCAGUAAAAUAUUAUUAUUUGCAAAUAGUGAAAUUUUUUUGCUAAACAGAUUUAAUUCAUAAAAAUUACUUCUUAUAUAAACUCAGUCAAACACUUCACACCUUGGAACCAAAAUUAAAAUUUUAAAUUAAGAAAUCAUUUUUCUACAAUCUAUAGGCCAAACGAGCUAUAAAAUAGUCAUUGAGAUGGGCAAUAUGAAUCUAAACGUUUCCACGCGGUGGAAAAGUUUAUAUUGUGACUUGCCGAGGGGAAAAUCUAUUGUGUAAUAUUAACACCACAUUAUCUAUUCCAGUCAAUCAUAUCUUUUCUUUGGAGACAAAAAAUAUAAUACAAAUAUUUUUUCAAAAAAAAUUACUAUGGAAUGAAUGAAUUUUAGAAAAACUUUUUGACUGACUCAUGACACCACAUCACCCACAUAAAUGUUGUAUUCCAGAAUUUUUCGUUGCUGAGAGGCUUUGUGAAAAGUAAAAACUCUUAAAUUAUUGGCUGUUCAAUACUGCCAGGUCAACCCUUUCGGUCAUUGAUAGCUAAAGCCACGACAAAUAAGCUUCGGUUUGAUUGUGAGUUCCUGGGAUGGUCCGCACGGUGGAAACGUUUACAUUGUGAGUUGCUGAGAGGGUUUGUAAAAACUCUUACGUUUACGUUAUUGGCUUUUCAAUAUUGCCGGGUCAACCCUUUCUAGCUAAACCCACGACAAAUAAGCUUCGGUUUGAUUGAGGCUUCACUUUCCUAUCUUCUUUAAUUUUGUGUUCAUCUGAUCAUUUGAGGAAGAGCUAGAGCACUCGGUAUACGUUAAACAUGGCAUUGGCCUUGGUAGCUGAAUCCGCGGCGUCGAUCGUAAUCGAGAAGGUGAUCAACACAGCCUUAUCCUACGACGAGGAGUGCGGCGGGCCGAGUAACAUGCAGGACGAGAUCCAGAGGCUUCAGCAGGCCCUUCCGCAGAUCCAAGCGAUCUCGGCCGCCGUCGAGGGGAUGCAGAAUGUCAGUACUGAGCAAAACAAGGUGCUGGACGCGUGGCUGUGGCAGCUCAGAGAUGCCGCUGAGCGAGCAGAGGACGUGUUCGAUGAGCUGGAGUACUACAAGCUGGAGAAGAGAGUGCAAGCGCGCGGCGGUAGUGUACUCAACUUUAAACGGAAGUUUACUGAUUUUGCUAAGAAUAUGUUCGGAAAUGACACCUUGAACAGGUUGAGGGAGGCCGUGAAGGCGUUAGAUAAGGUUGCAGCAACUGUAGGACCUUUCCUGCAGCUCGCUUCGCAACUGUACGAUUCGAAUGUUAGGUGUCGACAAGAAGACGAGCUACGAAAUGCUCGCGCGACUAGCUCCUUUUUAACUGAGAGCAUUAUUUACGGUCGAGACGAGGAGAGGGACGUGAUAGUUGGAUGGUUAACUAAACCGACACGUGACAAGCUGGAGAAUACCUCUGCUGCUGCAGGAAAUGUCUCGGUUUUUGCGAUCGUCGGGAUGGGUGGGAUGGGAAAAACUGCGCUCACGCAGUUCGUCUACCAUGAUAAAAGAGUACAACGGUGCUUCGACUUGGUUAUGUGGGUGUGCGUUUCUGAUAGAUUUGACGCGGCUAUGCUGACGGUAAAGAUCUUAGAAGCGGCGAUGGUUAGGGAUAGUCUUGGUGACAAGAGCCUUAACACGAUUCAAGAGAUUCUUAAAGAGAAGCUUAUCUCCAAGAAGUUUCUUCUUGUGCUGGAUGAUGUUUGGAAUGAUAAUAAAAUACUUGAAUGGGAUAAAUUGGUGGCUCCUUUAAAAUUCGGCAGAAAAGGAAGCAAGAUUCUCUUGACAACGCGAAUGGAUUCAGUGGCGAAUGCAGUAGCCAGAGUUCUACAAGGUAGAAAAGAAUCUUUAAAAUUGAGUGGGUUAAAAGAAGAUGAUUUUAUACUGCUUUUCAAUAAGCAUGCCUUUGCCGGAGCGAACAUUGACGACCACAGAAACUUAGAAUUGAUCGGUCAGCAAAUAGCAAAGAAGCUUGGGGGAUGCCCGCUGGCAGCAAAAAUUUUGGGAGGAUGUUUGAACUCUUGCAUGGAUGAAAAAUAUUGGAGGAGAAUUUUGAAUGAAAAUUUUCUGAAUUUGCAAGAAAGUGAGGACAACAUUAGGAUGAUUCUGAGAUUGAGCUAUCAGCAACUGCCGAUAAGCUCGCAAAUUUGCUUCAGAUACUGCAGUAUCUUUCCUAAGGAUCAUGAAUUCGAAAAGAAUGAGCUUAUCUAUUUGUGGAUAGGUUCUGGGUUGAUCAAGCAACCAACACAUGAAAAGCGAAGCCUAGAGGAUAUCGGAGAGGAGUACUUAAACCAUCUAGCAAGAAGAUCCCUUUUUGAUAUCAAAAUAAGUGAGGGAGCAUUUGGCCUUAAACAGAGUUAUGUCAUGCAUGAUCUGUUGCAUGAUCUAGCUCAAUUUGCCUCUUUAGGGGAAUGCUUGAGAAUCGAAGGUGAUGGUUCCAGAGAAAUUCCGAAAACGAUCCGCCACAUAUAUGUCAAAAGGGUAAACCCUCUUAUGAUCUCCCACCUGAAGAACUUACGCACCCUUUUUAUUCAUUUAAACAAGGACUAUGAUGUAAUAGUAUUUAAUGAGGUUCUAAAAAAGUUAAAAAGCUUACGUUUACUACAAGUGACUGCAGAUAACUAUAAGCUUCUGGAUGAAGUUGGUAACCUCAUUCACCUCCGCUACCUCUCUCUCACUCCAUGGAUCGACGAAGUAUUUAAGAGAUAUUCGCUACCUCAAUCUAUAUGUGGACUCCAAUCUGUGUGUAGACUCUAUCACCUCGAAGUAAUGAAGCUCCCAGCAACGAAAACUGAAAUAGAUGAUUCAGCGCUGGUUGGAAUGAGCAAUCUAGUUAAAUUGAGGAUGCUAGACAUUCCCGCUCGUGUAACAGCCAAGAUUCCUUGGAUCGGCAAAGUAACAUUACUGCAGAACUUAGAUUAUUUCUAUGUCCGCGAGGAGUGUAGCUACAAGAUCUGUCAAUUAAAAAACCUGCGAAAUCUUCGAAAACUAUGCAUUGAUGGUCUGCAAAAUGUAAGGAGUCCACAAGAGGCUAUAGAUGCCAACUUGAUUGAGAAAGAAAAUCUUGACAAAUUGUCACUAGUUUGGCCUAAGAAUCGCGCUGGUCGUUUAGAGGUAGAUGGGCCACUUCUUGAUAACUUAAAACCACACACCAAUCUCAAGGAACUGGAAAUUAAAGGAUACGCCGGAGUUAGAUCUCCGCAUUGGAUGACAGCGCCAUCUCUUUCUAACAUAACAUCUAUCAAUCUACACGAUUGUAAGAGAUGGGAGAACCUCUCACCUUUUGGGCAACUUCCUUUGCUCAAGUUUCUGUGUCUACGACAUAUGCCGGCUAUAAGGAAAUUAUCGUGUUCAAGUCGUGUUGGUGGUUGCGCCUUUCCAUCGCUGAAGGAGCUAAAAUUGUAUGACAUGCCAAACUUGGAGCUGUUCGAAGGCGAGCACCUGUUUCCUCACCUUAAUAAGUUUGAUAUUAGUUCUUGUCCUAGCUUGAAGGGUUUGCCUGCUUUGCCUCUUACUCUGAAUCAACUGGACAUUUGGACGGUCGGAAUGACAUCUCUUCCGAUGAUGCAACAAGAUUGCGGUCGUGGCGAAGGACGAGUAUCCUGCUCACCAUCACAUCCGGCACUUUCUUAUCUACGUAUUGGUAAGUGCCCAAACCUCACAUCUCUGGAUGGAUUCAUUUUGCAGCAACAAUAUUUUCCAGCCUUGGCGAGUUUAUCGAUUAAAGAAUGCAAAAAUCUAAGGCUUCUGCCGAAGUUCUUCUUCCAAAAACUUCCCUCCCUCAAGUAUUUGAUUACAGAAAUGUGUCCCAAUCUAACGACACACAGGAUUCUAGACAAUCGAUUCCCCGAGACACUUGAAAAGCUCACUCUUGAAUCUAGCGGUGAUCUCGGUUUGUCGCUGGUCGAGGCGCCAAUACUGGCCUUUCUGACUGACUUGAAGAUUGACGGUUGCGCGAGCAUAACAUCCUUUCCUCCGGCAGAAGUUUUGCCCAGGUUGAUGAAUCUCUACAUCCGGAAUUGUAAAGAACUGUCAUCAUUGGAUGGGCUACAUGCUCUCCCCUCGCUCGAAUCCUUGUACAUUGGAGGAUGCGACAAGCUCAUCGAACUUUCACUGAUGCAACCGCCAAUAGGCCUCGAUAUGGUGUCGCGCCCUUCAAUAGAGCUUCGCGCUCUUGAAAUCGACCAGCAAGCUCUGUUGCUCAUCGAACCACUGAGAAGCCUCAACUCUGUUUGCUCAUUCAUUAUACAGGAUGGUGCAGAACUCACAUCCUCUACCGAGACAUGGCUGCUGCAAAACCAAAACUCCCUUCAAAUUUUAAAGAUAUGUAAAGCUUUAUCUCUUCAAUCCUUUCCCCCUAUUCUGAUGCAUCUUCGAUCCCUGUGUGCUCUGAGCAUAUAUGAUGCUCCUUUGCUCCAGUCGAUUCCAGAACUGCCCGCCACAAUGGAAUUUCUAACAAUUACAGGUUGUCAACCUGAACUGAAGGAGUACAUAAAAGGCUCUGGAAAAUUUGCCAAUGUUCCUUAUGUGAGGAUCACUGAAGAUUGAGUAUGUCACAUCUCUUUACUACUAUCUCUAACUCCCAGCAUAAUUUCUCGGUCAAAUCUCUCUACAACUUCUUAAAGGACGGAGCGAUUAGAGAUCACUUGAGCACUCAUAUUUGGAAAUUCAAAAUUCCGGUGAAGGUCAAGAUCUUCGUCUGGCUGCUUAUGCGAAAUAGAGCACUCAUGGCAGAUAACCUUCUUAAGAGGGGUUGGAGUGAGGGCCACCUCUGCAUGUUAGAAGUUGGAUUGCUGGAUUAGUUGAAUUUCUCUUAAAGGAAAUAAAAAACGAAGGAUUAGUUGAAUCAUUCACUACUGCAUUUUUUUUUUAUCUAAUUAUUUAGCACUUUUGCAUAAAUCCUAUAGUUAGUUUGUAUUAUAGAGUGUUCUCCUUUCCUCAUACAUCUACAAUGGAUAAAUUCAUCUUGUAUUCUCUUUUGAGAAGAUACAACUUUUUUAUUUUUUAUAUUUUUUUUUUUCUUUUUCGUAUGUUGAUUCGUGUUAAGUUGCUUUCUAAUUUAUUAUUUAUUAUUGACGUUAUGCUGCUAUUUAAGUUGCAUCAGUGUUACUUUUCCAAACUAGAUAGUUGCGCAGGCCACUGUAUUGUAUAUUUGUUUGAUAUUCUAAAAUGAUUAUUUCAGAUUUGAUAGGUUUCUAACCAUAGAAAAUUUUAUCACUGUUUUUUACAAAAUUACUUGGAACUCUAAUAGAAAAUUCUACUUAACACCAAUAAUAAAUCAAUACUUAUGAUUUAAAAUUUGAGUUUUUUAUUACUUUUUUUAUAAAAUUUUUAUUUUCAGCAGUUUAUUUUGAGGCUAAGUUGUUUUAAAUGACGCAGCUUUCAAAUCGACGAUCGGUUCUCUUAGACUUGAUCUACACUAUUAAAAAUAUUUAAAAAUUAAAUUUUAUAAUUUUUCGACAUUAUUUGGCUAGUUAUCGAAAGGUCUUAAAAUUGAUAAUUUUAAUGGUAGAUGUGAUGCGUUUAUGAAUUUAUCGGUGUAAAAGAAUCCAAAUCUGAUAAAAUUUAUAUAAAAUUUUUUUUUCACUAUUUAGACUAACAUCAGUAUCUCUGAUUUUAAAUUCAAGUCUUUUAUUAUUAUUUUUUAUAAAAUUUUUAUUUUUAAUUAUUUAUUCUAGACUACUCGUUUAAUAAUUCAAAAUAUUUACUAUAAAAAAUAAUUUAUGAGUACGAACCGCUGUAUACUUGGAAGAAUCCACACUCACGCCAAAAAGAGAAAGGACAAGGGAGAAAUAAUGCUAUUGCUUUACAGCCUGUUGAAUAGCGAUAUUUUUGUCACAUGGGAAAGCAUCCACUUUCUACAUAUUAUCUUUUGUUGGCUUGAUUAAACUGUGCUAUCAUAUAAUUUAUUUACAUUUGAUUAAAGUUUAUUUAGCUCUCAACCUUUUAAGCGUGACGUUUAAAACUUAAAAAAUCUUAAAAAAUAAAAAUUACAACUAAUUAAAGUUUAAGAAUUAGAAGACGUAAAUAAAAAUUACAACUAAUUAAAGUUUGAGAAUUAAAAGACGUCUUCAAGAUAGGAAUUUGGGUGGGUGACAUGAGAUUUUCAACGUGUUGGGCCCCACACGGUGAAAAACAACGGACUUUGUUAGUCGCAGAGAAGUUACGCAGAAACUCCUACAUUAUUGGCUGUUCAAUACUAUUGGGUCAUCCCUUUUGGUCUUUCAUUGUGUUCAUCUGAUCAUUUGAGAAAGAACUAGAGAGCUAGCUACACAGGAAACAUGGCUUUGGCCUUUGUGGCUCAGUCCGCGGCGUCGGUCGUAAUCGAGAAGCUGAUCAGCACGGCCGUGUCCUACGUCGGGACAUGCGGCGCGGGGCCGAGCGCCAUGCAGAACGAGAUCCAGAGGCUUCAGCAGGCUUUUCCGCGGAUUCAAGCAAUUUUGGAUAUGGUCGAGGGGGGGCAGACAGUCGAUACAAAGCAAAACAAGGGGCUGGACGCCUGGCUGUGGCAACUCAGAGACGCUGUGGAUCAGGCGGAGGACGUGCUCGAUGAGAUGGAGUACUACAAGCUGGAGAAGGCAGUGCAAGCUGAAGAUAACAAGGUACUGUUGGGUCUGGAAUUUUAUUUAAUUUUACAGAAAUUUUAUUAAAUCAACAAACAAAUAAAUAUUAAAUUAAAGACGAAAUUAAAUUAAAAGAUAAAGGGUUUGGAAAAAUAGCUAGAUGAGACGUGUAAUGCACUAUCCGAGAGUACUUUAGUCCCUCUACGUGCUUGUCUUCGUCUAGUUGCUUAGGGGUGUAAUAUGGACCAGGACGCACGGGCCCUUACUUUAGUCCCUCUACGUGCUCACAUUAACCGGGCCAAAACAGGCUAGGGCCCGGCCUGGCCUAGCCCGAACCCGAGCUACCUAGCCUCGGGCCCGGACCGCCCCUUUGGCCCAGGACGCACGGGCCGUCUCGGGCUGGACCGUGCUUCUGGCCUGCCUCUUAAAGAAUUUAUUUUUAAAUUUUUUUAAAAAAAUUAGUAUAAAAUAUAAAAAUAUAAGCAAUAAAUAUUUUAAUUUAAAUUAAUAUUUUAAUUAAAUCAUUAAAAAUAAUUAUAACAUUGUAAAUUUUUAAUUUUUUUUAAAAAUAAAUAAAAUUAUAUUAUUUUUCUGAAAAAAAAAAAAAAGAGAUGGGUUUUGGUCCAAUGGACCAAAUAACUCCCGAGAGGUCCUCGGGAAGAGCUCAGACCCUAAGGGCCUUGGGGUCCCAGCCGAGCUGGCCCGGCUGGCACGCGGGCCGUGCCGUGUCUUACCGCCUACGUCUUCUCAGCCCGGCACGGCCCAGGCCCAUUCCGAGCCGUGCUGGGCCGUGGGGACUCAGAGCGGAGGCCCAGCAUGGCCCAAAAUCUCAGGCCGGCCUAGUCCGGCACAGGGGCUACCGUAUCUGUGCCGAGCUGUAACCCGGCCCGAGGCCGUGCUAGGUUGAACGGCCCACGUGCCGCUCGGCCCGUUUUACAUCCCUAUAGUUGCUCUAGCAACACAACACCUCAGAUUAUCCCGAUCUGCUUGAUUGUACGAGUCUCAAAAAAGUGCUCGAGUGACUGUCAAUUCAGCAUUUUUUUUUAGUCGGCAUUUUUUUUUAGUUAGGAUCUGGUAUAUAUCUUUGUUUUAUUGUCUUUUUUAUAAUAUAUAAAGUUGACUGUCGAAAGAACAUUGUAGGAUGUUCCACUAAAGAGGAAUACAUGAUCCCGCAUCUCGUAAAAAACGGUGUACCCCGUUUUUCGGAUAGAGGAGAGAGAGAAUACGUCGCGUAACUUCCUCAUAUUAAAUAUAUUGUAUUUAAAUUAAGUAUUAAAUUAAAUCUUUUAAUUAUCUAUUUGAUUUAAAUUAAAAUUUUAACUUAAACUAAUUCCAACAGGUACAACAAGGUACAGCACUCACCUUAAAAAGGAAGUUUGCUGAUUUUGCUAACAAUAUCUUCGGAAAUGACGACACCUUGACGAGGUUGAGGGAGGCCGUGAAGGCGUUAGAUAAUGUUGCUGCUGCUAGUGAAACUUUACAUCAACUUGUUUGGCAGCUAUACAAUUCGGAUGGUAAGCGUCAACAGGAAAAUGAGAUACGAAAUGUCCGUGAGACUACCUACUUAUUAACUGAGGAUACGAUGUUUGGUCGAGACAGGGAGAAGGAAAGGAUAGUUGAAUGGUUAACAAAACCGACAAGCGAUGAGCCGGAGAAUGCUUCUGCAGCUGUCGGAAAGGUCUCGGCUUUUACGAUCGUUGGCAUGGGUGGGUUGGGAAAAACCACUCUCGCGCAGUUCAUCUACCACGAUGAGAAAGUGCGGCAUUGUUUCGACUUGGUUAUGUGGGUGUGUGUUUCCGAUCAAUUUGAUGUGACUAUGCUGACAAGAAAGAUCUUGGAAGCGGCAAAGGUUGGGGAUAGCCCUGGCGACAAGUGCUGCCUUAAUACAAUUCAAGAUUUUCUUAAAAAGGAGCUGAUCUCGAAGAAGUUUCUUCUAGUGUUGGAUGAUGUUUGGAAUGAUGAUAAAAUACUUGAAUGGAAUAAAUUGGUGGCUCCUUUAAAAUUCGGAAAGAAAGGAAGCAAGAUUCUCUUGACAACGCGAAUGGAUUCAGUGGUGAAAAGAGUAGCCAAUGUUUUACAAUGUAAAGAAGAAUUUUUAAAAUUGAGUGGGUUAGAAAAAGAUGAUUUUAUGCAUCUUUUCAAUACGCAUGCAUUUGCCGGAGAGGAUAUUGACCAUCAUGUAAACCUAAAAUUGAUUGGAGAGCAAAUAGCAGAGAAGCUUGGAGGAUGCCCGUUGGCAGCAAAAAUUUUGGGCGGAUAUUUGAACUCUCGCAUGGAUGAAAAAUACUGGAGAAAAAUUUUGAAUAAAAAUUUUCUAAAUUUGCAAGAAAGUAAGGAUAACAUUACGAUGAUUCUGAGAUUGAGCUAUGAUCAUCUGCUGGAAAGCUUGCAAAUUUGCUUCAGAUACUGCAGUAUAUUUCCUAAGGAUUAUGAGUUCAAGAAGAAUGAGCUUAUCCAUUUGUGGAUAGGUUCUGGGUUAAUCAAGCAACCAACACAUGAAAAGGAAAGCUUAGAGGAUAUCGGAGAGGAGUAUUUAAACCAUCUAGCAAGAAAAUCCCUUUUUGAUAUCAAAAUAAGGGAGUAUGGUUCUGAUUGUGAACAGCGUUAUGUCAUGCAUGAUCUAUUGCAUGAUCUAGGUCAGCUUGUCUCUUCAGGUGAAUGUUUGGGAAUUGAAGGUGAUGGUUCUGGAGAUAUUCCCAAAACAAUCCGCCACAUAUAUGUCCGCAUGAACAAGGUAAACCCUGAUAUGAUCUCCCAUCUCAAGAACUUACGGACCCUUAUUAUUUAUUUAAAUGAGAAUUUCACUUCAGUAGCUUUUAAUGAGGUUCUAAAAGAGUUAAAAAGCUUACGCUUACUAAGAGUGACUUUAUAUGGCAAUAAGUUUCCAGAUGAAGUUGGUAAACUCAUUCACCUCCGCUACCUCUCCCUCUCCCUCUCUUCACAGGCUUGCAGAGGAAAUGAGAUAUAUGUUCUACCUCAAUAUGUGUGCAGACUCUAUCACCUAGAAGUAAUCAAGCUUUCGGAAUCAAUUAAAAUGUAUCAUUCGGUAUGGGAUAGAAUGAGCAAUCUUGUUAAAUUGAGGCUGCUAAGUUCUCCUUAUGCUAGAAUGGACGAGAUUCCUUGGAUUGGCAAACUAACAUCACUCCAGGAGUUACGCAAUUUCCGUGUCCGUGAGGAGUGUGGCUAUAAGAUAGAUCAAUUAAAAAACCUGCAAAACCUCCGAAAACUAGGCAUUGAGAGUCUGGAAAAUGUAAGGAGUUCUGAAGAGGCUGCGGAUGCCAACUUGAUUGAGAAAAAAAAUCUUGAUAAAUUAUCACUCGAUUGGUCUACGAAUCGCUCUGGUGGUCUAGAGGUAGAUGAGCCACUUCUUGAUCAUUUAAGACCACAUACCAAUCUCAAGGAAUUAGAAAUUGAAGGAUACGCCGGAGUUAGAUCUCCACAUUGGAUGACAGCGAUAUCUUCUCUUUCUUAUAUAAGGUCUAUCAAACUAUCCAAUUGUGAGAGAUGGGAGAACCUCCCAACUCUUGGGCAACUUCCUUCACUCAAGUUUCUUAAUUUAGAAAACAUGUGGGCUGUAAAGAAAUUAUGGUGCUCAACAAGUGUUGGCAGUUACGCCUUUCCAUCACUAGAGGAUCUUGAAUUGAAAAGUAUGCCAAACUUGGAGUUGUUCGAAGGCGAGCACAUGUUUCCUCGGCUUAAUGAAUUGAAAAUAACUUUUUGUCCAAGGUUGAAGGGUUUGCCUGCUUUGCCUCUUACUCUAAGUCUACUGGGGAUUCUUGAGGUCGGAUUGACUUCUCUUCCGAUGAUGCAACAAGACAGCUGCAGUAGCGGCCAAGGACGAGCAUCGUGCUCAUCAUCAUCGCAUCCGGCACUUUCUUACCUAGGAAUUAGUGAGUGCCCAAACCUCGCAUCUCUAGAUGGAUUCAUGUCGCAGCAGCAAUAUUUUCCAGUCUUGAAGAGUUUAUCCAUUAUAGGAUGUGAAAAUCUAAGGCAUUUGCCGAGAAAAUUCUUCCAAAAACUUCCCCUCAUCGAGCGUUUGACUAUAGAAAUGUGUCCCAAUCUCACGACGCUCGGGCUUCUAGAUAAUCUAUUGCCCGAGACACUUGUAAGGCAGGAGUCAUUGCCAAAACUGACGUCCCGUCCUCGGCUGGAAGUUUAUCCACAAUUGUUGAAACUCCGCAUCCGGAAUUGUAAAGAGCUGUCGUCACUGGAUGGGCUACAAGAUCUCCCCUCGCUCAUUGAGUUGCACAUUGAAGGAUGCGACAAGCUCAUCAAACUUUCACUAGGCGUCACUAGUACCAGCCACACAGAUAUGGUGCUGCGCCCUCCAAUGGAGAAGCUUCGUGAUCUUAAAAUCCGGUACUGUAAAGAGCUGUCGUCACUGGAUGGGCUACAAGAUCUCCCCUCGCUCAAAUCCUUGACCAUUCACGGAUGCGACAAGCUCAUCGAAUUAGGCGUCACUAGUACCAGCCACACAGAUAUGGUGCUUAGUGCUCUUCACAUCGACCGGCAUGCUUACUUGCGUCUCGAACCACUGAGGAGCCUCAGCUCUGUUAGCAAACUCCGCAUAUUUGAUGGCACUGGAGAAUUCACAUCCCUCGACGAGCAAUGGCUGUUGCAAAACCGAAACUCCCUUGAACAGCUAGAAAUUUCUCGGGCCUCGUCUCUUGAAUCCUUACCAACCAGUAUGAUAGAUCUUCAAGCCCUGCGUCAUUUGACUAUAAUGAAUGCUCCUUUGCUGCGAUCGAUUCCAGAACUACCCACCUCAAUGGAAUCUCUAACAAUUUGGGCCCAUACACGGGAAUUGAAGGAGUGCAUAGAAGGCUCUGGAAAAUUCGCCAAUAUUCCUCACGUGGAGGUUUAUUAAAAAUCUCCUUCAGAAAAAGAUCAGGUAUGUCCCGUCCCUUUACUUCUCUCCAACUCUCUUAAAUGCAACAUUUUCUUCUCAAUAUUAUUUGCAUCUUAGGCUUGUUUGACCCUGCCUUCUUUUUUUUUUCGCCUACUUUCAGUAAUAACAGCCUCUAAUAAAGUUUUCUCAAAAACAGCCUCUAAUAAAGCAUUUGUUAGAUAAGUAUAUUUUUAUAUUAUUUAUUACCUUAAUUAUUAAUUAAAUAGAUUGAAAUAAAAAAUUUAAUAAUAAAAAUAAUUUAAAUUGGUUUAUGUACAACAUAAUUUUUUGUAAAAACUUAUUAAUAAUUAAAUUAUUUUAUAAAGACAUGUAUGGAAAAAAAAAGGAGAGAGGAAAUGAUUAAAAUAAUUUAAAANAAAAAUGAGAGAGAAAGCUAUUAAAAUAAUUUUUAAAAAAUAUAUAUAUAAAUUUAAAUUUUAGUUAAUUUAAUAUAUCUAUAUUAACUAUUAGUUAUUAGUUAUUUAAUUUUAUUUCAUAAAAAAUAAUUAUAAUUAUUUGAAUUUCGUCAAAUUUUAUAUAAAAUUUAAAAAACAUUUUCUUUAGUUAACAAAAAUUAAUCAUAAAAUCUUUAAAAAAAUCAGUCGAAAAAAUAAAUUUGAGGGGCCUAUUUCAAGCAUCCUAAAUAGUAGAGGUGUUCUUCACACGGUUUUUACCCUUCCUUUUUUUUUUGUAAGAAUUUAUAGAAACUUCCUAAUUUUUUGUUUUUGGACUUUAGUUAUUUUUGUUGGUUUAAAAGAGCUAACAUUUUACUCUAUAGUGGGAGGUCAGAUUGGACCUAGUCACAUUCGAAAUUGCAUGAGACUGGGUUGGACCGAGUCAUGUUCCAAAUAAUGUGAGUCUGGUUGAAUCGAGUCACAAUCAAGACCCGUGGGUGCUUUAUAUGUAUGCUUUAACUAAAUUGAUUGUGUAUAAAUUAACGGCGAGUGCGGAUAAACAAGAAAGUGACACUUCCGUCAAUGACAUUAGAGUUGGAUUGUUGGAUUAGUUGAAUUUUCUCAUCAAAGAGAAAAAAAAAAGAUUGGUUUAAUCAUUCAGUACUCCACAUUUUUUAUCUAAUAAUUUAGCAUUGGUUUAGUACAUUUUUUUUAUGUAAAAGAUUGGUUUAAUCAUUUAGUCGAGCUAUCGGCCCUUGGCCCGGUUAUUCUUAACAGGAAUGGCCGUGGAGCGAGUUACUGCCUGCUGGAUUUGAACGCCCAUCCGCUUGUCAGCAACUGUGAUCCGAAACCAGUUCUAGAAGAAGAGGGAGCCGACAAGACUGACAGUCAGCCAACUCCGACUUUAUGUUUUUAAGUGAAUUGGUUGUGUACAAAUUAACGGCACAUUUGCAUAAAUGAGAAAGUGACACUUUGAUCAAUAAUAUAUAUAUAUUUUUUUUUGAGAAAUAGAUAGCACACUUUGAUCAAUAAUAUUAAAAGUUGGAUUGUUGGAUUAGUUGAAUUUUCUCCUCAAAAAGAAAAAAAAAAAGGAAGAAAGAGGACUGGUUGAAUCAUUCAAUACUUCACAUUUUUUAUCUAAUAAUUUAGUACCUUUGCAUAAAUCAUAAAGUUAAUUUGUAUUAUAUAUUGUUCUCGUUUUAUUGUACAUCUGUGAUAGAUAUAUUCUUUUUUAGAGAUGAUACAAAGUUUUUUGCUUUUUCUCUUUUUUUAUUUUCUGUAUGUGUACUUGUAUUAAGUUGCUUUCUAGUUGCCUGAUCAUAUGUUGCCAUAGAAGUUGCAUCAGUGUUUUUUCCAAAGUAGGUAGUUGUGUAGGUCACGGUACAGUAUAUUUGUUUGAAAUUCUAAAAAUGUUUUUUUCCCCAGAUUGAUAGACCUUUAAGCUACGAAAAUUUUGUACAACCCUUUAUAUUAUGGAAUGCAUGAUUGAUAUGUUUAUGUUUCAAUAACAGCAUGAGCGUUUACUCACCUUCAAAUUUGGAGCUCGAUCAAAUUUAUGAUCAAGUGGAGCUGAUUGCAGAACAGAAAAUAUGAAAGCAUCGGCGGAGUUCUGCUUUGACAAAGUUCACCUUUUAUGUUGUAAUUGCUUGAUGAAGUUCAAAGUAGUUUAUUAUUAUGUUUUAUAUAUUUAUUUUCUCUUUAAGUUCCUUAAUUUACUGUGAUAUUCUGGUACUAUGUUUGAUAGCAGAUUUAUUAGCUUGCUUUCUUCUGCAGUCGGCUUCAGUGGACAAAGCAUGAAGGAGCUCUUUCUGUAUCAUUUCUAGCUAUUUCUACCAUUGUUUGUUCAAGCUUGUUGUUGCUACUAUAAUAGCUGUACUAUUUUUUUUUUUUUUUUUUUAAUGCAGUGGAAGUGACUUGUAAGUUGUAAUACAACACAGAAAAACCGGAGCAUCUAGAAAGUUUUUUCCAAGCGAAGUUGUGCUGUAUUGUUAAUUUAGUCACUUUGAUUUACAAUAAAUGUAAAAUUGAGAUGUUAUUUUUACUUCCAUAAUUGAGUUCAUUGUUUCCACACAUCUCAUGUCCUGCUCAAAACUUACGCAAGGUUUCCAGUUCUAAAAGCUUAAGUGAGUAUAUAAUAAAUAUGUGAUGUUGCUUUUGAAGAAGAUGCUGUGUUAGUAACCUUAGUAAUCUUUUACCUAAGGUAUUCAUUCACAAGUAGCUCGAGUUUGAUUCAAAAUUGAAUAAGCAAACCUCGAGGUUGGCUCAAUCGUAAACAAGCCGAGCGUGACCGAGCAAAGUUUUUCAAUAAAUGCCCUCAAAGUUACAAGCAUACCAAGCAAAAAUUCUUUAUAUACAACACCAAAACCACAACACAAAAUGCUUAGCAAUAAAGAGAGGGAAAAAAAGAAGAAGAAGAAGCACCUACAGUCAAAGUAGCAACACAGAAUGCAAGGCGGUUGAAUCGUGAUCAGUUCCAAAUCCGAAGGCGUGGAUCGGAAUUCUUUGGCCUGAGCCAUGAAGAAUGGAUAACGGGAUAAGCAGCCCGUAGUCUAUAGAGGCUCCGCUAUUGUUAGAGGAGAAAGAAGGAUUAUGCUACCAACUGAAGGAUUAUGUAUCUUGUCCAUCGGAAAGGAGGAUGAUGCUACCAACUGGAUUCUUAAGACGCCGUUGAUCGAACACCUUGGCAGCUUUCUUCAAUCCCUCUGCUAUGUUGGUGCCGCCAUUAGCAACCAGCGAAUUGACAGCCUGCAGGGCUGCAUGCCGACCAGACUCUGACAUACGACGGAGGUGGAAGAGCCGACGGGCCAUGGAUGAAAAUGCAAUGACGGAGAGCCGAUCAGAUGUUCCGAGAUUCUGGAUCACAAACCCUAACGCACGCUUCAAAAGUGCAAGUUUCGUUCCCGCCAUGCUGCCACUUACAUCAACGACCGCGACGAGGUCUAUAGGAGCACGCGAAGAUUGCACGCUCGUCGAAGUAGGAUGAGGGGCUUUGACAUGUAUCAAUAUAGUAAAGUCUUCGUGCGAGGAUGAUUGCGGAAUCGCAGAGAAUUCCGGAUAUGUCCUUAACUCCACUCUUCUAUCAGAUUCAGUUUGGGGAAUUUGAACUGUUUCGGACUGCAAAACUAUAGGCUGAUCAUCAUUGAAAGCGGCCGGCUCUUCAUCACGGUAGAGAGGAAGGUACCGGUGUACCUGGUUCACAAAGUCUACGAUUGGGUUCGCUUGAGCUUGUCCAAGAGUUACAUCGAAGGCGGGGGGGCUGAGGAGGGGAAUCUCACUCCACUUGGCUCUACAAACCGGACACAGAGAAUUACCGUGCUUUAUGCUCGAUGAGAUGCAGUGGAAGUGGAACAUAUGCGAGCAUUCUGCAGUGAAGAGCGCAUGACCACAGCCCGGUUUCAUGGCACAAAGGCAUAUGGCACAUAUUCUCUGAAAAUGGAAUUUUUUUAAUGAGACUUAGUUAGGGAACUUGUAUAAAUAUGUGAAAUAGAAAAUAAGUGACAAAAAUAACAGGAUUGCAUCUGGUAUAAUAGGUUACAUAUUUAGAGCUGAAGGGUGAACUAAAAACAACAAAUGUACUGAAACUAGGAGCAGGGCAGCUACGCUCUCAGGAGUACGGAGGCCUCCAUGGUCCUGAGCCGUUUUCGGUAAUAGAAUUUUCGAAUCAACGAUCUGCUCCGUUAGACUUGAUCUAGCGUAUUUGAAAUUUCUAGAAAAUAAUUUUUGCGAUUUUUCGAUAUCAUUUACCUAGCAAUCGAAAUGAUUCAAAUUCAAUAAUUUUUAACGGCGGAAAAUAAAAAUCCUAUAAAAAGUAGUGAUAUAGCACUAAAAUUUUCGAUCAGAAAUAUUGAUCUUGUUGUAGAUAGUAUAAAGAAUUUUCUAUCAAAAUUUCUCUGAUUUGAAUAUUUCUAUAUCGUUAAACUUGAAAAUGACAGAUAUCAACCAUUAAAAAUUAUGAAUUUUGAAUCCUUUCGAUCACUAGGUAAAUGAUAUUAAAAAAUCGCAAAAAUUAUUUUCUACAAACUUCAAAUGCGCUAGAUCAAGUCUAACGGAGCCGAUCAUCGAUUCGAAAAUUCCAUCAUCGAAAACAACUCAAGAGCACGAAGGCCUCAUGCUCCUGAGAGCACAGCAGCCCUGCUCCUCAAACUAGAUAACAAAUAUAUAAAAAAUUUAUCAUACAGGCCAAAUUUUGCUUACGACGGGACAUAACAAGGUACAAAAUUGAAGUGCUAAUUAAAGCAAUAAUGCACCAAAAAAAGGUUAAUAUGGUUACUAGGAAUUUCAUCAUCAGCAAAGUCAAACACAAAUAUAUACUAAAAAUUUUAGAAAAUGAUAGAUCCAAAAUCUUCUUCUGGUAUUGAAAUUUGCCGAAAAGUUUUUUUUGUCUCAUAUUAAACAGAUUACCAAAAGGAGUUCCAGGGCCUUUCACUCAACUGAAUACUAGUGAUUAGCACUCACUCAACUGAACACUAGUGAUUAGCACUUGUAUCCUAUAUGUAAUUGUACACUGCAUACAUACAUAUUAUACAUACAAAGAAAUGAGUCUGAUUACAUUUAAAUUUAGCCAGAUAAAUAGCAGGCGGUCAUAAAAAGAAGCACAUAAAGGGCUUGGAUAACAAAGCAAAGUAUCUGCAAGAUAUAAGUAUGAGUUAUUUAAAUAUCCUAUGCCAUAUAACAGACUCAGAGAUGAUCUAAAAGUAAGUAUACAACACAAGUUACUCCUCUUAAACAUUAACAUCAACAAAGAAUACAAUAUCCUACAGUAUUAGACUAGGCGAAUAUGCUAAGACAUCUUAACACCUGCUUGCUAAGUAGCAGGUGGAUACACUUAGAUCUGUUUUGCAUAGAGAAUUCCAGGACACAUGCAUAUGGGAGAAACUAAAAAUAAUAAUAACCCCUGAUAUGUUUUUAUAUAAUUAAUUUUAGUUUGAAAAAUUAACUUUGUUUAAAAGCUGUAAAACGUUUGGCUAAGUUUAGAUAAAAGUAAUUUUUUUUAAUUGAUUUUGUAAAAUUGUUUGGCAAACAAAAUUUAAUGUUUGCAUAUAAUAAUAUUUUUACUAAAUUUUAUUUUAAAAUAAUUUAAAAUUUUAAUUAAAAUCUAAAAUUUGUACCAAAUUGAAAUUUUGGUAUUUUAAUUUAAAAAGUAUAUUUGAAAAUUUAAAAUUUAAAAUUCAAAAUUUGAAAUUUUAAAUUCUAAAAUUUUAAAAUUUAAAUUUUAUCUUAAAUUUGAAAAUUUGAAUUUUAAAAUUUAAAAAUUGAUAUUUAAAAUUUAAAUUUAAAAUUUAAAAUUUGAAAUUUAAUAUCUAAAUUUUAAAAUUUAUAUUUUAAAAGUUAAAAUUUAAAAAUUCAAAAAUAAAUUUAAAAUCAAAAAUUAAAUUUAAAUUUUGAAUAAAAAAUUAAAAUAAAAAUUUAAAAUUUGAGUCUAAAAUCAAAAUCAGAUUUCAAAAAGUAGAUUUUAGUUGCUUUCGAUUUUAGACAUAAAAAAAUCAUAAAACUGAUUUUAAAAAUUAAAAUUAGAUUUUUAAAAAAAAGUUGUCAAAUGCUCUAACCCUUUAAUUAAAAGCAAUCUACAAUCCUUUAUUUACCAUAUUUGCAGAGACGUGCAUGUAAUUAACCCUUUAAUUAAAAACAAUUUACAACCCCGCUGCAGCUUCAGCUUCAGCUUCGUCGUUCAAAGGAUCGGGCUCUCUCUCUCUCUCUCUCUCUUGUCAUGUGCUUGUUGCUCAACCUUAACAAGGAUGAUAACUGGGGCGUAGAACCUCGAAAACCCUAAAGAUCGGGGUGACGAAGGAUCCGCGAAUUGGGCCUUCCUCGUGUCUCGAUUUGGGAUUAGUUGAGGGAGUCGGUUGUAAUAUUUCCAUCAAAAAACAUCAUUUUUCAAGAGUUUUCGUUUUCCGGAGAAAUUAUUCGAAAAACAAAAACGAAAGGUAAAUUUUUCACUAAAUCUGACUUUCAAACCCUUUUAAAAAAAAACAUUUUUUUUUUCUAAAAAACAAAAAUAUUAUCUUUUAGAAUAUAUUUUGGAAACUUGAGCAUUCCCGGAAAGUAGCGUAAAGCUAGAAAUUUCCUUUUUUUUGGGGCUAAAAUAUUGAAAAAAUUUUCUUGUAAAUAUAUCUAUUUUUCACGUUAUCCAACGGGAAGGACAGAAUGAUUAAAUUAUUUUUACUUUUAAAAAAUAUAUUUGAAUAUAUUUAUAUUAUUUUGAAAGAUUUUUUUGAUAUAAAUUAUAAAAAAUAAAUAGUAUAGUGAUAAAAUCCUAACGUAGGAGGCUAAAUAUAAUAACUUGAAAUAUUAAUUUGGUAAAUUUUUUUAAAAGUUAGGAAGAAAAAAUAAAAAAAUAAAUAUUUAUAAGAAGAAAUUUUAUAAUUUAACCCUUUUUUUUUGUAAAAAUAGUGAUAUCAGUGGAUGUAGGUAAAUUCCACUUUUGGUCCUCCAACAAUGAUAGUGUGAUACUUUAGUUCUCGAACUUUAUUGUAAUUUUUUAUUCGAAUUAUGAAAUACGUGAUAUUUUAAUCUUCCAAUUUUAAUUAGUUGUAUUUUUUUGGCUUGAACUAGCUUUUCAAAUUGGUGCAGUCAUGUCGAGCUUUAAUUUAUUUUAUUAUUUAUUUUUUAAAUUUAUUUAAUUUUAAUUAUUUAAUAAUAUUUAUAUUAUAAAAACUUUAACUUAUAGCUUACUUUUACCAGCUUGAUUAAUAUAUUAUUUUACAUAAUUUAUAUAACUUAUCAUUUUAACACAAUAAAUAAUAAGUCUGAAUUUUAUGUCAAAAUAGUCGUGAAAUUACUUAUAUAGUUUAAAAUUAAAAAAUUAUUAUAAUUAAAAUUUUUAAAAAUUAAAUAGUAUGAAAAAAUUAAUUCCCUGCACCCAGUGCACCAUGUCACUCGCCCACCACAGCACCAUUCCCAUCACUUUAGUUUUUUUUCAAUUGAAAGUUUUUUUACUCACAAACAAAUUUUACAAUAUUUUACAAAUUAUACAAUUCAAUAGAUAGAUUCUAAUUUUAAAAUUAUAAAUUAUAUUUAACUUCUCGUGAUGUGUAUUUUUUUCACUAAUAAAAUAUCUUUAUAUAUAUAUAUAUAUAUAUAUAUAUAUAUAUAUAUAUAUAUAUAUAUCAAGUAGUAUAGAUUAUGUUCAACGGUGCCGAUCAUUGAUNGAAAUUUAAAAAAAGGAAUAGCAAUACGUUUGUCACAUGGAAAAGAAUCCACUUAAUUUCUACAUAUUAUAUUUUUUUGGCUUGGUUAAACUGUGCUAUCAUAUAAUUUGUUUACAUUUGAUUACAUUUUAUUUAGCUCUCAAGCUUUUAAGCAUGACAUUUAAAACUUAGAAACUAUAAAAAGUAAUUCACUUUAGUCCUACAAAUUAAAAAAGUAUUAAUAAAUUACUAAUAUCGAAUAAAUAUAGUAUUUUAAUUAUUAUCGCAUCAUCAAAUAGAAUAUUACUAUAAUUUGAAAAAAUUCGAGAACUAAAAUAUCACAUAACUUAUAAUUCAAAUAAAAAAUUAUAAUUAAUUAAAGUUUGAGAAUUAUAACAUCACGCGUCUUAUAAUUUGAGUUCGAAAUUGCGAUAAAAUAAAGUUGGAAUCUUGAGUAGUUUUUUUUUUUUUUUUUUUUUUAAGAGAGAGAUAGAUAGCACGCUAUCCGUUUCGUUUAUUUCAUUUAGAAAUAAACUUAUCUGAAAAUGUGAAUCAACUAGGAUUCAAACUUGAGUCUCAGACUCUCGGAUACCAACCAUCAAAUUCUUUGCCACUUGCUCUAGGAACAGACGGUAUCUUCAGCUUUUAUUAAGAUGAGGAUUCGGAUGGGUAAUGCGAUUUUCAACGGGCCCAACCCAACACGGUGG